rnacentral:lncRNA from 1 species
UUUCCUCAAAAUACAAGUAGCUCUCUCAUAUCUAUCCAAAACAUCAUCUAGUACACAAGGGUACUCUAAUGCAUAAAGGAAAAGCUAUCAACUAAGCUCACUUAGGGCGCUAUGCCCUUGCCGCGGUCCUCGCUUGACUCGCCUCUGUGUGUACCUGUACCCCAAAAUCACACGGGGUGAGAACUAUAUAAACAUAGUUCCCAGUGGGUUCGGCCGCCGACGCCGCCGGUUUUCCCACUAGGUCUAAGCUGGCACAGAUAGAGGGAUAGAUAGAUAUACAAAGAUGAACUGCAACUACUCUAUCAUGCCAUCAAUAAUAAUAAUGCAUGCAACAACUACUAUCAUGCUAGUAUCAUGUCAUGAGUAUAUAAAGGUGCAUAGUAAUGUAAACUACAACAUACACUAUGUCUACUCAAGGUAAUAAUGCAAGUCUACUAUGCAUUUCAUGUUUAUUACCCAAUCCACUUGGUUAACCCGAAGGUUAAACCCUCGACUCACUCUCAAUCUCAUAGGUGAGAAGAAACUGCACUCGCACACCGAGACCGUCUGCGGGACAACUACGUCUGCCCCUAGUGAAGUACUCCGGAGACUCGUGCCUCGGUGGAGCGACCACCGACAAGCAAAAACAGACUAGUGAGUAUGAUCCAAUCCUCACAAGAGGAUACCCUGUCUACUAGGGUCAAUGUGCCUCUGCUGCACAAUCAUGAUAUAUAAUCAAUGUUGGGACUUCUACUGUCCCUAAGCUCAUGUCAAGUUUACUACACUAGACUCGAUGCCCCUCGUUCGAUCAUUGUAGUAAGUUUUCUACUAGUUGACAUGCCACAAGUUCAAAUUUAGUGUUUCUACUACACUAGUUCAAUGCCACUCUACUAGGCUAUCAUAUGUCCAAGUUCGGCUCUUUAUGCCAUUAUAGGAUUUCCAUGUCACAUGACCCAAUCCUCAUGCUACCCUAGUCCACGUGUUCAACUCAUAGUUACACUACUAAGAAGCAUGCAAGGGAAAGAAAAUAUACAUCUACUAAUCCUAUAAUGCAAUAUGAUCAACACAUAUAUAACUUAGACAUAAAAAAAAACCCGGAUGCUUAGGCUCUAGAAUUGCGCUUCGGCGUCCCUUACGACGAAGCCUCGGUCUUCUUGGUCCAAAUGAUGCUCAAUCGGCCUUAUUUUGCCGAUAGCUCUUGACCCGCUCGACGAAUCGAAAUUCCGACUUCGCCCCCGUGUUUCGUUACCUAGCAAUUAGGUUUUCAAGGCCUCAAAUGAGAUCAAUCUCAUACUUUACCAAAAACCCUAUUUUGAUGCCCUAGGGUUAGCAUCAAGCUAAACCCACCUCAAAACCCUAGGUUCUAGCUUCAACCCUACCAUUCAUGGUGCCAGGGAUCCAUUUGAUCCCAUCCAAAGAGCUAAAACCCAAAAACCCUAAAUUUCCCAAGCUAGGGUUAAAAGCUUACCUCUAGGUUGGCUUAAAAGAGAGAAGAGAGGAUGAGGGAGAAGUCCAAAAGCUUCCUUUUGUUGAUCUCCUUCUUCUUCUCCUUCCUUUUCUUCCUUCUUUUUCUUCUCCUUUCUUCUUCUCCUUCUUUUUCUCCUUCUUUUCUAGAGAGAGAAAGCAAGAGAGUGUGAGGGAGGGAGAGAGAGUGGACUGAGAGAGAGUGAGAGGGAGAGAGGGACUAAUAAGCCCUCUAAUGUAACAAUAUCCAGCUGGCCCCCCCCACUUUUCACUCUGUGCGCAGUCCUCACUGGGCGUUCUGCGCGCGGAGGGACCGGUCUCCCCGACUUGGGACCGGUCCCCGAGAGCUUCAGCUCGGGUCACGCGUUCGGGUACCGGUCUCUCCCAGAGAGACCGGUCCUCGGGAGACCGGUUCCUUCCUGAGAGACCGGUUCCCGAGAGUUGGGACUGUCAGACUUAGCCAAUUUUUGGCUUCUCACCUGGAUCACGUUCGGAACCGUCCCUCACUGCCAGGGACCGUUGCCUCACAACCCGUCAAUACUGCAGCCGAGGGACCGUCCCUCCUACCAGGGACGCGGUCCCGAGAGCAUCUUGCUCCAUUGCAGGUUAUUCGCACUAUUUGCUCUCGUGACAUCUUUCCAAUGCACUUUUGCUGAUUAAUAAUAUCUUUUAUUUUCCAAAGCUCACCAAACACGAACCCUUGUCGAUCUUGAUGAAGUCAAUCUCGUACUUUUCGAGAAUUCACUUCCUCACACAGGUUUUUCAAGCUAUAAACAAUUCACAAAUUAACCUAUUAUUAAGAAUGCUCAAAGAUGCCUUAUGCUCAAAAUAUGACACACGUAAACAUAACAAAUUUCGAUGUCCAUUGAAUGCACGCCGCACCACUACAUUGAGGUUACAAGAUGCCUUCGUGAAUUUUCGUUCAAAUUUUUGAAGGCCCUAAUUCCGCGGCUGCGGCUGAUCCUGUUACGGAAAAAACACGUUUUUGUCACAAACUUGCAUCAUACACCUCGUCGGAAUUGUCGAACCGCAGGCGUUCCAACGCUUUAAAAAUACCUCAUUAGAUUUCUCAUAAUCACAAAUAGAUCAAAACCCAACUUGGCAAAACCCCUCUUUGGAAUGCCCUACACACAAUUUUGCAUUUCCCUAGAUUGAUCUCAUUGCUCGACAGCAAAAGAAAGCUAGAAUCACCUUGGGAACUUCUCUUAAUAAGUUCCUAAAAUUUAGAACCAUCCCUAGGCAUCUCUUUGAUCCGCUAGUGAUCCACGAAUAGGGUCCAAGAAUAUACCAUAGUUUUCAUGAGUUCAAGGUCUUAAGAGAUAUCUAGUUAAAUAGCAGGAUCAAAACCCUAAAUCCCAAGGUUUAAAACCAAACCCUAGACUCUCUUGUGCAAUAAACUCACCUUAGCCACGAGCUCACCAAAAUCCACCUUGUUGGAAAGCCACCAAAGCCUCCAAGCCUCCAAAAUCCAACUUCUUCUUCUUUUUCUCCACCUUCUCCACCAAACCCUAGGAUUUUUUCUAGAGAGAGAAAGAGAGAAAUAAGAGAGAGAGUGUUUUGAGAGUGUGCUGUGAAAGGGAGAGGGCUUAGGCUCAUAACAUGUUGCAACAAUUGCAAACAAACCCCCCACAAAGUCUUAUUUGCAUCAGACUUCAAAGUGCUGUCUGGGGCCUCUUGUACCGGUACAAGGAUUCUUGUACGGGUACAAGGCCAAACAGUGAGCCAAACCUGAGAGCUGCCUCUCGGGUGCGCAGGGUCUGUACCGGUACAAGGGGUCUUGUACCGGUACAAGGCCUGGACUGCAGCAACCCGAGAGCUACUCAGCUCGGAUUGCGUUGGUUGUACCGGUACAACCAUCACCUUGUACCGGUACAACGGCUCCAGAAUGCUGUUUUAGGCUUCGAUUCGACUCUACCUCGCAUCGGUCGAUGCUAAAACCAUUCUAAGUCUUCCAAAACUCAUUUUUAGCCCUCCCAACAUUAUUGGAAUGUAAGAGGAACUUGUCCAACACUUUCCUUCGACGCUUUAACCAAUUUGGUCAAAGUUCGAUUAUUGUUUUCGGGUUUCGAUACGUUACACUUUCUAAUAGCGAAGAGGCAACAAGCAGUAACUGAUUUUGAGGCUGAAUUAUAAUUUGCCUUACAGUUGGUAUAGGACCAAGAAAGUUGCGCCCAGAGAGUUCAGUCAAUAAACGAAACCCAACUGUAUUAGUAUUCGAGUUGAAAAUUUAUAUUAGGAAGACGGACUACACAAUGAAUCUUAAUAAAAGAAAUUUCCUUCUCUAAGCGUACUUGCCGUCAAACUGCUACUCUUAAGUAUCACACUAAUAUUCUGUCCCCAUUCUUCCCAUUCGCCUAUCUAAAUUCUCCCUCUGCACUAUUAGUAAUUAUUGUUUCAUAUUACUAUAUUGUUAUGUACUUGCAUGGUUCAGUGUAGCAUUUUAUUUGCAACUACUCAACAUACCACGCCUACCUUCAUAUGCUUCACAUAGUACACACAACUAAUCAUCCAACAUUAAUCAGUUUCUCUUCUCACUGUGAUGAUUCCUUACCUAUCUGUAUGCUUUCACACCACUUUUUGUAACAAAAGAAAUAAUUCCAAUUACAUAAAAUUAUACUGCAUCUAUUGUUCAAUACGCCUAAUUUUCAGACACCAAGAAACUAUUCAUCUAAAAAGUACUUCUCACAGACCAAGAAACUCCACAUAUCCAUUACUUAUACACUAAAGGCUGUGGAGUAGGGCUCAGGCGCAAAGCCGUGCACCUCGCCCUCUACUGCGCCAUACUGUGUUGAUCGGCAUGGGUCAACAUCCUCCUUUCUUUUAAGUGUUCAUCGCACGAGCUGUGUCCACUGUGUCAUGCCAUAGCGAGAAGUCAUCGGUACAAUAUGACCCCCAUGCCAAAAGCACAGCACAACAUCUUCUUUUCUUUGAAAUUAGCAAGUAGUUAUCUAAAUAAAGUGCAAAAAAUUUGAUAAAGAUAUAUAGCAAGCAAUUAGAGCAUAUUGGUGCUAAAGAAAAUAAAUAUUUGAUGAAAUAGUGUGUCAACAUGUAGGCAUUUUUGUGACCAGCACACAUCGAAAUGGCAUGGCCACGCACCGUGCUGUAUCAUGUCAUACCAUCCCAAUAAGUUCUUGGCACAACCCCCUACCACGACACUUAAAUUCUUGUGAUCAUGUUCGCUUCCUACCGCCCCACCACCUCACCCUAUCCUCUUAUCUCUCUCUCUCUCUCUCUCUCUCUCUCUCUCUAAAUUCAUUUUUAACCCCAACACCUUCUUAUCUCUCUCUCUCUCUCUCUCUCUCUCUCUCUAAAUUCAUUUUUAACCCCAACACCUUCUUAUCUCUCUCUCUCUCUCUCUAAAUUCAUUUUUAACCCCAACACCACCUUUACCCCAAGAGGAUAAGGUUGACGGCAGCCCUCAGAAGCUCAUUCCUUCUAGCUUCUUUUCUCCCAUCUAAGGUUAGCCAAAGGUUUAAGCCAUGACAUCCAGGUUUCUGUCUGCCAAUUUCACCUCCUUGGUAGGGAAGUCCAUUGCCACCUGAGCUUCACCCAAAAUUUGGAGGGGCUCCCAAGCAUCACCUUUUUCUUCUUAUUAUUACUAUCUUCUUUUCUUUUGGUUGUCUUCAUUUUCAGGCCAUGAAGAUCAGUCCUGAUGUGCAUCAGUUGCUUUGUAACUGACAAGUUUGGGAAGUUACAUGAUUUGCACAUUAGAUUUUUGAUGAGUUGACCUGAAGGCUUUUAAGUUUUUAGUAAGAUGGUUGUUACUAAAAUGAUUGAAAUAUUACAUUUAAAUUUAGAAUUUAGAUGUUAAAGUGCUCAAUUAAUUUGAUUCAGCAUUAGGUCUAAGGUUUCCUUUUUUUUUCUUUUGAAUGUUUAGGCCUCAUUUGGUAUCGUUGCCUUUCUUUUAUUCUUUUUAAACAUAUUCUAUAUAACUUGAUAUGCUGAAAGAAAGAUUUUCCUUCUGCUAUUAUCACUGGUUAGCUUACAAUGCAUCCAGUCAAGUGGUAAAGACAACUUGUUAAAAAAAAAAAAUUGGAAGCAAAGAAAAGUUAUUUUCACGUUUUUGUUGUUUGUUGUUAAGGAAAUAGUUUCAAUGAGAGGAUUGCAAGUAAUCCACUGUCCACUCCUACACUUUUUUAUAUAUAAAAUUCUAUUUAAAAAAUAAAAAAUAAACACGAUAUCAAAUAAGACCUUAAUGUUAAGUUUAUGAUUUGGCUCUAUGGCCUUGAUGAUUACUUUAAAAAUGCUCAUUCUUUCCUCUUUCUUUGAUGAGAUUUUAAUGUAACAAUUGACAAAGUUCGGAUGGCAUACUCCUUUGUAAGCAACCAUUUGCAGGAUAACUUUUUUUGAAAUUGGAUUUAGUUUUAAUGCUUUAGACCAAGGAUUUAAGUGUCGUGGCACGGGAUCGUGCCGGAAACUUGCCGGCACGGUGCGUGCCGAGCCGUGCCGAUGUGUGCCGGUCAAAAAAAUUCUUGUGUGCCGACACAUAAUAGCAUGAAAUAUUUAUUUUCUUUAGCAACAAAAUAUUCUAACUAUUUAUUAUGUAUUUUUAUCAUAUCUUUUGAACUUUAUUGAGAAAAUUACUUACUAAUUUAAAGAAUAGAGGGUCUUGAGCUGUGCCAUCGGCACGAGGUUUGUAUCGUGCCAGUAUCUUGUUGGCACGGUACAGCACGAUAAAUACGGCCCGUGCCGACGGGUACUUAAAACCUUGCUUUAGACAACAUAUUACUUGCUUUUAGUUGUUUUUGUACUUUUAUAUCACAUUAUUUUAUAGAUAGACUGGUCCGUCUGAGCCUUAUUAUUUUUUGUCUUUUUUUAAAUUGCUUCGACCAAUAAACUUUUAGCAAAAUUCAAAUAUGCAUAAGAAAUAUCAAACAAGUAACAAUUGAAGUACUUUAAUCAGUAGUGCAAAAAGCCUUGGAAAAGGAUUUGCAUUUCUUCCAUGCCAUCUCAAUAUGCAUUCCAACUUGAGAUCUUUUUGCUCAUUAUUUGUGUCAUGUCCCAAGGGCACCUAUCCCAAAGCCCACGGCUAGCUUUACUGAUGAACCCUAGCCCUAAUAACCUGUUGGGCCCAAAUCCACCAGCCCAAAAUGUUUAAGCCCGAUUAUAAGCUCUAAAUUAUCCCGCCUUAUAUACCCCACAUCAAAAGCCCCUAGCUGUUCGAUGUGGGAUUAUUCGCUAGCCUGGGGCGUCAGAGACUCCCAUUUUUUAAGCCCUAACGUUCUCGUUGGGCUCAAUCACACAUAUAACCUAGGUUCGCCAGGUGAUGAGAGACCUCAUCUCACACUUUUGGCUGGCAAACCUCUCCGAGACCAUUGUCACUUCCCAGAAAGUCACAUGCGACUCCCUAGCCCUGCUUAAGCCUGAUUGUUAGCUCUAGAAAACCAAGUUUUAUACCCCACAACAAGCUCUCACCUAUCCAAUAUGGGAUUAUUCGCUAGCCUGAGGUGUCACAAUUUGAGCUCAAUUUUUGAUGUUUGCUUACUGCACCCUAAUUGUUCGAUCUAAUAUUUUCAUGUGAAUUACUAGCCUCCUUCAGUGUCAUAAUGCCUCUAAGAGUUUAUGUAGACAAAAAGUACUUAGGUUUCAACAACAAAGUAUGUUUUCUACUGAUUUCUUCCAACUGUUAAAAAAUAGAUCUACUAUCAAAUUAAUUCCUUUCUUUUACCAAUCUCAAAUGCUCUCCACCACAGAAGGAGAUGCAAGAUAAUGGGCCUUUAACAAGCUGCAUUUAAUGUAUUAUCUCUUCCAUUUUCAAUAAGGCUUAUAAUAAGGCCUUUAGCAAGGUAAUUAUGUUUUCUAUAAUUAGGAUAUUCGAGUGCGCCCCUAAGUGCCAAUCUGCAAAAUUAUUUCAAUACAUUUCUGUAUUUUGUUGUCAUUGGUGUUAAGCUUGCUAUUAGCUGAGUUGAUAAUUGAUUACUUUUAUCUUCUGCUCUUUAGUUUCUAAAAUUUGACUCUCCAAUUUGGAAACUAUAUGCCAUUCAAAACCAAAUCAUGCCUUGAGUUUUUAAGGGAAAAGUAGCCAGAUUACCCAUACAAAGCUACAGCACUGUUGUUCUACAAUCUAUAAAACUCUCACCCAAUGUCACUUGCCACGUAUACGAAUUUUCUUUCCCUUUUUCCAAUAGUAUACUAUUGUUAGAAAAUAUUUAUCAUUGAGACAUUUGUUCAAUUACUUUUAAUGGCAUAUCUCUAUCUGGAAGUUUAGGAACAAAACUCUAGAGGACUUCAAAACUUUUGUGCUUUGUUUGUACUUGUGUUUCUUAGGUCAACUUUCUAAACUAAACAAGAAAAAAAAAAUCCUAUUAGUAAAUCGAGUACCAUAAAGGGGUUUUCUCCCCCAACUAUAGUAUAAUUACUGAUCCAACUUCUAUAAUUAGGACUUUCAACUGCAAUUAGACAAAAACUUCUGUAAUUAGGACUUUCAUCAACAUUUAGUUUAGGCAUAUUGGCUCAGUUUUUCAAACUAAACUAUAUUUUUUACACCAUUUUCUGCAAUCAUAUUAAUCUAAUUAAAGAAUAAUUCAACUCCCUAGAUUACCAAACAUAAUUACUCGAAUAUAGUAAAACCCCUACAAAGAAAGCUUCAUAGAAGUGCAUAGUAUCAAGUUUUUAUUGUAUAUUGAAAGUUUGAUAAUGUCAGAACUCAUAGGAAUCCUUUUCAGUAAGGAAACCUACCACAAGUCAUUGGUUGGUCGUGUCCACUUGGUUUGCUGCUAACGUAGAAUAUAAAGCUUACUUGGUUUGAGAUUUUUCUUCAUUUAGAAGAAAACAAUUCUCUGUAUGCCAUUUUGAGACAAUAAAAACUACCAUUUUGAGCAAAAAUAUACAAAAAAGAUGAGUUAAAUAGACUGUUUUACAGUGCCAACAGAGAUGAAAUAUAUAUUUUAUUAAAGAUGGAUCGAAUCUAAAGUUAUUAGGAAUUUUCCGCUACUCAUGAAUGCACAUUUAGUUGUACCAUUGGCUUAAAUAAUAUUAUUCAUUUCGAUAUGUAGCUGCCGGGCUAAAAAAUAUUGGGGGCAGAUUCGCUCCACUACUGGUUGUAGCAGUGUUUCAAAAAUCGUGAGGCACAAAAAGGCCCAAAGGCCUUCUGGUGCCUAGGCAUGUGGCGCACUGCGAGGCACGCGCCUAAGGAAUAUGAGGUGCACUUCUAAUAAAAAUAAAACGCUCUAAGCAAGACUAGUUUAAAUUGAUGUUUUACAUAAGAAAAUUCCAAAAUAGCCAUAUAAAAUAAAAUAAGCAUAAGAAAGCAAAGAAAUCACAUGCAUAAAUGUUCUCAAACUAAUAUAUAUAUAUAUAUAUGUAUCUAUAUAUUUAAUUAUAUAUUAAUUGUAUAUACUAUAUAAUAUAAAUGAUUAUAUUAUAUUACAUGUAUAUAUAUAUUAUAUAUAUACAUGAUAUAUUAUAUAUCUUAUAUAUAUACAUGGGUAUAUAUAUAGUUAUUAUAUAUAUCUUACAAUGUAUAUAUAUAUAUAUACAUGUAGCUCAUUUAUUUAUAUGUAUCUAUAUAUAAUGUAUAAUAUUAUAUAUUGUAUAAUAUCAUAUAUGAUAUAUAUUAUAUACAUGUAUAUUAAUAUAUGUAUAUACAUAUAUAAUUAUAUACAUAUUUACAUAUAUAUAACAUAUAUAUAUAUUAUAUGUCAUAUAUACGAUUAUAUGUAAUAUCUCACAAGUUAUUAUAUACAAAUAGCAUUAUUAUAUAUACUACAUUAUAUUAAUACUAUAUUAUACAUUAUUAUAUAUACAUAUUCUAUAUAAUAUACAUCAUAUAUAUAUAUAUACUAUAUAUGUUUCACUUUAACUUAAGAAAAGGCGAUUGCUAUAUGUAAUAGGACUCCAGAGGAAGGAAAAAGGAUAGUAGAAAGAAAAAUGUAUAGUAUGAGAUUCUUGAAAAGAGAACUCAGAGAUUAAUCGUACUCGACUCUACCGCCGGACAAUUGAGCAUGGCCAUGGCCUCUUUUGCUCCUCCCUGGAAGCAGCUCGUCAGUGUACCUGAUUUCAGCAAGCUUUGUCCCUUCUUCUUUCCAAUAUUCUCAUCGAUUCCUUUGCGCGCGGCAGUGCGCACAACUCGCUUCCUUGUCUGCCCCUCUACUACCCUCUCCCUUCAACCUCUAUCUCACUCAUCCACUAGCAUCCUCUUCCCCUUUGAAAAGCACCUCCGUGCUGCGCUCUGCGGUGCCGUGCCACUGCUCUGGAGCCCCCGCAGUGGCGACCUCUCCGCUCUUCACGGCCUUCAUGGCCUCCCUUCUAAUGCUCUCAAGGCGGCGCCACUCUGCCACGGCCUUCUCCCACAUCUCCGCCUCCGCGGGGCCUUCAAGCCUCUCGAGGACCCCGUCCUCGUCAUCGCGGUAGCCGUAGUAGCUCGCGUCGAUGCGCUUGUAGAUGUCGUAGCGCGUGCGGCGCCUUUUCUCCUCCGGGGGCUUCUCGAAGAGCUCGAGGACGCUGGGGAGCUUCUUCGCGGCGCCAAAGUAGCGGUAUCCGGGGCCGCGGCCGCUAGGGUUCGGGACGUCGACGAUGUUGCCCUCGAGGUCGGUCAUCCUGGGGGCGCCGCGGGCGUAGUUGGGGCCGCCGAGCUCGACGAUGCGGCGCUCCCAGUGGGCGCGCUCACGGAGGACCUUGUUGAUCUCGUCGUUGAGGUCGUGGAGGCGGUGCUCGCCGAGGCCCUCGUUCUGGAUUUCUGCAACCUUCGCGCCGAUCUCGCGGAGGAUCUCGGAUCGCCAACGAUCGGCCUCCGCGAGGUCGCGGCACUCCGAGGCGAGGUAGGGACGCCGCUCCUUGGGCUUGCGCUUCUCCUCCUGCUUCAUGGCGAUGAAGCGGUUCAGCAUCGACUGCGCCUUCUCCUCGUUCCGCGCCAUUGUCGGAGCUCGUUAGCGACGGAGAUCGCCGGAACCCUAGGGGGCAGUAGAGGCUCGCUGGGAAAGAAGACGACGCGGAGGAAGGGCUUAGACCAGCAAAAUCAAAACCCUAGCGAUUGGGACUACUACAAGAGCCGAACCGCAAUUUAUAAAUCAUAGUUUACUCAAUGAAGUGUAUUUCAAGUUAAAAUCAGAUUAGAAUUAAUAUCUAUUAGAAUUAAUAUAUCCUUUAUAAUUUAUAAAUAUUUAAGUAUUUCUAAAAUAUCUCUUUUUAGAAUUAAUAUUUAAAAUAUUUCUAGUAUAAUGUUAAAUCUCUAUUUUUAUAAAAUUAAGUUAGAAUCAUAUUAGAAUUAAUAUCUCUUUUAUGAUUUAUAAAUAUUUGAAAAUUUGGCAACAAAAUAUAUACAAUAAUAUAUAGAAAAUUAGAAUAAUAUUUUCAUAUAAAUUCUUUCGCUCGGGAUCAUCUGAAACACAAUUAAAAAUUCUAGAAAUUUAGACGGUGUACUGCAAUCGACUCUCAUAGCCGGCGUGCGAAGAAAAAGAACAACUCUAAAGACAAAAAAAAUUGCUAAAAAUUAAAACAGAAAGAAAUUCGUAAAACAAGACUAGACUAAAUCCUAGAAAUUGCAAUGUCAAUUCAACAACGAAAAUAUAUUCAAAAUCUAUGUUAUUUUUUAUCACAAUUUGGUUAUGAGAAAUGAAUUGAUACUUUAUAAGAAAUAAAAAAAAUUUAGCCGUUGAUUAACAAAGGAUAAAUAUGUCAUUUUAAUAUGUAGCAAAUUAAAAGGUUACAUGUUACAUCAUAUCGAGAGUAUUUUGGUAAUUAAAUAUUCCAAAAUUUAAGAAAUUGUUUGUCACGCCCCGAGCCCGAUCCUUUUUGGCCGGUUCGAGAGCGUCAAACAGACGCCGAACGGACAGAGCUUCCUCUGUCCGCCCAAAGCUCAACACUAGUAUCAAUAGAGUACAAAUUUGCAUAAGCGGAAGCAUACACAAUGGCUUGGACAAGGGCAAGCAAUAGCCAAGGUGAAAGAAUUAACCAUUCAGUAUACAAGUAAUAUGACUAAAUUUAAAUCACAUACAUGUAUCCAACUAUAAUCAAGUUCUGUCACAUUCUUGCAUCAUUUCUUUUUACAUCUCAUUUCUCCCAAAAUAUAACUUUUGACAUUUAAGGUAAACAUCCUUUACUUCAUUCAUUAAAGCAAGUUCAUAAUACUAAAAUCAUCAAAUACAAAAGAUGAUAGUAAAGGGUGUGCAACUACAUAAUGAAAUCCAUCUCGGGCGGUCUCUACCUAGGGCGCGAUGCCCUUACCGCGAUCAUCUGCCGGCUCGCUCGGUCCCGGCUCUGUGGAAAUAGUGGGGUGAGAACUACAACAAAGUUCCCAGUGGGUUCGGCAACCAACCACGCCGACUAUCCCACUAGGUCUAAUCAGGCAUAAUAGAAGAAAGAAUAGAUAAUAACCAACUAACAAAUGCAGCUAAUAUGCCUGAACAAUAAAUAAAACUAUGCUCGAUAGAAUGCUCAUGAUGAAUGCAAGAUUAACUUUUCAUUACCCAAUCUCAUGGCUAGCCCGUAGGUUUCGCCCUCACAAACUCACCAACCCAAAUCCCUAUUGUCGGGGAGAUAACCGCUACAACCCGACGGGACCGCCCUCUGGGGAGAUAACCGCUACGACCCAGUGAUGACAACUCCGGAGCACAUCGCCCGAGGGGGAGCUACCGCCCUCGAGCAAGGACUAUUAGGUGAGUACGAUCAAUCCUUAACUUUAAGGAUUUUAAGUUCAAUCCAUUCCUUGACUUCAAGGAGAACCAUGUACAUAUGACCCUUAAUUCUAAGGUGUUUAUGUCAUAAUGUCACUACUUGUUCUUGUUCUUUGUCAAUGAUGCCACACUUGUUUUCUAAGUCCUCUAGACUCAUCAAUGUCACUUGCUAAAUCUAUGUCAACAUGUCACAUUUGUUUACUAACCCUUCUAGGUUCUUGUCCCUUGUCAUGCAUAUAUAGGGUUACCAAUUCUCAUUCAUUUACUACUAUUUCUCAAGCAUUAGAACUCAUAUCAUGCAAAGAAAAUUUACAAUUAACCCUACUAUGCAACAUGCUCAAUAUAAAUACAUAUGCUCAAAUAUGACGCUUUAGACAUAAAGGGAUUUCCGAUGUCCUUGGAAUGCACCACCCACCUUAGAUGGUCACAAGGAUGCUACGGUGAAUUUCUUGGAAUUUUUGAAGCCCUAGUCCGCGUGCUGCGGCUAUCUGUACGGAAAAUGACGUUUUUGUUAAUAACUUUGUGUACACUCGUCGGAUUGUCGAACCGAGCGUUCCAACGCGUUUAAAAUACCCUCAAUUAGGUUUCUACAUGAUCAAAAUAGAUCAAAACCCAACUUGGGCAAAACCCCUCUUUGGGAUGCCCUAACAUGUUAUUUUUGCAUUUCUCCGAGAUUGAUCUCAUUCCUAAGCAAAAGAUAGCUUAGAUUCACAUGGGAAGCUCUCUAAUAAGGUUUCUAAGCUUUUAGAACCAUCCCUAGGGCAUCUACUUUGAGCCCUAGUGAUCCACCAUGAGAGGGGUCUAAGAAAUCCAUGUUUUUCAUGGAGUCAUGGUCCUUAGAGGAUUUCCUCACUUGUAGAGAGAUCAAAACCCAAAAAUCUAAGGUCUAAACCCAAACCCUAAACUCAUUUUUGCAUAAGGACUCACCUUUGCCCAAGCUCCACCAAAGCCUACUUGUUGGAGAGCUUCUAGGACCACCAAAGCCACCAAAAUCCACUUCUCCAAGCUCUUCUCCACCUUCUCCAAGCUCUAGGGCUUGCUUUCUAGAGAGAGAAAGAGAGGAAAAUGAGAGAGAGGGUGAAAUGGGUGUUGGCUGUGAGGGGAAGGGGUAUUGGGCUAUUAACAUGUGGUAACAUUUGCCAAAAAAUCCUCCCAAUCUUUAUUUUUUGCAGCAGAUCUCGUUUUGCUGUCGGGCCCAAAGUGUACCGGUACACUUUUUCGUGUCACCGGUUACACGACUACGCAUAGGCAAACCCAAGAGCAAAUCUGUCGGUUUCGCCCAAAGUGUACCGGUACACUUUUUCGUGUCACCGGUUNNNNNNNNNNNNNNNNNNNNNNNNNNNNNNNNNNNNNNNNNNNNNNNNNNNNNNNNNNNNNNNNNNNNNNNNNNNNNNNNNNNNNNNNNNNNNNNNNNNNNNNNNNNNNNNNNNNNNNNNNNNNNNNNNNNNNNNNNNNNNNNNNNNNNNNNNNNNNNNNNNNNNNNNNNNNNNNNNNNNNNNNNNNNNNNNNNNNNNNNNNNNNNNNNNNNNNNNNNNNNNNNNNNNNNNNNNNNNNNNNNNNNNNNNNNNNNNNNNNNNNNNNNNNNNNNNNNNNNNNNNNNNNNNNNNNNNNNNNNNNNNNNNNNNNNNNNNNNNNNNNNNNNNNNNNNNNNNNNNNNNNNNNNNNNNNNNNNNNNNNNNNNNNNNNNNNNNNNNNNNNNNNNNNNNNNNNNNNNNNNNNNNNNNNNNNNNNNNNNNNNNNNNNNNNNNNNNNNNNNNNNNNNNNNNNNNNNNNNNNNNNNNNNNNNNNNNNNNNNNNNNNNNNNNNNNNNNNNNNNNNNNNNNNNNNNNNNNNNNNNNNNNNNNNNNNNNNNNNNNNNNNNNNNNNNNNNNNNNNNNNNNNNNNNNNNNNNNNNNNNNNNNNNNNNNNNNNNNNNNNNNNNNNNNNNNNNNNNNNNNNNNNNNNNNNNNNNNNNNNNNNNNNNNNNNNNNNNNNNNNNNNNNNNNNNNNNNNNNNNNNNNNNNNNNNNNNNNNNNNNNNNNNNNNNNNNNNNNNNNNNNNNNNNNNNNNNNNNNNNNNNNNNNNNNNNNNNNNNNNNNNNNNNNNNNNNNNNNNNNNNNNNNNNNNNNNNNNNNNNNNNNNNNNNNNNNNNNNNNNNNNNNNNNNNNNNNNNNNNNNNNNNNNNNNNNNNNNNNNNNNNNNNNNNNNNNNNNNNNNNNNNNNNNNNNNNNNNNNNNNNNNNNNNNNNNNNNNNNNNNNNNNNNNNNNNNNNNNNNNNNNNNNNNNNNNNNNNNNNNNNNNNNNNNNNNNNNNNNNNNNNNNNNNNNNNNNNNNNNNNNNNNNNNNNNNNNNNNNNNNNNNNNNNNNNNNNNNNNNNNNNNNNNNNNNNNNNNNNNNNNNNNNNNNNNNNNNNNNNNNNNNNNNNNNNNNNNNNNNNNNNNNNNNNNNNNNNNNNNNNNNNNNNNNNNNNNNNNNNNNNNNNNNNNNNNNNNNNNNNNNNNNNNNNNNNNNNNNNNNNNNNNNNNNNNNNNNNNNNNNNNNNNNNNNNNNNNNNNNNNNNNNNNNNNNNNNNNNNNNNNNNNNNNNNNNNNNNNNNNNNNNNNNNNNNNNNNNNNNNNNNNNNNNNNNNNNNNNNNNNNNNNNNNNNNNNNNNNNNNNNNNNNNNNNNNNNNNNNNNNNNNNNNNNNNNNNNNNNNNNNNNNNNNNNNNNNNNNNNNNNNNNNNNNNNNNNNNNNNNNNNNNNNNNNNNNNNNNNNNNNNNNNNNNNNNNNNNNNNNNNNNNNNNNNNNNNNNNNNNNNNNNNNNNNNNNNNNNNNNNNNNNNNNNNNNNNNNNNNNNNNNNNNNNNNNNNNNNNNNNNNNNNNNNNNNNNNNNNNNNNNNNNNNNNNNNNNNNNNNNNNNNNNNNNNNNNNNNNNNNNNNNNNNNNNNNNNNNNNNNNNNNNNNNNNNNNNNNNNNNNNNNNNNNNNNNNNNNNNNNNNNNNNNNNNNNNNNNNNNNNNNNNNNNNNNNNNNNNNNNNNNNNNNNNNNNNNNNNNNNNNNNNNNNNNNNNNNNNNNNNNNNNNNNNNNNNNNNNNNNNNNNNNNNNNNNNNNNNNNNNNNNNNNNNNNNNNNNNNNNNNNNNNNNNNNNNNNNNNNNNNNNNNNNNNNNNNNNNNNNNNNNNNNNNNNNNNNNNNNNNNNNNNNNNNNNNNNNNNNNNNNNNNNNNNNNNNNNNNNNNNNNNNNNNNNNNNNNNNNNNNNNNNNNNNNNNNNNNNNNNNNNNNNNNNNNNNNNNNNNNNNNNNNNNNNNNNNNNNNNNNNNNNNNNNNNNNNNNNNNNNNNNNNNNNNNNNNNNNNNNNNNNNNNNNNNNNNNNNNNNNNNNNNNNNNNNNNNNNNNNNNNNNNNNNNNNNNNNNNNNNNNNNNNNNNNNNNNNNNNNNNNNNNNNNNNNNNNNNNNNNNNNNNNNNNNNNNNNNNNNNNNNNNNNNNNNNNNNNNNNNNNNNNNNNNNNNNNNNNNNNNNNNNNNNNNNNNNNNNNNNNNNNNNNNNNNNNNNNNNNNNNNNNNNNNNNNNNNNNNNNNNNNNNNNNNNNNNNNNNNNNNNNNNNNNNNNNNNNNNNNNNNNNNNNNNNNNNNNNNNNNNNNNNNNNNNNNNNNNNNNNNNNNNNNNNNNNNNCUAGGUAGAGACCGCCCGAGAUGGAUUUCAUUUUGUAGUUGCACACCCUUUACUAUCAUCUUUUGUAUUUGAUGAUUUUAGUAUUAUGAACUUGUUUUAAUGAAUGAUGUAAAGAAUAUUUACUUUAAAUGUCAAAAGUUAUAUUUUGGGAGAAAUGAGAUGUAAAAAGAAAUGAUGCAAGAAUGUGACAGAACUUGAUUAUAGUUGGAUACAUGUAUGUGAUUUAAAUUUAGUCAUAUUACUUGUAUACUGAAUGGUUAAUUCUUUCACCUUGGCUAUUGCUUGUCCUCGUGCAAGCCAUUGUGUAUGCUUCCGCUUAUGCAAAUUUGUACUCUAUUGAUACUAGUGUUGAGCCUUGGGCGGACAGGGGAAGCUCUGUCCGUUCGGCGUCUGUUUGACGCUCUCGAACCGGCCAAAAAGGAUAGGGCUCGGGGCGUGACAGCUCCAGACCUGAUUUUGGUUCCGUUUCAAUUCUAUUUUGCGCCGAUCGAUGCCAAAACCCUUCUAAUACUUCUAGAACUCAUUUUUAACCCUCCCAACAGUGUUGGUAGGUUAAUUGGAACUCGCCUAAUUAAUCCAUUCGCGCACUUUAGUCAGUUUGCCUAAAGUUCGUCAUUUUCUAUCUAGGUUUCAAUACGUUACAUUGUUAAUUGAUUUUAGGCACUAAUUUUGCAUUACAUCAAGCAUUAAUUUAAGAAAAUGAUUGAUAUCUCAAAUCUAUACAAUCUAUACAAUUAUAUGAAUUUCCAUGACUACAUCUGACAUGGCAGUACCUCCUUAAUUUGAGGACAUUGGGACUGUUAAUUUUUUUAAUUAUGUUUUAAUUCCCUCUAUAUUUAUGUGAAACCCUUCAUCUUCCCCACCUCUUUUUACAAAAUUGGCAACGAAUGUCUCUCUCUCUCGCUCUCACCCCACCUACAACAGUUUGGAUCUCUCUCUUGAUUUUUGUUUUUUUUUUCACUCCACCUCUUCCUCUUCUUCUUAGCUGUUAAAAAAAAAAAAGAGAAUCCAAUUAGGUUUUGAGAAGUGGGGAGGGUGACGAAACAAAAGGAGGAGGAGAGGAGAUGUUGAAAAAGCUUGAGACAAAGAGCAACUGAGUGAAGGAGUUCAGCUUCCACAUCAAGCGGCCGUGAAUUCUCGCGAGCCUCCACAACAGCGUGAUCCAAUUAUGGGACUACUAGAUAGGAACCCUUAUCGAUCGCUUCGACGAGCACGACGGGUCUGUGCACAACAUCCAUUUCCACAAGACGCAGCCCCUUUUGGUCUCCAAAGGUGACAUUUUCACAAUCCUAUUCAUGUCGUUGUUAUGAAAAUUUGCAUUUUGGUUUGUCUCAGUUGAUGAAUUUUUGGCUUGGAUCCGGGAGGAUUUAGGUUUUUGUUGUGAUUUAGGGCACAUUUGUGAAUUCUAUAUUACUUUUAAUCGAAAUAGUUCUCAUUUCAGUUACUAUUGUAAUGGGAUCUGAAUUGGCUUCACUUCAAUUUUUUGUAUGGUUUGAUUGUUUGUUGGUGAUAUUUGGGGUUAGCGAACGUAACAUUCUCAAUGGUAAGAAAGAUCAAACAAAAAGCUUAACCAAUUCUNNNNNNNNNNNNNNNNNNNNNNNNNNNNNNNNNNNNNNNNNNNNNNNNNNNNNNNNNNNNNNNNNNNNNNNNNNNNNNNNNNNNNNNNNNNNNNNNNNNNCGAUUACGGAGAAGUUACGCGACCCGGAAGUUUCGACUUUAAGUGAUAGUGACUCCGAUUUUGCCGGAGAUUGGCGCGGAGAGUGGUGGAUUGACGCGUAUCUGACUCCGAUUAUAGCUUAUCAAUAGCUCUGUUUCGAACUCUCGACCUAGUACUGGAACCAUUGGCGCUGGAUGGUAAUUGGGUUCUUGUAUGCGGUUGUCGAGAAAGGGGUUUAUGGUUUUUACAUCUGAUUAUCUAUAUGUGGUUUUUCUGAUGGAACCAGUUGAGGGUGGGUUUUGUCGCAAAAUCUGGAGACCUUUUCAGACGGAUAACGAGAAUGUAGAUUCGUUGCCCAGUCGUGCUGGAUACGCAGGCUGGCGGCAUCCGUUCGGAUAGAAAUCCCGACGGAACGAAUCUUCUCGGAAUCGACGAAAAAGUGCAACACGCCAGCGAAGGGGCUGAUUUAGACAAAGGGAUAAAUUGCGAAGAAGCUGUUCAUUUAUGCGCGUUUGGCGUUUUUCGAACUCGGCAGGGAAAAUGUCGUGCAAGGUGACCAAGCUGGUAGGGAGCUGAGGUCGAAUUGGUCAACAUCGGGGGUUUUUCCGCCAAGGCUUACCUUACUACAGUAAGGAGCUUAGAGGUUUCGAGGUGCAACCCUAACCUAAUUCCGACCCAAGCUGACCAGACCCCUAGCCGCCCAGUGAGCCUGCCCUUGUCGGUGCGCGCGCCCGGCGCGGCGUUGCUGCUCCUGGCCACUUGAAACCUCCUGCAGCCUUCCGGACCUACCUCUCGGCCCCUUUUCCACGCACUCCUCCUUGACCGAGAGUCAAGUGGGCAUUCUACACACCUUCUGGAAGGGAAGCCCCGGCGUGACUCCACUCCAGCGCGCCUAUCUCCAGUCGGCAUCCCGACAGUACUGCGGAGCCGCCUGGAAGUGCAAGGCCGCGGGGGUCAACCAGGCCGGCGGUGCAACCUCGAGAUGCGCGGACGCCGCCCCAAUUUCUCCGGCCCGCGCCGCCUCCAGUCGGCCUGCGGCGACCUCGGAACCGGCGCGGCAUCUCCCGCGUUCCAGCUACGCCGCCGGCCGUCGCUGGAACUUCCUGUGGCCGCAAGCACGUGGGGCGAGGUCGGGCGCAGCUUCUAGACGCCGCUGCCGCAGCCAACGUUAGGCGUGCACGGCCUCCCCCUCGGACUCCGGCGCCGACCCGUCGACCGACCUCCUCGGCCGCCGCGCCGCCGCCGGGAAGCCUUGAAACGGAGAGGGAGUUGGCUGGGAGUGCGAUCUCUGGCCGCCGCGCCACGGUUGCCAGCGCGCCGCCGCCAGCCACCCCCCGGAUCCCCUGGACGAGUGCUCCUCCUCGGCCGGAUCGCCGACUCGCCGGCCGCCGGCGACCAACCUAGCACUCCUCGGGUCGUAAGUAGAUAUUUUACGUUCCAGCCAUGUUUUUUCGGGUUCCGGUCUUUUUCGGUGAUCGAGAAAGCCUUUAAGUUCCGGGGAAUGUUGAGCACGAUUGUCUACAACUCGUGCCUGACAUCGUGCAGCUCCUCAACAGCCAGCAAUGAUGCCAUGGUUUGUGAGUUAGUCGCGGAUUCUUCAGCGCUGUUGCGCGCAGUUUAAUAUGAUUUUCACAUCGCUCGGUGCGCGCACAGAAGUGGCAGGCAGUUGCUCCGAAAGAGUGAUGCGACGGCUCGACAUGCUGGAAACUUGUCGGGUCGCACAGGUCGGAAUUACAUCGACCCUGGUUUUGCGCACGUCAGAAAGCCUAGAAGAAAUACAUUGAAAUGAUGCAAUAUUCAUGCUUCUCGGGUAUCGGUUUUGGCUUUUGCUUCGUUGUUAGAUGCUGUGGACGGUAAUACUGAGGGGUAAACCUCUGGACUGAUCGUCCAAGGCCAAGCUUGCGGAAAUCGGAAAAGUGAUUUCUGAGGGUUUUUCCGGCGAAAUCUGACCGAUGAACGCGGUUUCGGUAUCGGAUAUCAUCCGACGGUGCCUCGUUGAGGUGGUUAUGGCGUCGCUUGAGGCCUGGUUUGGCUGGUCACCCGCGUCGUUUUGAGGGUUCGGGAAACGAAGGGGAGCGACGUAGAAAGUUCGCGUGCAGUUUUCGGAUUCGGCUUAUUUCGACGGUAAUCGGUUUUUGGGAAAAUCUGGUCUUGUUUUGUGUUAGCAGGGGUUGUGGUUUAGUUUCCUGUCAGUUGGUUAGACCUUACCCGUGCGACUUUCGUAGGUGUCGGUUGCCACCGUUCUUCUCACAGUUGAGAGCUUCGUCGGUACAUACAGGGUGCGGUACUUGACGCCGACGUCGGUCCAGUGGUGCUACGCUCGGUGACGUUCCUUCCACCUUCCUAUUUACAUUGACUUACAGUAUACUUUGCUUAUCAUAUUAUUCUGUAUUACUUACCUCGUUGUGUGCAAUGCUCAGGUAUCUUGUGUAGGAGUGAGUAGAUUUCUUCGCAUAUGAUAUCUUCUGAAUUUGGUUGGUUGGUUUCUUCUUUGUUUAUUCUAUGACCUGUGGUUGGGUCGAGUUUAUAUUCCGUAUUUGUGACUGUUUGGUCGAUUGGUUACAUUGAUGAGCGCUGCGGGUCGAUGGUCAUGGGGGGCGAGGAUUGUCGGCUGUAUAGUUGCGACGGUUGAUCAUUGAGCAUACUGCAUGAUUCGCCCGAUACUGUCGUCGAUUCAACGAACACUGAGCGGUCUGAUCCACGCAGGAGUGUUCUUAUUCCGGAAAAGUGGUUGAAUGGUGACAACCGUUUGAGCCUUAGAAGGGUUAUAUGCACUGGAGAGUAGUGGUUGAUUGCUUGGGUCUGACGGGUGCUGACAAUGAGAGCAGUGGUUCCGUUGGGUACUUUUUGAUGAUGUUCCCGUUUGAUGCUAAACAGCUAACAGUAGCUGUAGUUGUUAUUUAGUAUUUCAUUUAAGCACUUGUUUAUCUUAGUACUGUAUUAUCAUGUAUCGUAUAUUUGUUUAUCUCCGUGACUAUUUGUGAGUACCCCUCAGCCCUUUCGGCUUGCGGUACCCUGGUAGGGAACAUGUUUUAAUGUUUUCACCCCCCGCCCCAUUUACAGUGACCGUAAGCAGCGUCCGAGUGGCGACAGCUGGUGAGGAGCGUGUCUAGCGUUGCGAUUUUAGAGCUCCUUCCCGAUGUCGUUAUCCUUGUACCCUUCAAUGCUCGAAUUAAAUAUUGAACAUAUUAUGGUUCAGUUUCUAUUUAUUAUUGUUAUCUGGUUUUAUUUUCAAUUGUUUUGAAAUUGUACUAAAGGAUUUUGACUGUUUUAUCUUGAAAUAAACAGUUUUUUCUACCCCUUCGGUGGUAGCUGGUUUGAAGGAUGGGUUCCGUGUGGGAUUUAGUUUUUAAACUGAUUUCUUUGUGGUUUUAUGGAGUUAGUUAUUUUCAAAUCAGUUUCAGGUAGGAAAUAUUCUCACUGAUAGAUUUAGAUAGAUAGUUAUUCAUAAUUCAAGUUUCAGUAUCUGAGGCGCAGAGAAUGAUGAAUGGAUGAUGGAAUGAAUGUUAUCUAUUCUUGUUGUUCAUCUGGUUGUGGUUGUUGAUUGUAUGUGUAUCUAUACUCUGUUUGUAUUGUGCGAACCGCCGUGCAAAAUGACAGGGAGAGGACUCUGUCGUCUCGUGAACAGUGGAGCUUAUGUAUUAUUGUGGCGGAUCUGGCACCUCUGGGGUCAGAUUUUUUCAAAAAAAUCUUCAGACGUUUUCCGAUAGACCUUUAAACUAAAGGGACCGCGGGGCAAAAGGGCGUGACAUAUGUUCGGGAAUUGGUUUGAAAUUCCGAAAUUCGAAUUUCGAAUCGAAUUUUUGUAAUAGCGUUGUUAGAAGGUAUAUUUUAGGGAUAGGUUGGGAAUUCGAAAUUUCGAAAUUCGAAAUUUGAAAAUUUCGAAUUUUGAAUGGUUUUGGAGGAUUUUUGGGGGUUGGUUGAGGAUUAGGUUGGAAAUUCGAAGGUCGAAUUUUGAAUGGAUUGUGGGAUAAUUUUGAGAAUUGGUUAGGGAAUUCGAAAUUCGAAAUCGAUUUUAAAUUUAGUUAUUGGAUGAUGUUUGGGAAUUUGCGUUAGGGAAUUCGAAAUUUCGAAAUCGAAUUUUUGAUGAGGUUGUUGGAGGAUCAAUUUUGGGAAUUGAGUUGGGAAUUCGAAAUUCGAAUUUCAAAAUAGAUUUGUUGAAUGAGUUGUAUUUGAAAUGAAUUUCAAAUAUAUUUUAUAGCGGUGUGGAUGUGGGCCGUCAUUGAUCAGACCCGUUAUUAUUUAUUGGGCCAAAUUAAUAUUGAAUGGGAUGAAAUGAUGGCCAUUUUUUUAUUUGUUGCAUAGGCUUUCAUGGGCCACCAACGGCAUAGUUUAUGAUGACCAUUGGUAUAUUUAACUACUAAUUAUUAGUGUCCAAAAAUUUUAUGUUAUGAGUCCGAAUUUUAAUAGUUUUAUUACGAUACUUACCCAUUUUUUUUUACUUCAAAUGUGUUUAGUAUUAUAUAUUAUAUAUAUUAUAUAUAAUAUAUAUAUUAUAUGUCUAUAGAUAUAUAUUAUGAUAUAUAGUGUUAAUGUAUUAUAAGUGUGGUGUGUGGUAUACACAUGUUCAACACAACACACAUCAUUAUAUUAGAGAGAGAGAGAGAGGAGUUGGACUAGGUUACUUAUUAGCUAUGCAAAUCUCAUUUGUUGUACAGUUUUUAGCUUGAUUUCAACUGCUUUUCAUAUAUUUCUAAUCAUUGGAUUAAAUAUUUAACCAUGUGGGGACCACCUUCACCCUAGGGGGACACUCAACUCUAACGACUAUAUAUCUUGACACUACAAUUUUUCAUCAAGGUUUAACAUAUUGAUAGAAAAAGACGUUUUAUAUUAAUAGUAUUCAGACCUAAUUCUAUAUAUAUUAUAUAUAUAUAUAUAUAUAUAUAUUAUAUUAGAGAGAGAGAGAGAGGUGUUGGCGAUGAUGAGUCAGAAGAGAGGAAUUGAGAGUUGAGUAGAAUACUAUGGUAGUAAACGUAGCGUUUUACUAUCGAUUUGAGUUUUUCGAUGAUGCUAGAACUUCAAUUGAGGUCGGCUCAUUGAACCAUGAUCUAUCCACUUGAAGUGUUUAGAAUUUCAAUUUCAAAUCUUUUUCGACUCAUUAAUGGACCUAAUGAUCAAAGGGUUUCAAAAUUUGUAAUUUAAUGGUCAAUAAGAGUUUCUCGUUUAACGGCGUAAGAUAUCCAAAUCAAUUAAUAUUUUUUUUCGAAAAUUCUUUUAAACUGAUUUAUAAACAAGAUUAUACUCUUGAUCUUGUUACAAGAUCCCUAUCAUCAUUUUUUAAAGAGUUUAUUCAUUUCACCAUUUCAUUUUCGGUUCACUUGAAUGGAUAAAAGAACCAUAUCAGAGAAAGUGCUUGUGAAAUUUGAUUUAUUAUGAUGUUUUAAAUGCGUUUUAGAUAUGUUCAACGGAGCGAUCGGUCACAUUUGGAAGCUCUUAUCGAAAAACAUCGAGUGUACGGCUCGUUUACUACCGAUUAGGUUUCUAGACUCAACUCUCUCUCUCUUAUCUCUCUCUCUCCCUUUCUCUCUUCUCUCUCUCUCUCCUCUCUCUAUAUUAUAAUAUUAUUAUUAUAUAUAUAUUAUAUAUAGUUUUACUAUAUAUAUGUGUGUGUGUGUUGUUGCGCGCGGGCGGCGUCUAGUAUAUAUUAUGCUAUAUAUUUAAUAUAAUAUGUUGUGUGUUGUGUGUGUGUCGUUGCAGCGCUGAGUCUAUAUAUUUAUAUAUAUAUAUGUGUGUGUGUGUGGUGUAGGCUAGGGCUUACUAUGCUAUUAAUAGCAUCGUAGUACUUGUUCCUAUCAAAUGUUUCUUUGAUGAUAGAGAUUCGAAUCGAUGAUCGAAGCCGUUUAAGUGUGAUCUAGGAUAUUUGAAAAUAUGUAGAAACUAGAUUUCAUAAAUUUUAAAAUUAUUAAAUGGUGUCAACAGUGUCGUAAAAUGACAAUUUCUUUGCGGCCUAUAUGAGCAUUUGCUUGUUAACGGUGUAGAGCAAUCAAAUUGCUUAAAUUUUGAUAGAAAUUUUAUAUAUAUACUAUACUAGUUUAGUAUGUUGAUACUCUGAUUUGGAAUUGAGAAUCUAGCACUAUUUAAGAAGAUUUAUUAUUUAUGUCCAUUAAUUUUUUAACUCUUAGAUUGAACUUGAUAAUGAUUUUAAAUAUUAAAAUUUAGGUUUUUAAACAUUUUAUUCGAUGUAGAUCAAUUCAACGGUGCCGAUUAUCAUUUGAACUUCCGAUCAAUCAAACGACUUGAUAGAACAGUGCUCUAUCCUAUUAUAGGAUAGUAACCGGAAUCUAUAUUAUUAUAUAUAUAUAUAUAUUAUAUAUAUAUUAUAAUAUAAUAUAUUAUAUAUUAUUUAAUUAAUAGCCGAAAUUUUGGUUGCUACAAGUUCUUCUUGCAGUUAGAUCUCCCAUUUGUCUUUUUCACCCGUUGAUAUACUAUUCAACAACACCCAUUCCCCUAGGGCCACAUCAUCUAAGCACAUCUCUUAAUUCAAAAGCCAAAAAUUGUAGCAUCAAUUGACUUGGGUUGCUAUUAAUAGUAUAUUUUGCUUUUCUAUAUAUAUAUUUAAUAUAUAAUAUUUAUAUAUAUAUAUUGUGUGUGUGUGUGUGUGUGUGUAGUGGGUGUGGUGUGUUACAUAUGUGUGUGUAUUUAUAUAUAUAUAUAUUGUUGUAUGUGUAUAUAUAUAUGUGUGUGUAUAUAUAUAUAUGUGUGUGUGUAUAUUAUUUAUAUAUAAAGUUGGCUGGAAUACUUCGGUAGAAACGGGCUCCGUUGCCAUUUUGUUUUCGAUGACGGAGCUUCAAAUCGAUCAUCAGACUAGUUAUGGAAAUGAUCUAUACCACAUUGAAGUAUCUAGAAAUCUUUUAUAUUUUUCGAGAUUGUUUUCUUUGUCAUCAGUGGGCGGUAAAAAUGAAUGGUAAAAAAUGAAUUAUGCCUCUAAAAGUGAUUAUAGAAUUUGUAAUCAUGAUUCGAGAGUAUAGAUCUUAGUUCCUAAAUAGUUUAAAGAAUUUUCUACAAAAUUCAAUUGAUUUGGAUAGCUUUUACACCGUUAACGAAGAACCCUCUGAUACCAUAUAAUAUCUAAUUUUGAAACUCUUUGAUCAUUAGGUAAUGAAGUCAUAAAGAUUGAAAUUUAAUUUCUAAAUUAGUUCAAGUGAUUUAAGUGAUGUUCACCACGGCUGGCGUGUCGCUUUUGAAAGCUCCAUUAUCGAAACAAGAUGCGGUGGCAACGGAGCCGUUUGCUACGGGGACAGCCCAAAAUUUCCCAGCUCAACUGAUUAUAUAUAUAUGUAUAGUAUGUAUAUAUUAUAUAUAUAUUUAUUGUGUGUGUGUGUGAUGGUGUGUGUCAUGUUGAUGUGUAGUGUGUGUGUGUGUGUAGGUUGAGCUGGAUAAUCUAACGGUAUGCAACGGGUCGUUGCACACCUUUGUUUUCGAUGAUGUAGCCUCCAAUCGACGAUCGCAACAUUUGAAAAUGAUCUUACCAUUGAGUAUCUAGAAAUCAAAUUUCAUACUUUUUUCGAUUUUGUUUUUGUUGCUCAUCAAGUGUCGGAGUUAAAAGCUGAAGGUGAAAUGAAUAUCUUAAAGUGAUGAUUAGAAAUUUAUGUAAUCAUGAUCGAGAGUAUAGAUCUUGUUUCUACUAGCUUUAAAGAUUUUCUAACCAAUUCAAUUGAUUUGGAUAGUUUACACUGUUAAACGGAGAAAACCUCUAUAACCCAUUUAAAUUAUUAAUUUUUGAAACUUUGAAUCAUCUAGGUAAAUGAGGCGUCGAAGAAUUUUGAAAUUGAUAUUUCUAGAUAUUCACAGUGAUGUAGAUUCAUGGAUUCAACGGAGUGCCGUAUCGUUGAUUUUGAACAGCUCAUCAUUCAAACAAAUAGCUUGGCAACGGAACGUUUUUACUACCGAUAGGCAUUUCAGAACUCAACUAUAUAUAUAUUAUUAUAUAUAUAUAUUAUAUAUAUUAUAUAUAUAUGUGGUGUGUGUGUUGUGUGUUGUCGUGCGCGCCGCUGCAGCGCGCGCGUUUGGUGCGUCGUGCGUUUGUGUCUUUGCGUGUGUGUGUGAUGUGUGCUGUCUAUUAUAUAUGUGUGUAUUAUUAUACGUGUGUGUAUAGUGGAUAUAUAUCAACAUGAUUAUAGACACAUUCAAAGUAUCGGAAGCGGCGAACUUUCGUGCUUCAGUCGUCUUUCGAUGUUAGUGAUUAUUGAAUCGUUCAGCGGCUCGUUAAUCAUAAUCGUAGAAGUAUUUUAAAGGACCUAGAAAAUAAUUUAUGAUUUUACGGUAUCUUUUGCUAGUGACACGAGGCUACCCAGGGCUCAAUCAAACGGUUGAAAAUUAAAAUCGUAAAAUGUAUAAUAUGACAUAUAAAAUUUUAAUUCAAAGAUAUGAUCUUGUUUUAUUAUAGUAUAAGAAUUUUCUAUCAAAAUUUUCACAGGUGAUUUGGAUAUUUCUACACGUUAACUUGAAAACGGUCACUACGGCCAUUCAAAUUUGUUUAAUUUUGAGUCCAUUCGAUCACUAGGGCAAAUGAUAUCGAAAAAUAUAAAAAUUUAUUUUCUAGGUACUCCAACUACUCUAGAUCAAGUUUAACGGAGCAGAUCGACGAUUCAAAAGUCGAUGGAAGCACGGAAGGCUCCGUGCUUCCGAUAGCAUAGUAGCCUCACUCUAUAUAUAUAUAGAGAGAGAGAGAGUUGAGCUAGAAUACUCUCGAUAGUAAACGGGACCGUUUACUAUCGAGUUGUUUUCGAUGAUAGAGCUUUCAAAUUGACGACCGGCUCCGUUAAAUAUGAUCUAAACCAUUUAAACUACCUAGAAAUCAAAUUUUACGCACUUUCGAUAUUAUUCUUUUAUCCAUCUAGUGAACAGAAAAUGAAUGGCUGAAAAUGAAUAUUCUUUAAAAAAUGAUGAUAGGAGUCUUGUAAUCAAGAUCAAGAGUAUAGAUCUUGUUUUAAAUAGUUUAAAGAAUUUUCUAACAAAAAUUCAAUUGAUUUGGAUAGCUUUACACCGUUAAACGAGAAAACCCCUCAUAUCAACCAUUAAAAUUGUUAAUUUUGAAACCCUUUGAUCAUUAGGUAAAUAAUGUCGAAAAGAUUUGAAAUUUGAUUUCUAGAUACUUUAAGUGAUGUAGAUCAUGUUCAACGGUACCGAUCGUCGAUUUGAAAGCUCCAUCAUCGAAAAAAAAUGGGUGGCAACGGAGCCCGUUUGCUACCGNUUUUCGAUGAUGGAGCUUUCAAAUCGACGAUCGGUACCGUUGAAAAUGAUCUAUACCACUUAGAUGUAUAUAUACAUAUAUAGAGUUGAGCUGGAAUGUUAUCGGUAGCAAACGGGCUCCGUUGCCACCCAUUUGUUUUCGAUGACGGAACUUUCAAAUCGACGAUCGGUACCGUUGAACAUGAUCUACAUCACUUAAAGUAUCUAGAAAUCAAAUUUCAUACUUUUUUGAUAUUGUUCUCUUGUCCAUCAAGUGGGCGUAAAAAUAAACGGCUGAAAAUGAAUAUCCUCUAAAAAGUGAUGAUAGAAAUUUUGUAAUCAAGAUCGAGAGGAUAGAUCUUGUUCUAUAUAGUUUAAAGAAUUUUCUAACCAAAAUUCAAUUCAUUUGGCUAGCAUUACACCAUUAAAUAAGAAAACACCUCAAAUCUGCCAUUAAAAUUACAAAUUUUGAAAUCCGUUGAUCAUUAGGUCAAUAAUGUCGAAAAGGUUUGAAAUUUGGUUUCUAAAUACUUCAAGUGGUAUAGAUCAUGUUCAACGGCGCAGAUCGUCGAUUUGGAGGCUCUAUCAUCAAAAACAAAUGGGUAGCAAUGAAGCCCGUUUGCUAUCGAUAACAUUCCAGCUCAACUCUACAUAUAUAUAUAUGUAUAUAUACAUAUAUAUAUAUAUAUGUGUAUAUAUACAUAUAUAUAUAUAUAUAUAUGUAUAUGUAUAUAUGUAUAUAUAUAUAUGUAUAUGUAUAUAUGUAUAUAUAUAUAUAUAUGUAUAUGUAACAGUAUAUAUAUAUCAUCAUAUAUACAUAUACAUAUAAUAUACAUAUAUACAUAUACAUAUAUAUAUAUGAUAUGUAUACAUAACAUAUUAUAUACUAAUAUUAUAUUAACUAUAUAUAUAUAUAUUAUAUUAUACUAUAAUACAUACAACUACUAUAUAUAUAUAUACAUCACAUACAUAUCGAUAUACUAUACAUACAUACAUAUUAGUACUAUACAUACAUUCACAUAUAUAUUAUACAUAUAUAUAUAUAUAUUAUAUAUACAUAUAUACAUAUAUAUAUUAUAUUAUAUAUCAUUACAUAUAUAUAUAUUAGAAUUAGGCUGCAAUACUAUUAAUAGUAUAAACACUCUUUAGCUUCAAGUUUUACACCCGUUGGGAGAAAAAUUGUAGGGCAGAUGAAUAUUAGUCGCUAGAGUUGACGUGGUCCCCCUAGGGUUUGAGUGUUCCCACUGGUUAUAGAUUAUCAGAUGUUAGAAAUAAUGAAAAGAGUUGAUCCAUAAGGCUAAAAAUAGUUAGCAAUAAUAGAUUUUGGGCUACUAUCAGUAGCCCAGGUCCAAACUAUAUAUAUAUAUAAUAUAUAUAUGUAUAUACAUAUUAUUAUUGUAUAUCAUAUAUAUACAUAUAUAUAUAUGUAUAUAUAUAUAUAUGUAUACUACAUAUAUAUGUAUACAUAUAUAUGAAUAUACAGUCAUUAUAUACAUAUUAUACAUAAUAUACAUAUAUGUAUACAUAUAUUAUAUUAUAUAAUUACAUAUAUAUGUAUAAGAACUAUGUGCUACUGUACUAUCGGUACACGGAGGGCUCCGUGCACAAGUUGCUUUUCGAAUAUGCGGCUUUCAAAUCGACUAUCGAUUCGUUAGACUUGAAUCUACGUCUAUUAAAAUAUUUAGAACUAAAUUUCGAUAAUUUUUUCGCUAUCAUUACUAUCAAACAAAAGUCUAACUUUGAACUGCUUAGAAAAUAAAAUCCAUAAAAAUAAUGAUAAAAGAUUUUAAUUCAACGAUCAGAUACUAAUCUUACUCCUAAAUAUAAAAAAAAUUUCUUAAAAUUCAUCAAAUUUGGAUUGGUUUUACAUCGUUAAACUCACAAAACACACUCACAUUUGCAUUAAAUGUCAAUUUUCUUCGAAAUCUUUGAUCAGUAAUUAAAUGAUGUCAAAAAAGCUGAAAUUAGUUUCCAAUAUACUUUAUCAGUAGUGAAAUCAAGUCUAACGGAGUCUAGCGAUCGUCGAUUAUGGAAGCCGCAUACAUACAGACAACAUUGUGGACGGAUGCCCUUCCGUUGCUAACGAUAUAUAGUAGCCAAACUCUAAAUAUAAUAUAUAUAUAUAUUAUAUAUUAAUAUAUAUUUAUAUAUAUUAUGAGUAAACUACUUCUCUUCUCCUUCACACCCUUCUCUCUUUUUCUUUUUCUUUUUCUUUAGUACUUUCUCCUCACAAUCUGUUUCUUCUUUUUCAUUUUUUUAUUUAACGGAAUAUGUGAUCCCGCGGAGAAGGCAUCGCAAUCCACAAAUUUCUCUCCCUUUUCUAGAUGCUUCAUUUAUAGAGCCCCCUGAUUGGCUCUUUAUGAAUCCAAAGGCCUCUUCAAAAAAAAUUGCCACACAUUGUGAUCCCAAAUUUUUUGGGAUUACUGAGGGAAGGGGGGGUAGAGAGAGGAGGGAGAUAGAGAAGGAGAGGGAAGAGAGAGAAAUGGUAGAGAGAGGAAGGAGAGGGAGAAGAGGUAGAGAGAUGAGGGAGAUAGAGAAGGGAUGGGGAGAGAGAGAAAAAGGGUAGAGAGAGAGAGGGAGGAAGGCUUAUCAGAAUGAGAGAGAGAAAUGGUAGAGAGAGAGUGAUGGAGUGUAGGGUAAAGAGAGAAUUACUGUAAGGACUAAGGUUUUGGCAGUAUAGCUAAACUCUCUGUUGAUAAUAUUUUUGUGUGUAUUUUAAUUACAAAAGCACUCGUCAAGUUUCGGGAGAAAACGAGUUUGAAUGGAGAAGUUACGCGACUUUUACUUUUCACUUAAAGUGAAUAGUAACCCGCUUUUCCGGAGAGGCCACGGUGUAGAGUUGGAUUCCGACGCGUAUGAGACUCCGUUCAUAGCAAUCCAAUUGCUCAUUUUGAAUGAUUCGACUGUUCUGGAACCAAUGGCGCUGACGGAUUUUAGAUUUGAUGCACAAUUUUCGAGAAAAAAGGAGUUUAUGGGUUUUACACAUAUAUUUAUGUGUGGUUUUGGAAAGUUGGAGAGUUGAUGGGUUUUGUUGCAAAACGGCGACCAUUUCAGGCGAAACAAAAUUGUGAAUUCGGUGCCCCGGUUGUGCCGAACGCGUGGACGCAGUCCGUUCGCAAAUUCGACCGACAGAUCUCCUGAUAUCGCGUGUUGAUCGAGGAAGGAUCAUUUGUGGCAAAACGGUAAUUUUGUGAAAAGCUUGACAUUUUAUGUACCGUUUUGCGUGGAAUCGAAUGUGGAGGUGUAAUCGCGCAUUUUACUCGCGCUGUGAGGGACUCAGAUUAAAAUACUGAGUUUCGAAGGACUUGUCGACAAAUUGGCGACUUGUAUAUAUAUGUCAUUUAGGGUUUCAUAGAGGAAACCCUAACCUUGUUGACCUCCUCCCUCAGCCGACCUCCCUGCGACCCUCUGAACCUCCCCAACCCUUGCCGCGUGCGCUCCGGCCACCUGCGCGUGCCGCCAGCCAUCGGAACCUGACCUUCUUCAUCGCAUUCUCUCCCUCCUCUUUUUGUCACCCUACCCAAGAUCAGCCAAACAGGAUCUCACCCUCGGGCCACCUCCCUCGGCCGAGGCCCGACUUCUGGCGCCGUCCCCGCCGGUCCCCGCCGUCCGCGCGCGCCGCCAUCACCGCCUGGGCGACCCGCGGGCAGUUUUAGCCAGCUCGGGCCGAGCUCAGUUGAGCUCGUCGCCCGCGAGUCGCCGCCGCCCUAGGUCAGCCCCGUUGCCCUCCUAGACCUCCGGCGACCUCCCUGCGCGCGUCCCCGCCGUCCCCGUUGGCCGCCGCUGCAACCCUAGCUCCCCGCCGCCGCCUAGAUCAAGCCUGGGCAGAAGCUUGGCCCGCAUCGCCUCCUCGCACAGCCGCCACACUGGGCCGGCCGUGACGCCCUUCUCCGGCCUCCGGCGACCAACCGCCAUCGUCCCUGGGCACCCCCGACCACCGCCCGGCCGCAGCUGCACCGUUGAGCCCGAGCCCAGCCCGUGCGGGCUCGGGAUGUUCCAGCACUGCCGCCGUUGCCUUCCGCCGCCGGCCGGCAUGAGCACCGGCUCCGCCUGGCCGGCUGCACUCAUUCCGCCGCCGGAGCUCCCUGUCGGACGGACUUGGCCUACGCUCUCCUCUGGUUGUUGCGGCUAGGGCAUCAGGGCCCAUCGCCGCCGCUGCCUUCCGUCUCUGGCCGACCCGCACCCUAGCUUCCCUACGUCGCCCGCGCCUGCCUACCGCCAGUGCUCCCGCCGUCGAGCCGCUGUCGGCCACCAUAUGCUUCACCAAGCUCCGGUAAGCUUAGUUCUGCUUUUCUGCGCACUGUUUAGAGUUCGGAUCGUUGUUCCGGCGAUCCGAGGACACCUCGACACCCCCGGAAGUGAGCACGAUGAUCCCUAUUUCAUGCCGAACAUCGUGCUCACCUCUUUUUGGGUCAGCGUAGCCCCAGUGUGCGUAUUAAACGCAGUUUAGGCACUAUGUGCGCUGUUUGGCUGAAGUUCGCGUCGCCCGUGCGCCUGCCACAGUGGCCGGCAGUGCUCUGAAGUGUGAGCACGGCAUAUGGCACGUCAAGACCUGACAACGGAUGUCUUAGCCUGGCCAGAAAAACCUCGGUUUGUGCUGACGGGCCAUAAAACCCCGAAAAUCACAUAAAAUAAUGUGAUUUUAUGUAGUCGUGAGGGUGUUUAGGAAACUGUUUAAAUUGUGGUUGCUGUAGGCAGCGUGUGCGGGCAGCGGGUGACCUCUAGAUUGGUUGUCCAAAGCCCCCAGCCUUUCUGGAAAUCAAAUGUUGAUUUCUGGUGCGUUUUUCGGCGAAAUCUGCCGACGGAACGUGAUUUCGGUUCAGAAUUCUUCCGACGGUGCCUCACGGUAUAUUGUGUAGUCGCUAAGCCUUGUUAGCUCGUCACUCGCAUCGUUUUGAGGGUUCGAAAAUGACGGGUGAGUGACGGUGGAUUCCGGUGUUGAAGUUGACAUUUCUGGGAACCUGGAUCGGAACGAUUAUCCAACGAUAAUCGUUUCGAUGUGAGGAUGUGCGUUUGUUGCCAUUUCACACGAAUAGUUGACUGUAGUGGUAGCGGGUGACUCGUAAAGCGAGUCGGUGAGUUCUGAGAGAGUUCGUGAGUCCCAUCGGAGUCCCAGUGUGAUUUUCGGGACUUCCGGCGUGUUACAGCAAUCGGUUUUGGGAAACCGAUUCCCGUAGGUUUAUUGGUGGGAAUUGUGAGUCAGUAGUUUGUGUUUGUGGGUUGGAUACUAACCCAGUGGACCCUCUAUAGGUCCAGUUGACUUUCUUCUGCAGUCGGGAGAUUAAUGCUAUGUACAUAUAGGUGGGUACUUCGACCCGAAGUCGGUACAGUGGUGCACUCUCGGUGACAUCUUCUUACCCUUAUUCUUUCGUUGUUAUCUUGCAUAUAUAUCUAUAUAUUUUGUUGAGCCUUGCACCCAUGUUGUUUCCGUUAUACUCUAUUCGGUUGUUUUCAUGCCUAGUAUCAUGAGUAGGAGUAGAGCAGUUCUAUCUACAUGUGAUAUCUGUGACCUGGUUGGUCCAUUCUUAUUUCUCGUAUUUAUGACCCAUUUCGUCGACUUGUUGCAUCGUUAUUGUGACCUACUUGGUCGGUUGGACUAGUGGAUGACCUAUACAGUCGGUGAGCCCUGAGGGCCAGGAUUGUUGGCUAGUUGCCGACGGUUGACUAUUAAGCAUAUCAGCAUUGAUCGCACAAUACUCAUAUGCAUUUCACGAAUACCAGAGGUUUGAUCCACCGCAAGAGGGUGUUUUUUUCCUUAAAAGUGGUUGGAGGCGCCAACCCGUGAGCCCAUAGGCUAUCUUGGGUUAUUUGCAAGUAGAGUGACAGCUUGAGGUCUGCGGUGCGGACCAAUAGGGCACAGCUUGAGGUCAACGGUGCGGACCAAUAGAGCACAGGUUUGAGAUUGGGUAUUUUUGGACUUGUCGUCCAUUGAUGCAUACAUACAGUAGCGGUAACUAUGCAUUAUACAUCUUGUUCAUUCAUUAUCGUUGCUACUAUAUUUCACUUACCCAUAUUGUUGUUUGUCCUCCUUGACUGGUGAGUACCCCUCGCCCUCGUCGGCUUGCGGUACCCACUAGGAGGGGAGACAUGUUUACAUAUUCUCACCCCCCCCACCCCGAUUACAAAUGACAUCGCGGGUCCUAGUGGGACGGUUCGUGAGGAGCAAGUCUAGCGAUCGAUAGUGCCACCAUCCCGUUGUUUGGUUAAUUCUCAAACUCAGCUUCUUUAAAUAAAUGACUUAGACAGUUAAUUGGUUCAGCGACUUUUCACUUUUGAAUUCAUAUGGUUUUAUAAAUGUAAUAAAGGAUUUGUGAAUAUUUGUGAAAUGAAAAUGGUUUUCUACCUCUCGUGGUAACGAGUUUUAAAAGGAAAAGGUUUCCAUAUGGGAAACAGUUUUUAAAAGUGUUUUCUCGUGGUUUUCAUGACUUAGUAUUUCAAAACAAGUUUUCAGAUAGGAAACAUUUUAAACUAAUAGUUGUGGAUUUAUAGUUAAACUCUGAAUGUGAAUGUGAAUGUGAAUGGUGUAUGAAUGUAUGAAUGUAUGUAUAUUCAUAUGUAGUGGUUGUAUACCGUUUUAUGUAUCUUGUACUUGCGCGACGCCGUGCAAAUACAGGGGAUACUCUGUCCGUGUGAACAGUAAACUCCCUAUAUUUGUGGCAGAUCUGGCAUACCCUAGGGGUCAGGUUUUCAAAAAAAAAAAUUUGGGCACUUCCGCUUUACUUUUAAAUCAAAAAGGGACCCCGAGGCGUAACAAUUACUCUCAACACGCCACGAGGCUUUUAGGAGUGCCAAAUAGUGUAUUGUAUGGAUAUCCUAUUCCACGGUAAAUACUUUUAUAGCCUUUGAAUAUUUUAAGUGGACGACCAAUUAUUUUAUAGAUUUAUAGUAAUCUUUUUUUUAUUAUGUAUGUUGCAAAAAUAAGUAUAAACUAAACACCAUUGUUGAGGGCGAAAGUGGCACAGUCAAUUUUACUAUAUUUAGAAGGUUGAUACAAGAUCUUAUUUAUAUUCCGGUGCAAAAUUUAGCCACAACAAUGUACAAAGAUAAAUUUGCUCUCCCUCCUAUUUUCCAAGUUGUACCCGAUGCUUCUUUUAAAGUUUUAAAAAUUUUUACAUUAACAACAAUCCAAGAGGAAAAGGAAAGAAUAAGAAAAAUUUAUUUACAAAAUAUGAGGACCAACUCCACUCAUCUCCCAACAAGAAACAGGCCUGCACAGAAUUGUUGGGAGAAAUUUCUCCAACUCCAGGAACUUUUGCCAGGUGACACAACUUUAUUAGCUUUUAAGUUUUAUAUUUUUAUAUGUCGUUUACAUAUAAAAAAUUUAUUAAAUGGUUUUUAUUGACAGUUCCACACAAUCAUCUGGUAAGUUAUAUGAAGUCCCACAUGCCAAAAGACACCGCCCUAGGUGAUAUUUAAUAUAAAUUGAUUUUUUUAUUUAAAUAACUUGUUUUUCUAUUUAUAUGUAAAAAUACUAAUAUGCAAUCAUUUUAUUUGUAGUUCCAAAAAUGCCGGUGAAGACUAUAAAGACAAAUAAUGAAGAAUUAUAAAUAAUAUGUCAACUCUUACCAAUAUUUAUAAAUAUUGAUGGAGGCUAAAAAGACAAUCAAUGAAAAAUUAUAUGUAAUAUGCCCGCUUUUAGCAAUAUUUAUAAUAUAUAUUUGCCCCGCGAAAUCAUCAAUAUUCAUCAUGUAUAUUUGACGUCACUCUUAUUUGAAGAGACGGUUUCUAAAGAAUAUCUUUUUAUCAAUCUCUUUUUUAUAGUACAUAGUGAAAUUUCCUUCUUCUUUUAGACCGUGGGAUGUGUAUAUUACAUAGAAAUUGUUCAUAUUAGUAGUUACUUUCUUUUCUACAUACUUUUAGAGUAUUGUAUGCAUCUUAUACUCCUAUAUUUAAAAAUUUGGUUCCUAAAAUUUUAUAGAUAUAUCCGCAGCGUAGCGAAGGUUUGUCACUAGCUAUUAGUAACACCAAGCACUUCAUGCUGAUCUCACCUUCAAUGAUUUUUGCGCUGAAUGAACCAUCGUCGCUGUUAGAAGUUAUCAGAAGCGUUAAAACUUAUAACAACUAACGACCUCGUUUCACAUCAUCCGUUUUUCAUUUUUUUUAAAAUAAAAUUUCUCCAUGAGAUAAUGUAAUAGAAAAUCAUAGAUUACUUAAAAGAGUCCUCGCGAGUAUUUGUUUAGCAACAAAGGAACAAAAGUUGAAAGCUAAGUUUUUUUCUACAUCCAAAAUUUCUCAAAGUUGUCAUCCAUUACUAGGCCAGAGGGGAUUGCAAGAUGUCUAAUCAUGACAACAAAACAGCCAUUUAUCUGUCUACUAAAUUAUAGAAAACUAGUUUAAAAAUAAUAAAAGAAUAACAUAAAAAAUGCCAAACAAGGCCUAAAUUUCAUACCGUUCAAAAUUGUUCUCCAGUUUACCCAGUCACCACAAAAUAGACAGAUUUUUAAAAUUAAGAUCCUAAUUGCAGAUCUCCAUCUUAUAAAAGAAUAACUAUAUUAAGACAAAAAAUCCUCAUAUAGAAUGUUAAACAUUUCUAAUUUUGCAACUGCUAUAUCAUUAUGUAAAUGAUAUUGAAAAAAAAAAAAAAAAAUCUAGUUCCUAGAAUUUCAAAUAUCAUAGAUCACGAUUAAUAGUUCCAAUCAUCAAAUAUAAGGGUCCAAAUAUGUGAUAUAGAAAUUAUUACAAAAAAUGUAGCCGUGUGAACUUAUGAAGCCACCAGAAUCGAACCGACUGUGAUACAACAUUUCUGCAAUCUAUCAAGAAUGGAAAUACUUGGGGAAUAAGGAUCGAGGGAAGCAUUUUAGUCACCUAAGAGCCAAUUAAAAUAUAACUUCCCCAGCUAUUAGAAUCACUCAAAUCGUCGAGUCUAAGCAUAAAGGUCUAUGCCCCAGAACUUCGCUGGCUGAUUAGUACGACACUUGCGAUCGAUAGUUUUGAUCUUUUCCAUGUCCUCAUCCGAUAUAGUGAAAUUGAAAAUUUGGAAGUUCUCGCGUAACCUCUCAACUUUCGAGCUCUUUGGGAUAACAGCAGUGUUUCUCUGGACACCCCACUGGAGAACAAGCUGAGCUACUGUCUUGUUAUAUUUCUCUGCCAAAGUCUGAUCAUACGAUGGGAAAGAAGGUCAAUUUGAUGACAAUGAUGAAGGUGGUAGAGUGAAAGAAAAUCCAAAAAAAUUGAAGGGUAAAUUGAACCUCAGUCCCCAACAUUUCAAUUGUAACAACCGGGUCCCUGACAGUAGCUGGAAAGGAUAGGGUUGCCAUGAAAUGCAGAAAUAGGGACCCAAAUGCAGCAGUUAAAGGUUGUGGACCAAGCUGAAACCUACUUAAAAGAUUGGAGACACCUGGGACUAUUAAUUCAAGUAGAGAAAGGGAGGAUAUUGUUACCUUGAUCACUGGAUCUUCAAGACAUGAGAUGGAACCAAACCAUUCAGCAUUGGCAGCUGCACCGCCCAGAGGAGUGUGCGCAGUAACACAAAUCCCAUGCUUUUGGCAGAAUUUGACAAGUGAAUCACGCUGGAAGUAAGGAUGUGUCUCGAUUUGAUUCACCGCAGGCUUUAUUUUGGAGUAAGCUAUGCAGUCUCUAGUAAGAAAGAUGUCAUAGUUGCUGCACAAAAGCACUCCUUAUCAGAGGAAAAAGAGACGAGGAAACUGUUUGUAGUUAAAUUACUCAAGUAACAAUAUUCUAGUAUUAUGAAGAAGCAAGCAACUUAAGAUUUAACUAUUUUAUCUUCGCCUUUCCUGUUCAAAAAGUGUUGCAAAGAAUAAGUUGUUCGGACAUUGGAAUAAGCUAUCCGGUGAUAACUUAUUUCGUAUGAAGAUUUUUAUGUGAUUGGAAGGUAGAAGCUACACUUGUGCUCCUUGAAAAGUCUUGGUAUUCAUGAUUUAAUAAGAUAGCAUAUUUCACCUAAAAGGAAAUUUAUUUUAUCCCAAAAUAAUGACUUGAAGGCCGAAUACAAAAUCCAUUCUAAACAUCUAAUGACAAACAGGCACCCUGGGCUUGGUUUCAAUGUUUCACAUUUGUUUUAUCUGAGUUAGGAUUUACUAGGAGUUCGGCUUAUCCUUCUAUAUUUACCUUCCAUAAUAAGGAAGGAAUUCUUGUUCUUUUUUUCUAUGUUGAUGAUAUCAUCGUCACAGGCAGCUCGUCCUCUAUAGUCUAUGCUGAACUUCUUAAUGUUCACUCUCCAAACAAAAUUUGCUAUGAAAGAUUAGGGGACCUCUUAAUUUUUUUUUUUUCUGGGAGUGGAAGUAACUACUACAGCUUAUGGUCUUCGACUGACACAACAAAAAUAUGCUCAACAGCUAUUUGAGCGACAUGAUAUGUUUUCUAGCAAGUCUGUUUCUACUUCUCUAUCAUCUAUGACUCAGCUGUCUUCUCAUGAGAGCCUACUUAAGGAUCUCCAUACCUACCGUCAGAUUGUUGCUGCACUCCAAUACCUUACCUUCACUAGACCAUGUAUCUCAUAUGCUGUGAAUCUGGUUGCUCUGUUUCUACAAGCACCUCGGGACCCUCACCUUCAGGUUGUUAAACGCAUUCUACGUUAUAUUAGAGGGACAAUGAAUUAUGCCUUUUAUUUUUCACAUUGUACUUCUCCCUAUCUUAUCGGCUACUCUGAUGCUGAUUGGGUUGGCUGUCCUGACACUGGACGUUCGACUUCUGGUUUCUGUGUUUUUCUUGGUUCCAAUCUAAUUUCGUGGUUUGCUGAGAAACAAUUGACAAUCUCUCGUUCUAGUUCUGAAGCUGAGUAUCGUAGUGUUUCAUUCACUCUUGCUAAGAGCGUUUGGAUCUAUCGCCUGCUUCAGGAUCUUGGUGUGUCACUAUGUCACCCUCUCACUAUCUAUUACGGCAAUCUCAGUACAACAUACAUUGCAGUCAAUCCGAUAUUGCAUGCACGGACAAAGCAAAUAGAACUAGACCAUUAUUUUUAUGCGAAAGUACAACUGGUUGAUCUAUCUUUAAUUCACAUUCCUUUUGAUAAAUAGUUGGCUGAUAUUUUUACAAAACCUUUGUCUACUGCUCGCUUUACUGCGCUUCAUAUCAAUCUUCACAUUCAGCCUUGAGAUGCUCAGAUUGCGGGUGGAUGUUAGAAUCUAAUCAUUUAUGUACUUAUGUGAUUAGCGCUAUUGCCAGUUGUAUUGUACUUGCAUAGGGCAUAGUUAGUAAAUUUGCGAAUUAUUCGCGAAUUUUUGGAAAACCGAAUUAAACGGCCGUAUUCGUAUUUUUCAAAAGUCGGAAAAAAAGGCGAAUUUUUGGGGAAAAAUAAUUAUUCGCGAAUUAUUCGCGAUUCGCGAAUAAUUUGGCCAAAAAAACGGCCCUCGGGCCCGAGCCCGGGCCCAUCCGCGCGCUGCUCACGCGCCCGCUCUCGCGUGCGCACGCGAGAGCCAGCGCUGGCUCUCGCACCGAGCCGCGGNAAAAAAAAAAAUUUACUCAAUCAAAAAAAUUUAAUCUCUUAUGAACUAUUUUAAUCUCUUAUUUGCUUAAUUAUUUAUUUAUUUAGGCAUAAUAUAGUUUGAUAUAUUUUUUUAUUUAAUUAGCUUAAUUUUGUAGCUUUUUAUUCUUAUAUUCUUAAAAAAUAUGAGUAUUUAUGCUAAUAGCAUAAAUCUUGAGAGAAAAAAAUUUAAUUUAAUAGCCGAAUUUUUGAUCCCGAAUUUUUAAUUGGUGAACGUAUAAAAUCCGUAUAAAUCAUGUAUUCGAAUAAUUGGCGAAUCCGUUUUUUAGCCGUAUUUUUCAACGAAUUUAAAAAUUAAAAAACGAAUUUUAUCCGAAUUUUAUCCGUACCGAAUUUUUGCCGAAUCCGAAUUAACUAUGGUAUAGGGUCUAGUUUAACACAAUUUGUACUAUUAAGGUUUUUUUUUGUAUUGUAUUCAUUAUAUAUUCUGUAGAACGCAGCGAAAGAUUUUGUUCAUACCUUUUACAUAAGCGACUCACGCCAGUACGGGAUAAGUCCUGAAUUGUAGAGAUUGAUUCACGUGUCCUCGGAUCAUCCACAAAGGUCUUCUAACGCUCCAAACCCGUGGUAGAUCAAGCUACGAAUGAGGUAGAUCUAUAAUCCACCGUUCAAGACCCCUUAGAGGCAAUAUGUUAAUGAAAGAUGUGGUUUCUCUCUCUCACAGGGCGGCGCGCAAAUUUCUCACGAAUUUCUGGGCAUUUUUCUAUUUUUUCUUGUUAUGUUUUUUUAAGAGAGAAUCACCUGUAUAUUUAUAAGGGAUCUCAACACACAAUAGGUAGGUAGAAGAUUAGGCCGAAUCCGUUUAUGAUUGCUAUCCUAAUAUGGCUAUAAUAUAUCUCUAAUUAGCUUUUCAAAUUAAAAUCGAGAUUAAAUCUAGUCCAAUUAGACAAAAUAAUAACUAUCGAAUCGAGCCCGAUCAUCGGCGCACCCAAUUAGGUUUGACCGAAUGCCAACAUAUUCAAUGGAAACCCUAGAGGGGGCUUUUACGGCUUUACCCAAUCUUUCACAUACUUUAAAUGGAACUUGUUUAUUACUUGUUGAGGACUCCGCAGGAAGAAAUAAAGAAAGUGGGCCCAAAGCGAGCCACAAAUUACAUCAAAAUCAUUGAGUGAUGCUAGAAUAAGCAAGCGAGGACUAACUUACACAUGACAAGUUAGUAUGUGUUUCAGACUUUUAGCGUAACCUAUAUGGUGCUUUUGUUGCCUUCCAGCCAAACCAAUAUGGUGUCACCACUGUUCUUGUGCCAGUGCAGGUCACAGUAGUAUACGUACAUCGCAAUCCAAUUCGCUAUUCUUUAUUACGAGAUGUACCAGCACAGAAUGAGCUUUUACUAGUAUCAGUAAUGCUUAUACAGUCGAGGGAUCAUCUAGUAAUUAAUGAUGACAAUUACUAAUAUGAUCCCACUCAAUGUACUACUAUAAAUGGAAGAUAAAAGUUUACGGCUUUUAGAGUUAUGAUAUUGGCACCUGGAAGUAUCUGUAAUUUUAUAUUGUUGUUAAUUGUUAGUCUUAUAUAAGCUUUUAUGUAUUUUCAUUAGUUGUAUAUGACUGUAUUCAACUUGGACUGGAUAAGAAAUAUAAUUUGGAUCAAGUUUAUAUGCAUUAUAAACCUUACAACAUACUAAAAGGCUAAAAUUACCCAAAAACUAGAAAAAGGUAGUGCUAGCGUGCCACUUGCGUACUACUGGCAGGGGGGCCGUGCUGAACAUUAGCUCAGCCCGUUCUGCUAGCAUAGCAGCAUGGACCGAACCAGUGGCUGGGCAAUCCUUGGCUUCAACUAAACCCUUUACCAUGGAAGUUUCACGAGAGAGGCAAAGGGAUAGGUAAGAAGUUACCCACCUAAAACCUAGUAAAAGCCUACAUGCCUGUGGUUCUUUCACACUCUCUUGCUCUUGAGAGAGACACCACCAAGGAAGAAGAAAAGACUCGCUCUCUCUCUUUGAUCCUAUACUUGACCCAUUAGACCCACUUAAACAUGAUUUCCUUGACCUAAUGUGAGCAACUUCUAACUUGAAUGAGAAAUGACCCAAAAGGCUAAAACAAAAUGGGUUUCGACAAAUACCCUUAUUGACCCUAACAUAACCAAAAGGCAAAAAAAUAAGUUAGUGCUAAUGUUUAACAGCUAGUGGUGAAGUUGAUAGUGGAGGCCUCAAAAUUUGAAUUCGACCAGGUGGAGGCGAAUUGCAGAGAAGUCAAGGUCUUCCGGAGGCUUCAGCCAAUGGUGUGAAGGUAAAAAGUAGAGGUGAAUGUCUCCAUUUGAUGCACCGGGGCACAGACUUUCACAGAUAAAUUUUUGUCAAAUGAAUUGAACUUUAAUAUCACUAGCCAGUAAGACUAUUUAGUAUCAAUUUAUGACCUGCUGACUUGUCGUUGGCAUGCACAACAAGGUUAGGUUCACUUGUUAGGAGGACAGAAGUUUCUAUUUAAUUUAUUGUUCUCGCAGGAGGUAACUUAAAACUCAUGGCUGAAGUACUAAUUGAACAUUAGAUAGGAAAGAAGAAAGGCACAAUAAGAUAUAUAUUCUGAUGUCUUGUAUGGGCAACUAAUGUCGUAAUUAGGAAUGUUGCAUCAAAACUAGAGUUGACAAUUGAACUAACCUUUUUGGGCUAGGCUCAGGCUUGAUUUCAGGCUUGAUUCUAGGCUAAGUUAGGCUGCACUCGAAAUAAAUUAAAUGAUCCAAAUAACAUUAACUGCCACCGCUGCUGUAUACUGAUCCAAAAAAUGCUGCAAUAACAUUGAUUACUGUGAUUGCUGUAAGUUGGGGCAUGAUUCCUAUGAGUGUCUAAAAAGCCAAUCAGAUGGAGGGUGAUAGCAUCAAUGUGUUGUGAUAUAUAAAAUGCACCUCAAUGAUGAUGCUGCUAGUGAAAGGUAGCUCAGAGGUAGCAUAUAUGACAACUCGGUUGCUUUUAUAAGAUGUAAUGGUGGAGGGUUGUUGGAAAUGCACAAAUUUGAUGUUUACAGCCUGCCUAUAUUGUGCAAGGAAAUUUACAAAAUAAUUUUUUAUUACUCUAUAUAUUCUUUCUAUUGAAGUGUACGAGAGGCAUGUGAGAGUAGUCCAUGAAAUUUUGGUUCAUGCAAUUUUGGACCUUUCACUAUGAAUACUUGUUUGUUAUUCUUAAUAUAUAUAAGGGACUUGACUAAAUUGGCUGAAGUUCUAUAGCCUUUGUCACCUUUUGUUCGUAUUGAUUAAGAGUAGAGAUUACAACUGAUUUCCUGAGGAGUGGGGGUGGAGGCCACAACUAUAUAUAGGCCACUCGCCACCCAAGCUACGAAUGAAAAGACGCCAAGUGGUGCAAAACUAUAAGGCAAAGAGGGAGGCUACGAGCUCCCGAGAGACUACACCUAUUGCCCUCCUAGAAACUCUAAGGGACUCUUCACCCUUCGGCAUCCGCGCCAUAAGUCUUGAAACCCGCAUAGAUGCUUCUAGAAUGUCCUAGCAAAACCUCUGACAUAACUCUCUUUCGGAGUUUGGGUGAUUGCAAAGGAGAAGUCGGUGAAAACUACUUUGUCCGUGACAACCUCCCCUACCUAACGCGCAAACGCCUCGUCGCUAGUCGAGCUGCUCCCGGUCCGCGUAGCUUUCCGCUUAGUCCGCUGUGCCUUCGCGCCCGAAUGGCCCUGAGCCUUGCUAUCGCAGUUUGCAUUUGCCCCCGCACCAGCGCCUAGUGCCUUGCCUCUCUCAGCAUGAGCACUAGCGAGCUCAUUGCGCGGAGAAUCCGCCAAAUGUGCCCAUCCUCCACGACAUGCCACGCGCAUGCCGCCAAGCCGCAGGAUGCCCUCGAGUCCUAUCGGGCUCAUGCUUGACAGAAUGACUUGCACUUAUGCUUGACGCUGCCUGCUCCAACACCACUUGAGACUUGACAGCCUCGCCUUCGCUCAGGUCCUCCUUGAGGUCCUCAGCCUUCCCACACUUCACCUCCUCAUAAAGCUGUAAGGUCGUAAAAGUUUAGUCCUUCAUCGGCUCGCCCCAACACAUCGAAACCAUGCAAGGCGCUGACUCAUCCAGGAAGCUCAACACCCACAAGUAUGGCAUAGACGUUGCUUUCGACGAAACUAGGAAGUCCAUCCCGAGGAUCACUCCGAAGUCGUCGAGCGGCCCAACAAUGAAAUUGGCCAUGCCCCUCCACGGGCCGAUGGCUAUCUCCACGCCUUUGGCAACUUUUGCGAUUGGACGCGCCUCGGAGUUGACCGCCUUGAUAUAGCUCGCAUCCUUCUCGAGCGUGAGGCCCAACCGCUUGGCCUCCGCCUCUGCGAUGAAAUUGUGCAUCAUGCCGGUGUCGAUCAUCGCCCGUGUGGUCCUCCCCAUCGACGAACAUUAGCUCCCUCUUGCAGAGCUUGUCACCGCUUGGCUGUCCACGAAUUGGGUUGACGAGCCUUAGCGCGCCCAUCCUCCGCAGCUCUUCCACAUCCUCGCCCUUCUAGGCUUGGACCGCAGCUACUUGCUUUCCUUUCUUGCUGCUCCUAUUUGGGCAGUCUCGCGUCCAAUAUUUCUCACUGCAAAUAGAGCACGAGAUCUUUGCAGGCGGUGGGGCAGGAUUCUCCUUAUGCCUCCUCACGUCAUAGUUAUGCUUAUGCCCCUUCGCGUCCUUGGAUCGUGGUGCCCUCCCCCAUCUUUGGCCUCGCCCACCUUCGGUGGUUCACCUUGAUCGUCCUCGGUUCCAAUUUCUCUGCUAAAGCGAUCACAAAGUUCAGGUCCUUCACAUUUCGCCCCAUGAGCUUCUUGUUCGCCCAGGGUUGAAGACCAUCCGGAAAAAGAAUAACUAAUCCCCAUCGGCGAUGUUGGAGAUCGCCAACAUUAGUUUUGAGUAUUCUUGGACAUGUUCCUUGAGUGCCCCAUGAUGUUAGAGCCGUCGAAGUUGCCUCUCGCGCAAGAUAUACGACAUAAUCGGGAUAGAACUGUGCCUUGAGUUCUCGCACGAAGUCUCCCAGGUCUCAAGUUGGCAGCGACCCUGCUCGGCCUCCGCCGACCACUAACGCCACCACAACAUGGCAUCGUCAGAGAGGUACAUGGCUGCGAUUUGGACCUUAUCCUCCUCAUCCUCCAAUUGCAAUGCCUUGAGAUAGCACUCUAUGUGCCAAAGGAAAUUGUCAAUUUUCUUCUCAUCUCGCGUGCGCUUUAAGUGUUGGGUUCAGGGACGCGGACCUUUGGGGUGUGCUCCUUUCGCAUUUCGACGCUGCAAGCCCCCGCUUUCUCAAGAAUAGUCACCCGCACUUUGAGGUCCUCGACCUCGAUGUAAGGAAGUGAAUUCUCGAAAUAUAAGGAUUGCAUUCCAUCCAGGAUCGACUAAUUGUCGAGAGUAUACCCUUUGUGGGAGUUGGGAAUGUCCAAAGCACAAAAAGUGCCUUGGAGUUGAGUCCGCGAGAGCAAAUGAGGCAAAUGGCAUCAUUGGGCUGAUGCUGCUCUCGGGGACCGGUCUCUGCAGGUGAGAGACCGGUUUCCCUGGCUGGAUGUAGCGGGGUUGCGUGAUGCAACCGGUCCCUGGCAGGGAGGGACCNACCCACUCUAUUUCCAGUGGUAGGUUCAGGGCUGCAGAGAGAGGACCGCGGCAAGGGCGUCGCGCCCGACCAGUGAGACCGUGGUAGUAUAGUAGCUUUCCUUUUUGCAUUAGUCACCUAUGUAUAGAGAGAGAUGCAUUGUAGGUGAGGAUUUGGAGAGCUAUGUAUUCUGGAUGAAAAAUGAUGUAAUGAAUGUAACUAUUGUAAUAGUUAGUAAAGUACUCUCUUUAUUUCACUCGUAUAUCUUGUGGACUUCUUGCUCUUCUUGUCGUCGGCACUGUUCGUGACCGUGUUGAAUGUGUAGCUUUAGAAUUUAAAGUCCUGGGUAAAUUCUUGUACACAUUCCUGUGGUUGAGCCUUGGGCGGGCAGGGGAGGAGCUGUCCGUUCGGCGGUCUGUCGCCGCGGCCGAAUCGCGCCAAAUAGGUAGUGGUUUCGGGGCGGGGCGUGACAUCGCCGACCCUGGUGACAAGAUCCUCCACUAGCACCUUCCGCUCAUCCUCGCGAUAGGCGAGGUCACUGCAGAACUGCUCGAGCUAUUGACAGAAAGUUGUCAUGGCAGUCGCGACGUUGUCCUCCAUGGCAUGCAGCCUCUCCUCCAUCAUCCCCACAUGUUGGGAAGGGAUGGAGUAGUGCUCCUCCGCUCUCGCAGCAGAAUCCUCCAACAAGCCCACGCGGUCGAGCUAAGCGGACUCCUUUGCAAGGGUCCACGGCUCUUUGCCCUUGCCGCGCUUGGAUACCCUAGGUUCAGGUACAAUGUCGACGAUGGCAGCAUCUGAUGUAGACAUGGCUUCCCAGCUUCGAACUCACUCCAAUACCAACUGUCACAAACUUAAGCGAAAUCGCUUGUUUAGCCCGUGCUGCGCUUGCCUUCCUUCGCAAAGUGAGCUAGCCUACCUCUCUGCUCACUAAGUCGGAACCUUCUCGCCCUCAGACUAAGUACAAAAGAGAGUUUGAGGAAUGUUGUGUAUUGAUUAAGAGUAGAGAUUACAAUUGAUUUCCUGAAUAGGGAUAGAAGCCACAACUAUAUAUAGGCCACUUACCAUCCAAGCUACGAAUGAAAAGACGCCAAGUAGUGCAAGACUACAAAGCAAAGAGGGAAGCUACGAGCUCCCAAGAGACUACACUUAAAAUCUCUAAGGGACUCUUGACUCUUCUGCAUUCGUGCUAUAAUUCUUGAAACCCGCAUAGAUGCUUCUAGAAUGCCUAGCAAAAUCUUCGACAAAACUCUCCUUCGGAGUUUGGGCGAUUGUAAAGGAGAAGUCAGCGGAAAAUACUUUGUUCAUGACAUGCAGCUACAGCCACAACCAUAUAAGUAGCAGCAAUAACUGUAGAAGCAGCAGUUGCGGCAACUACAUAGGCGGCGAUAGCAACAACAGCAUUAGCAACGGCUGCAACAACAGUGGUUGCAACAGUAGUAACCGCAAUGAGGGGAGUAAACAAAAGCCGCAACAGUAGGAGCAUUAGAAACAGCAGCAGCAACAAGGAGCAGCAGUGGCAACAGAAGCUACAGUAGCAUUAGCGGUGAAGCAGCAAUGCAUCCGCAUCAUAUGACAGUAAUACAGCAGCAUUUGGCGGUAGCAAAUCUCGUUCGUUGAGGCCUUACGAUGAAAUAGAAUGGUUUGAAGAAACGGAAGGCCAUUGGGUCUCCUCCCCUCCCCCUUUGAAGGCCCUUACACAAGAUUUGCCGAGUAGAUGGUGAGAAGGCGAGAAGGCGGCAACAUGGCGACAAAUCUCGUUAACCAGUGAAUAGGGAUCAAGUAGAGAGGUCCUAACAAACGGAGGUUCACCGGCCCUCCUUUCUUCUCCCUCCGAAAAGGUUGAUGUGAGGUUCGCCGACUAGAUGGCAAAGCGACAUUGGCACGCACACAAGAUCGGGGCAUGCUGGAGGAUCAGCAACAUGAUGUGUAUUGGCUGAGCAGCAUCGGCACGCACUCGAGAUUUGUGCUUGCGAAAGGAUCGAUAACAGGGCGGAGGUUAGUCAAGCGGCAUUGGCGAGCGCACAUGAUCGACAUAUUAAACAACAUUGGGAUUGACAAAUGCGAAAGGAUUGACAAUGGCAUGUGCGACAUUACACGCAUGGGAUCGAUAAGUGUAGAAAGGUCGGCAAUGGCCCGUGUAUCAGUCGGUGUCAAUGAGUGGACGAGAUUGACGUACAUGGAGGAUCGGCAAACACACGCGUCUAUUGGUGAGUGCAUAGGAUUAGCUUAUGCGGGAAGAUCAACACACAUGGGAAAGACGUCGGCGCACACACAGUGGGAUAAUAGUGUCAGCGGUGUGGUUUCGAGAUGCGGGGGAGGAUCAAUGAUGCUAUAUGCAUACUAGUGAACACACGGAAGCAAAUCUUUUUUUCCUCUUUUUUCGGUCUAGAUAAUGAUGUGUAAAAAGGGAAAAGAUUUCCUUCCCCUCCCCUCACCCCGAACAAUCAAUGCGAGAGAGAGAGAGAGGUCCCUUUUCUUUCAAGGGUCCACAUCUCCUUGGAUAGAAGAAACCCUCCCUCAUUUCGUAUAAGGAUAGAAAAAGAAUUGUUAUAAUGUGAUAAAACUCAAAUAAUUUAGAAAUAAUUAAAUUGUUAUUAUAUGGUUUAGAAAAGAUUUACAUAAAUCUGUUUCAUCCUUAUCUUUUGGAGGUGUCUCUCUCUCAUUCUAAUCCUAUUUUAAUUUGCGAAUUUGGUUUAACCGGAUCAAUUUGAAUUGCAUCCAACAUGAGUUGAAAAUAAAAAUAAUAACGAAAAAAAAGUAAGAAAAUUUAAAAAAAAAAAUACAUUAUGAUAUAAAACACAUUACUGGCUUAAAAUGUUAGUAAAUUUAAGAGAUCUACUAGUAAUCUUAUAUAUCAACAUUUAUAAACAAAUAUUAAUCCCUAAUAUUUUUGGCUGAGGUGGCACAACCUUCUUCAUUUGGCAAGAGAUGUUAGACCCUUUUUUUUCUUUUUUUUAACUCCUAACUUUUGUGUCUUUUUCUCUUCUCAUUUAGCAAGAGGUGUGGCAUCAAUUUUUUUUGUUAACUCCUAACUUUUGGUGUCUUCUCAUCUUCUCAACGUCUGUCACUUCACCUCCCCCCAACCCAUCUUUUUUUUCUCCCCCUAGCCUACACGUCUUUUCCUUUUCUCUACCAUUCAUUUUCCCCUAACUCCCAACCGUACAAGAUGUUUCAGUGGCGUGGUCAUAACGAUAACGAAGGCGGUAAAUGUGAUGGCGCCUUUUUUUUGUUCUUUAACUCCUAACUUUGGUGUCUUUUUCUCUUCUCAUUUAGUAAGAGGUGUGGCAUCAAUUUUCUUCUUUUUUUUUAACUCCUAACUUUUGGUGUCUUCUCAUCUUCUCAACCUCCGCCACUUCACCUCCCCCCAGCCCCUCUUUUUUUCUCCCCCCAACCUACACGUCUUUUUCUCUUCUCUACUAUCCGUUUUCACCUAACUUUCACAACCCCACCUACUCUCUUUCUUUGUACAGUUUUUUAGAAACCCUACAAGAUGUUUCAGUGGGGUGGUCAUAACGGUGGCGGAGGCGGUAAAUGUGAUGGCGGUGGAGACCAAAAUGGCGGCGGCGGUGGAGGCGUGGGCAAUGGCAGUAGAGAUCGAGGCGGCGACGGAAGCAAUGGCGAUCCUUGCCCUCUAGAAACCAAUAUGAAGUGAGAAUUCCUUGAUCCUUUUUUUUCUCUUUUUAUUGUCUAUUUUUUCAUCUAUUUUUAACUCAUUUUAUAGUAUUUUCUUGAGAUUAUUUGGUAGUUUCUUUUUAAGGUGUUAGGUUUGAUUAAAAAUUUAAUAUUUUGAUAAUACCUGCCCGCCGCAUCGCGCCGGUAACUACACUAGUUUCUAAUAAUUUAUUUAAUUAUUUUAAUUUUUCAAUUUUAAAAAUAAACAAAAUAAUGAAAAAAAUUAUAAGUUUGAAAAAAAAAUACAUUAUGGUUUAUGAAAUAGAACACAUUAUUGGCUUCAAAUGUUGACAAAUCUAAAAAAUCUACUACUAUCUCAACAUUUCUAUCCAUAUUCUUUUAUUACUUCAAAAAUUAAAGUAAUAAAAAUAACCAAAAAAAUAAAUUAAAUUAAAAAAAGGGAAAACUUCAAAAACCCCCUCUGUGGUUUCAAACUUUUUCAUUUUAGUACCCUGUGGUUUAAAGUGUAUCAAAUUAGUACCCUGUGGUUUUGUACUUUAUCACUUUAGUACCCUGUGGUUUCACACUUUAUCACUUUAGUACCCUAUAGUUUAAAAAAUCACAGGGUACUAAUUUGAUACAAAAUCAAAACCACAGAGUACUAAAGUGAUAAAAUGCAAAACCACAGGGUACUAACUUGAUACACUUUAAACCACAAGGUACUAAAGUGAUAAAGUGAGAAACCACAAGGUACUAACUUGAUACAUUUUAAACCACAGGGUACUAAAGUGAAAAAAAUUAAAACCACAAGGGGGUUUUUUGAAGUUUUCCCUUAAAAAAAAACAUUAUGCAAUAAAACAUAGUAUUAGCUUCAAAUGAUAGUAGAUCUAAGAGAUCAUUUAGAAUCUCAACAUUUCAAAACUUUUUAGUUAUUACUCUGAUUUUCGGAAUAUAAAAAUAAAAAAUAAGAAUAAUAAAAAAGUCAAAAAAAAAUAAAGAAAAUCCUUUUUUUUUUUUCCUAGAUCGUAUUAAGAACAAGCUCAAUGCUAAAAGUUUUAGCUUGGAACUUCUUCAAGAAGAAAAUCCUCUUGUUUCUUAAGGAUUUCUUGAGGGAAUAAGGGAGAAAGAAAGAGGAGAUUUCUCUCUUCUCUGAAACUGCAAAGCUUCAUGAGUACACAAACCGAAAAGGACCAAAAGUGGUCUUUGCUCCUAGAAAUGCCUACAGACAUCAUUUGGAGAUUUUUUUGACCAUCAAAACAUGUCUUGCGAACCCCAAGAGUAGAAAAAAUAGCUAAAUAGAUUGCACUAGCACGGACCAGCGCAGGGCAAUCUAAGCAACACGCUGUUGAACUGGCAAGGACCAGCAAAGGGCGAUACUUAGGCUGCAAGGAUUUAAGUGUCGUGGUACAAGAUUAUGCCAAAAACUUGCUAACACUAUAUGACACGAUACAUACUGUGCCGAUGUGUGCCGAUUACAAAGAAUACCUUUGUGCUGACACAUAAUGGUAUGAAAUAUUUAUUUUCUUUCGUACUAAUAUAUAUUCCUAUUGCUUAUUAUGUAUCUUUAAUAAAUCUUUUAAACUUUAUUGAGAUAAUUACUUGCUAGUUUCAAAGAAAACAGGUUUUUGAGCCGUGUCAUUGGCAUAGGGGCUGUACCAUGCCGAUAUCUUGUCAACACGAUUCGGUAUGGGCAUACGGCCCAUACCGAUAGCACUUAAAUCCUUGCUAAGCAGCAUCCCUAACACUGCUCGGUGCCUAGCGGCACAAGCCCAUGCCACGUGCUGACACACCACGUGCCAGCACAUUGUUGGCAUGGCAGAUAUGGGCAAUCCUUGGUUGAAACUUUUAUUUUGAUGGUUUUGGUUUUCUAUAUAUGGUGUUCGGUUCUCUUGAAGAAGUUAAUGAAAUCCAUAAUUCUAGCUGUUUUAGCUUGUUCUUCUAAAGCUUUAUAUGUCCCUUUUUGUCAUCUACAGUGGUUGAGCAGUCUUGGGCAUGUAGAAAGCUCACAUUUCAGCUUCUACACUUGGUGAAAAAGGUGUGCUUGGAUUUGAGUCAUUCUUUUACUUCUAGCUAGAUAGAUCACUAUUGGGACUUCGACAAGGUGAACACUAUUUUGCCUUUCCAGUGGCGACAAGGGAUGUUGCACAUCACCUUGGGAAGCUUCUACCCAAAUGACGUAGUGGACAAGACCAGCCAAAGGAGGAACUCAGCAGCUUCUCCUUGCUCGCAUUUUGCCAUCUUAUCCUUAAAAGCUGUAUCGCGCCAACUCACAUCAAAGAAAAAGAAAAGCUUGGAGGGGAAGCCAUGGUCUCUUCUCCCUCCUCCAAAAAAAAGUUGGGGUGCGGGGGGGUACAUCCAACACCACAGGCACGAAAAAAAAAAAAAAGAAAAAAAAAAUAAAACAUAUGCAAAUACCAAAAGGUGAUUUGGUGAUUGAAGGAGAUGAAGAUGAUGGGAAAUAGGCAAAAUGGGUCUUGGGAUGGAUGGAAUCAAAACUCAACACCCAUUAACCCAUGUAGUCAUAAAUAUUCGGCUCAAAAUAAAGUAAUGGUUAUUGAGAUAGGCCAACAAUUUGAGUUGGAUCUAGACCCAAUCAACAAACGAGGCCAUUGACUAUGAUUCGGAUUCAACAUGAACCCAAUUAGUUCUGCUUAGCCUAAUAAACCAAAUUGAUUUGGCUCGGAUCUAAUCGUGAUUUAAACAAGUUUGAAGGAAUCUGAAUUAUGGAUCGCCUUCAAUCAAUCCAAUCGUGUUUGUUGUGCAUAAAAUAUAGAGACCUAAACCGUGUAUAAUCUAAUAGAAUCCGGUGAUCAACAAAUGUCCAAGAAAUUGAUAUAAGAACUAAAUUGUAAAUUGAGCAGACUACUUGGACCUCUCCAAAAUUGGAAAACAUCUUUAGAGUCUUCAAUCUUCAGUUUGUUUUGCUAAAGUACAUUUGUCCAUGUAGCCCGCUCUAUAAUCAAAGUCAAUAGAAAGCUCCUUUCAUCUUUGUGUCAUUUAUCAGUUAACUCCUGUCAGAUUUCAAUUAUAAAUAAAAUAUAAAUUUCAUAAAAAAAAAUAUAUACUAGGUAAGCCAGAUAAGCACAGUAAACCUGGACAACAUCCAUUGCUAUUGGAUAAUGAGAUUCCAAUCUACGCUAUUAGUUAAUCACAAUUAGAAUUAUAAUUGAUGCAGCAAGGAUACAACUAAGCAUUCACAACCAUUACAAUAACCAUGAUUUCUUGCUUAACUUUAUCAGCUGAAUUUAUCAAGCUUAACUGGAUUUAUUGAACAUAAGCGAGCCAAUAAUUUGUGGUUGGGGUUGAUAAUAUAAAUUAACUUCUUCAACAAAAAUGGUUCAGUUGUUCAACUCAGACGUUUUAUUUGACUUUGAAAUUUGAUUGAAUCCAAACCCGACUUGUAAAUACUGCUUGAUCUAAUUAUUAGUUAAAUACUAUCAAUUAAACUAAUUUAACACGCCUAAUAAUUUGUUUUGGUAUAAAUUUCAAAGAGAUCAGGUUGGUCAUCCCUACUAAUUUAAUCGUGGAAUGAGCUUACAGUUACAAACUUAAAGGAAAUAUGUGAGUAAUGGUAAGCCGGCUAUGCAGCCGGCUCCUUUACUAGUACUAAUUGGUACACAAUACCCUUCUUUUUUUCACCCUUUUCUUUCACCCCUUUCUUUGGGGUGGGGGGAGGAUGGGGUUGGGAAUGUUAACUAUACUAAAAGAAUGAAUGGGAAUAAAGAUGUAUAAAAUAUGUCAUUUUACCUUAUUCCAAUGCUGCGAACCAAUCCUUUGGAAACAAGAUCUUCCAUUGCAUGCCACGUAGUCUCGAGUGAAAUGUUAGUGUCUAUGUCCAGCACACCAUCUUCAUCAAGGGCACUACCAGUCGUCCCAACCCCUAAAUGGGUAUGCAAAAGAAGAUAAAACUACCAAUGCUAAUCGUGAUUUGAGUACAUAGCCUAUUGCUAGUAAGAUAAGAGGAGGGUCACACCAGUAUGCCUGGUUGCUAUAGGAAAGUGAACAAGGUACAGAUCAAGAUAGUCUAGUUGGAGUUUCUUCAAGCUGUCCUGACAGGCCUCCGAAACAUGCCCAUGAUCCGAAUUCCAAAGCUUUCAUUAUAUGAAGAAAUCAAAUUAUCCAAAUGAUGAAUCGAGCAGCCAUGCAGUGGCAUGCAAAGAUUACAAAGAGAAUAGGAAAAAAAAAAACGAAAAACAAAAAACAAAAACACUAAAAGCGACUUAAGGGCAUCGGAUACUUACCUUUGUGGUGAUGAAAAGGUCUUCCCUUUUCACCAGACCCGUCUGAAAUGCCUCUGCAAGAGCUUCACCAACUUCUGAUUCAUUCUGGUAGUCGGCUGCAAAUAGUUGAGUAUUUAGGUAGAGAAGAAAUAAAAUCACAGUUGAAAAUGUUCGCAUAUUGUUACUCUUCAAUUCACAACUCAAGCAAAACCAUUACAUUUGAAUAACAAUACAAGUCCACUGAAAGAGGAAAAAAUAGAAUAGUAAAACAACAAACAAGUGUUUGUUACAUCUAUCACAGAAAAUUAAUUAAACCAUUCUUCAAAGUUAAAAAUCUAUAUAGAUAAGUUAUAAAAGCACCAAUAGUUUUCAUCAAGAGCCAAUCUCGACAAUCUGAUCAAAAUCUCUUUUACUUACCGUCCAUCUUAUCCUUCCUAUAGUGGACAAUCACAAUCGGGGUUUCCCUGUUGCUUGUUGUGACAGUAAACUUCGUUUUUUUGCAAUCAUAUGGUUCUAGCUUCAAGUUUUUGGAUUAACAACAACAUAAAAAAAAUGUUGAAGAUUGGGUCUCUCUCCAAAACUUUCCUCUAAGAUCCUUUUUUUUGUGGGUUCAUAAUGGUGAGUAGUGGCCUUUUUUAAACUCAAAAGUCACCACAACACUGGUAUGCAAGUAAAAGUGCCAAUCCUAUACUCACAUCUACACAUAUGAGAGCAUGCUCUCAUACUCUUCUUACUAAAAAAGAAGUCUGCUCCGAUCUGGAAACCCACAAAAUAUAGUGCUCUGAGAAAUAUGUCAAGCGUAAUAAGGUAUUGUUUGUUGAACACACCAUCGACAAGCUAUUCUUACUUCAAGUGUCCUUUCACGACCACCUAUACCAGCUGAAAAAUUUGUUGAAGGAGUUUCAGACUUUCUCCAGUUACAACAGUAUAAGAUGAAAAUCUGUGCCAUUAUAGUGCGAUUAAGAAUCAUCCUUGGUGGAAUUAAAUUCAAAAGAGUGUCCUUUUUUCGCAUGUUUAAUUUUAUGUCUUAAAGCUGCUAUCAGAAAUGCCCAACAAAGUAACCAAGAAGAUCCAAGAUGAAAGAAAAGGUACAACAAAAUGUCUUAAUUUUUUUUACCAAGGGUUUUUAGAAUUUUACUACUGGGAAGUUUAGACAACCAGUAGUCUCAGAAAGAAAGGAAAACAGAUUACCAACCACUUUCUUUCAGGAAAAUUUUGACAUAAAAUUAACCUGAAUAAUCCUUCAAACAAAGCUCAAGUUUGACUGGCAUGAGGUUAGUUUAAACUACCUUUCACCGUCGGACUAAAAUUAUAUAUAUUACUGCCUUUCAAAUACCGAUUUUGCUACGCAUUAACAGUGUCUCAAUAACCGCUAGAUAGUUUGAAUCUUGCCAGCAAUUAACAAGUUCAAUAAAAAAGAUUAUCAUCGAAAGGAAUACUAUUGUCCUUCUACUAGGCCCAGUUUGUGCUUCUGAUUAUCAAUUUUACAGGUGAAUGAAACUACUACGAUUUUAUUAUCCACAAUAGUACUCGGCAAGAGUUUAUAUAAGAGAGGGCAAAGUUUUUGAUAACAAGGUUGGCAUUCUCUCCUUCCAAAGUGCGGGACGACAGCAGUACAAUUUUCAAGUUUCCCAGAGAAUACCACAGUGGUGACAAUUACGACAGGAACAAGGACAAAGCUUAAGGGUUGCUAGGCUUAAUAAUAGCAUAUGACCUUUCCCAGACUGCCAUAAUCCGAACGAAGCAGCGUUUACAAUGUGAUGCCCGAAAUAGUUAUCCUGACAAACUGGUAUCCGGCAGGAUUUACUUACUAUUGGACCGAGCAUGAGUAGCUAAAUGAAACAAAUCUUAUAAAAAGUGAUCAUCCAUUUACUGAUACGAGCAACCUAGCACAUGAGACAGCGAAAGUGCACUGAUCUGAUAUUGGAAAUCAUCCGCAGGAAAAGGAAAGGGUUAAUUUGGGGGAAGCGGAAGCAAAAGCAGAAGCACCUGCACAGUCGAAGUGGCGGUAGCCGAUAUUGAUGGCGGAGAGGACGAGGUCGCGGAUGGACUUGCCCUCCAUCCGCCACACGCCAAGGCCGAUGAUCGGCAUCCUGAACCCGCUGCUCAGCGUGAUCGCCCCCGCCAUUCUCUGCGCUCGCUCUCCCCUCUCUUUGGCCUUCGAUGAUGACGACUGCUGUGAGUGAUUGACUAGAUAACCGCGCCAGGAUUGGAGGAGCAGAGCGUCGUAUCAGACCUGGAGUGGCUGAGCGGUGCGCCACUGGAAUUUUAAUUUUAGAUGGGGGUCGUCGCUCUGCAGUUAAUUGACCGUCUGAGCCGGCACAAGAAAUGUACAAAACAGUAUUUUUUUUAAAAAUAAUAAUAAUAAUAAUUUUUAAAAAAAAUUGAUAGGCCAAAUAAUUUUUUCAAAUUUUUAUGGCCAAUUUGCAUAAAAAAUUCACUAGUUUUGCGCUUUUGCAAAUGUGGGCCACAUUUUUCGAUUUUGCAGAUUCGGACCGGAGUUUUAGUAAACUGACCAAAAUACCCUUCGUCUACAUCCGCCGCUCGCGUAUUCUUUGAGAUACGUAUACCCUACCAUACGGUCCAGGCGGGUAUUAAAUGCGCCCCUUGCGCUUUACGCAAUCUCGGCUCUUUUUCGAAACCCAGACCAAAUUCGCCCCGUUAUUCGCCAGUUCCGCUGUUUGCUGUUCAGCUUUAAGAAUUUAAAUACUCUGAAGCUAAAAGAUAAGAACUACGUGGCCCGCAACAGGGGUAAUAGUGCAACGCCCCGGAGCAACGCGAGGAGAAAUGGUGCAACAACCAUUCUAACAGUGCAUCCUUCGGUUCGCUCCAGUGCAAUCUACACCAAAACGAUGAGUGACGCUCGCCUUCAAUCUGCUCGCUCCCCAGGGCAACCUCCUACUCCCUCGGAAGGUACUAGUUCAACAAAAGGCUUGAAGAAAGUAGUUCAACAAAAUGCUCGACGUGGUGUAACAUUCUCCGAUUUUAUGCAAGAAAUAAAAAUAAAUGCAGCAAUCUGUUCAAUAUUUUAACGCAAAUGGUGCAACGAGUCCACAACUAGUCAAAAUUUUCUCUAUAUUUGGUGAUAUAAUCUAAAAUUAAUAGUGCAAAUAAGUCCAAAAAUUUUUCUACGGCGAAGAACGGCGUUCUCUCCAAAUGCAGGCGAAGCGACAGCGGGGCAGUAGCGUCGGCGGCGAGGGCGGUGUUUGAGAGGUGCAACAUAACGCCUAAACGAUUAAAGAAGAUAACAGUAUAGUGUAACAUCUCUUUAAAAAGCUCACUUUCUUCUUUCAGCCGUAUAAUAAUAGUGCAACGUUAAAUGCGAAUAAUAGUGCAACGCAGGGUAAAAGAGUGCAAGAAAGCUUGUAAGAGUGCACAGCUCUUCCUACUAAUAGAGCAACACUCACCGUAACAGUGCAAUGCAGUUCCAACCAGUGUAACAUAACGAGUGGAACACUGGCUGGAACGAGUCGUUAUUAAUGGUAUAAUAUUUGCCUAACAUUAAUACUGCAACGAGUGGUUUAACAGUGUAAAAUUCUCUCCCUAAUCGAUGAUAACAUGUAAUUAAUAGUACAAAUAAGUUUGUAAAACUCGAAUAAUAGUCUAACGCGGGAUAAAAGAGUUCAACUAAACCUGUAAGAGUGCAACACGGUCAUAAUAACAGUGUAACAUUCACCAUAACAAUGCAAGGCAGUUCCAAACAGUCUAACAGAAAAGUGCAACCCAAUAUAAAAUUGUGCAAUAUGCACCUCUAAUUAGUGCAAGUCAUCACUAACUAUUGAAAGUAAGUCCGAAACCAAAGGAAGCGUAGUGGAGUUUAUUCAAGUACCCAUUUGCAGAGGAUUAGUGGAAGAAGCGUGGCCGAGAUACAUGGCGUUAGGGUCUGCAUGCGGAGGAGAGAGGAGGUAAGAGUGAGGAGGGAUAAGGGAGUUACGCAAAGGUAGUAGUGUAAAAAAAAAAGGAUGAGGUGGUGUAACAUAUUCCUAAGUAAUGCAAUGGUUUGAAGAAAAUGGCGCAAUGAGUCGUUAAGCAGUGUAAAAUUACAAGUCUCAAAAAGUAUUUUAGUAGCCAAAAGAAUAAGAAGAAGAAUUGAAACAGAAAAUGUAAUCUCCAUUAAUCUGGCAUCAAAUUGUACGAUUUUAUAGUUCUUUACAACAUACAAGACAGGAUUUGCAAACAAGAUACAGUGUUCUCCAAACAAUUAACGAAACAAUAUAGAUCAUAUGGCAUCUUUUGCACUUCCAUGUAGAGGGCGAUGCUACUUUUGGACAAGGAGGUGAAGGCGACGAACGGCGUCCACCCCUAAACGCAGGCGAUGCGGUGGCUAUGGAGGGGGGUUGUCGUAUUCCUCAUCUCCAAUUGUUGUGGCGGUGGCGGCGACGCAUCUCUUCGUCGUUUUUUAAAAAUGGUUCUUUAAAUGCAUUCUCGUUCCAUUACUAUAUAUAAAAAUGACAUAAAGACAACCAGGUUAAAGCGACGCUACUUUUGGUCAAGGAGGUAAAGGGGACGAAUGGCAUUGUCACGCCCGGGCCCCAGCGAAAGCCUGCCCGAAGCGUGCACAGACUCGCCAUGUACACCAAGCACCCCUCGAUGCACAUAAGGCGUCUAAUAAAACAAGAAAGAAACAAGAAUAGAUCCCUAACAAAGCUAUCAGAACAAAUAAAUAACUCUACUAAAAAGUCUACAAUAUCAACAUCCACAAGAUACAUAAUAAGUGUAUACAACUGAAUCCAUAAGUAAACUAUAAACUCUCUAAACAAAUACAUAGUACAUCUUUCAACUAUAAUAAAAAAGAAAGAUGUCGACGGGUCCAACUAUGAAAACACCGCAGAGGCUCUAGCUAGACGCUAACCCCUUGCCACGAUCCCUAGCCUCUCUCGCUGCGGAAGGCUCUGAAACAAAAACAAACAACUAAUGGGGGUGAGAACUAUUAAACAAUAGUUCUUAGUAGGUAAGCCGCCGAGAAUGGCGAAAUACACCACUAGGUCAACUGAGGCAUGCUAUAAUAUAAUAUGUAAGCAUACAUAAGGAUAACAAAUAAAUUAAACAAUCCAUUUCUAAGUCAUGCCUUUACUUGAUAAAGUUAAUUAUUAUGUUCUAAUGCCACAUGUUCAGAUAUAUACUUAUGCAGGUUUAAAUGCAUGUUCAUCUUUACUAUAAUGACGCAAAGAGUAAAUUAUACUUUUUAUUGUCAUUAUAAUUACCAUGCAUCUAUACUAAUCAACAUAAGUGUAGGUUUACUACCACUAAAGUUGUCAAUACCGAUAAUGACUAACAUAAAGUCCAUUUUCUAGAAAUGCAUCAAAAGAGCCACGAGGUAGUAACCCACUAAUAUGUUCAUCUACUAUAUAUGCAUCAACCAUGGGUGAUGUACAACAAGUUGAGUCUCAUUUACCCAAUUAACGAGGGACUUACACGUGGUAACGUUCCGACUCGUGUUGUGCCUAAUGGACCCGUGGUAGUCAACACUCCCCAUGGCAAUCCACUUCGGCGCCCAAUCCCGCACGGACGAUUUGUCAUUGCAAGGCCACUCUGGAGUGCCGGCUUGUAGGGAGCGACCCUCACAAGCUUGUGCGAAUAAGCACAAUGACAAGCAAGCGUGAUCAAUAGCAUAGGGUCCACAAAUCGAAUACUCAAUCAUCAUGUCUAAAAUAUGAAAUUUCACACAUCGACUCGACGGUCGGGUACUAGAUCAUUCAUGUCAUGUUUUGUUCACAAUUACAUUGGGGUAUGUCCCUACCGACACAUAAUAUGCUAUAAGCAUGCAUUGGUUCGCAUCUCGUUAUCCUAUCUAGAAUAAUUCACUAUUUUAAUCAAGGCUCAAAAGAGGUCUCAUAACAUACUAUCCCACUAUAGUCAAGGGAGUCAUUACUAAUGUCAUAUGCAAAAAGUUAUAAAGAUGUCCACAAGAAUCAUAAUGCAUGUCAUGCGUAUGCUUUGCUACCAAAGCCUCCACUACAUAGAGUAUAGAAGUUGUCAUGGAAGCAAUUUCAUUCAACUAGUAUUAUAUGCAAAUGUCUCUAUUAUAGUGCGCCCAAAGAGGUUGCAAUUUCAUUCGCCGUGUCUAACAUAUGGAAUACAUCUAACGAUCUCUAGAUCGAAUACUUUGUUACAAUGUCAAGUUCUAGUUGUUCAACUAGGUUAAAUAUACCAUGCUUGGUUUCAUGUUUAACCCUAUCAUGCACUAUGUCACCUUUACCUUGUUUAUCACAAGUAUAUUGUUCAUCAUGCAAGUGAUUCUAUUUCAUUCACUAUGAAUACUCCAUAGGAUCAAUCAUUUCUAACAUGCUUCCUAAUGUUGCAUAUGAGGAAAUCAUCAUGAAGCACUAUAUAACACACAAGUCCACAUUGUAUGCCUCUACUUCGUAGAGCAUAAAACUUUCUACAUAUAACAUGUAUAUAGCAUGCAUUCUAAAAUUCCCUCAUGACAUAUUUAGCAUGAAUAUGCAUCCAGUUAAGUUUAAAGACAACAUCGAAGACAUAGAGAAAGUUAGUGUUGAUGUAUCAAGGCUGCACUAUCUCUUUUUUUUCCCUUUUUUUUUUGUUUAGUCAGUUUGCUAAUGUCCUAUUUCUUAGGAAUGUCUAGCUGUAGUUUGGUUAUUUUGUUAGUUUGUUGCUGUUUUUGUGGACCAAGUAAGCUGAUAGUUGGUUAGCAACUUGUUAAAAAAAAAAAAAAAAAAAAAAAGGAAAAAGGAAUCUGAAAUAGGUUCCCAAUUCUUCUUUGUUCUUUGAGAAUCAACACUGGUAUCAGAGCCCUUCUUGAUCUUAAGGGGCUGUGAAUGACUUGUGAGAUUGAUUGAGAGGUGUGUCUGCAUCCAUAGAAACUUAAGGCAAGAUGUAGACAGGAUCGAGUGGUCUCUCAACAAUGGCUCCACCAGUGUUUGAUGGUGAAAAUUAUCAAGCCUGGGUAGUAAGAAUGCGAGCCUAUUUAGAGGGUUGUGAUCUUUGGGAAGCGGUGGAACAAGAUUAUGAAGUUACUCCACUUCCUGACAAUCCAACCAUCAAUCAGAUCAAGUUUCACAAGGAGAGGACAACAAGAAAAGCUAAGGCAAAGUCUUGUUUAUAUUCUGCUGUCUUACCAGCCAUUUUCAGCAGAAUUAUGAGUUAUGAAUCUGCCAAAGCUAUCUGGGACUUCCUCAAAGCGGAGUAUCAAGGAGACGAGAGGAUUAGAAGCAUGAAGGGGCUAAAUCUGAUGCGAGAAUUCGAGAAACUGCAAAUGAAGGAGUCUGAGACAAUUAAGGAGUAUUCUGAUAAGUUAACAAGCAUUGCAAAUCGAGCAAGAGUUCUUGGCACUGACCUCUCUGAUAAUAGGCUAGUGCAGAAGAUUCUUGUCUCCCUGCCAGAGAGGUUUGAGCCAACCAUUGCCUCUUUGGAGAAUACCAAGGAUUUAUCUCAGAUCAAACUUGCAGAAUUGCUAAGUGCUCUGCAAGCACAAGAGCAAAGAAGGUUAAUGAGGAUGGAAGAAAGUACAGAAGGAGCUCUGCAGGCCAAAGAGCAACAGAAUGUAGGUGAAAGAGGCAAGAAGUGGAAAGGGAAGAAAGGGAAUGGCAGUACUGGUUCAGAAUCUGCUGCAGGAGAGAACAGUGCAGGCAACUCUAAGAACAAUUGGAGAAGGUAUUCCCCAUGUCAGCACUGCGGAAAACAGAAUCAUCCACACUUUAGAUGUUGGAAGAGGCCAAGUGUAAGGUGCAGGAAAUGUCAAAAGUUUGGACACAUUGAGAGGUUCUGCAAAGAGAAGGGAAAUCAGCAGCAAGGUGAGGCACAGGCUGCAGUACAACAAGAGGUAGAUCAAUUAUUUGUUGCCUCUUGUUUCUCCUCUAGUACUCCAUGUGAUAGUUGGCUUGUUGAUAGUGGUUGCACAAACCAUAUGACAAGUGAUGAAAAGCUAUUUAUUAACCUUGACAAGUCAUUAAAGUCAAGAGUGAGAAUUGGAAAUGGGGAGUACUUAGAAGUGAAAGGGAAGGGAACUGUAGCAAUAGAGAGUUGUGUUGGAACUAAGCUAGUUUCUGAUGUAAUGUAUGUGCCUGAGAUUGAUCAAAAUUUGUUAAGUGUGGGACAGUUGGUUGAAAAGGGAUUCAAAGUGAUAUUUGAAGAGGGAAAGUGUUUGAUCCAAGACUCCAGUAAUCAGAAGUUGUUCAAAAUAAAAAUGCAACAGAAGAGUUUCUCUUUGAAUCCUCUUGAGAAGGAGCAAGUGGCAUUCAAGUGUCAGACCAGUAAUUCAGAGAUAUGGCACAAAAGGUUAGGCCACUUUCAUCACAAAGGUUUGUUGUUCAUGCAAAGGAAUGAACUGGCAACUGGAUUACCAAGCCUGGAGGAGCAGAUCACAAGGUGCAAGACUUGUUUGCUGGGCAAACAGACAAGACUUCCAUACAAGGAAUCCACCUGGAGAGCUACAGAGAAGCUGCAGCUGAUUCAUACAGAUCUCUGUGGUCCACAAGUGACUCCUUCAUUAAAUGGCAGCAGGUAUUUCAUUAUUUUCAUUGAUGAUUAUACCAGAAUGUAUUGGAUUUACUUUAUGAAGCAGAAGUCCGAAGUUGCUGAGGUAUUUCUAAAGUUUAAAAGAUGGGUUGAGAACCAAAGUGGUUGCAAAAUUCAGGUCAUCAGAUCUGAUAAUAGAACAGAAUAUACUUCACAAAAGUUUAACUCCUUUUGUGAAGAAGCUGGAAUUGAGCAUCAGUUUACUGCUCCUUACUCUCCAUAGCAAAAUGGAGUUAGUGAAAGGAAGAAUAGAACUGUUAUGGAGAUGACUAGGUGUCUAUUGCAAGAAAAGAAUAUGCUAAAAGAGUUUUGAGCAGAAGCAGCAAACACAUCAGUCUUUCUGCUGAAUAGACUACCUACAAGGGUAUUGGAGAAGAAGACACCAUUUGAAGCUUGGUUUGGUAUCAAGCCUAUUCUAAGAAAUUUGAAGGUGUUUGGUUGUUUGUGUUUUUCUCAUAUUCCACAAGUCAAGGAGACAAGCUGGGAGAGAAAGCUGAAUCUGGGAUCUUUGUUGGUUUCAAUUCAGUAUCAAAAGCCUACAGGAUCUAUCAACCACAGAAGGGGAAGGUGAUCACUAGCAGGGAUGUUCAAUUCCUAGAAGAUGAGCAAUGGGACUGGACAAAUGAGCAACAAGGCAAGCACAAAGAGAUCUCUCUGGAACCUGACGAGCUUGUGGAUGAUGCUUCAGUUAGAGGUACCAGAUCUCUGACUGAUAUAUAUCAAAGGUGCAGUGUAGCUGUUUUGGAACCUACAGGAUAUGAGGAAGCUAAAAGUGAUCAGAAAUGGAUGAAUGCAAUGAAGGAAGAGUUAGCUAUGAUAGAAAAGAAUCAGACAUGGGAGCUAGUGGAGAGGCCUGAAGACAGAAAGGUGAUUGGAGUAAAAUGGAUUUUUAGGACCAAACUCAAUUCUGAUGGCUCAGUGAAUAAGCAUAAGGCCAGGUUGGUUGUGAAGGGAUAUGCACAGGUUUGGGGAGUUGAUUUCUCAGAAACCUUUGCUCCUGUGGCAAGACUGGAUACUAUUAGAAUGACUCUUGCAUUGGCAGCUCAGCAAGGAUGGAAGGUGUAUCAGUUAGAUGUAAAAUCUGCAUUUUUGAAUGGAGUGUUGCAGGAGGAGAUUUAUGUUGAGCAGCCAGAAGGAUUUGUCACACCAGGUCAGGAGGAGAAAGUCUAUUUACUGAAGAAGGCUCUCUAUGGCUUGAGGCAAGCUCCCAGAGCUUGGUAUUGUAAGAUGGAUGAGCACUUACUGGGUCUGGGUUUCAAGAAAAGCCUUAGUGAGUCCACUCUAUAUGUCAAGAAGUUAACAUCUGACAUUGUAGUAGUGUCUCUUUAUGUGGAUGAUAUGCUAGUGACAGGGAGUAAUGGAGCUCAGAUUAAUGCAUUUAAGCAAGAAAUGAUGAAGAUGUUUGAAAUGACUGAUCUUGGUGAGAUGUCAUAUUUUCUGGGGAUGGAGGUUAAGCAGACCCAAAAUGAAGUUUUUAUCUAUCAGAAGAAGUAUUUGAAGGAGAUCCUGAAGAGAUUCAAUAUGGAGGAGUGCAAGAGUGUGAAUACUCCAAUGGGUCAGAAGGAAAAGCUUCAUAAGAAGGAUGGAUCUGGACCUGCAAAUGAAAGAGUUUAUAGAAGUUUGAUUGGCUGUCUUAUGUACCUCACUGCAACUAGACCAGACAUCAUGUUUCCAGUAAGUAUAUUGUCUAGAUUUCUCAAUUGUACCAGUGAGUUGCACAUGGUAGCUGCAAAGAGGGUGUUAAGGUACUUGAAGGGUACUCUUUCAUAUGGGAUUAAGUUUUGCAAAGUUCAGAAGUUUAAGUUGCAGGGGUAUUCUGAUAGUGACUGGGCAGGAUCAAUGGAUGAUAUGAGGAGCACUUCAGGUUAUUGCUUUACAUUUGGAUCAGCAUGUUUUUCUUGGUGUUCAAAGUAGCAAGAAAUAGUGGCUCAAUCAACUGCAGAAGCUGAGUUCAUUGCAGCUACUGCAGCUGUAAAUCAAGCAUUAUGGUUGAAGAAGCUGAUGAUGGAUCUGCAUUUGGAGCAAGAAGAGGGCAUAGAUGUAUUUGUGGACAAUCAAGCAACUUUGGCCAUUUCACAGAAUCCAGUAUUUCAUGGAAAAACAAAGCAUUUUAAGAUCAAGUAUUACUACUUGAGAGAAGUGCAGAAGGCUGGAGAAGUGAAGCUGGUGUACUGCAGCUCAGAAGUCCAAAUUGCAGAUAUAUUCACUAAGUCAUUUCAUGUUGGUCGAUUUGAAUGUCUCAGGGCAAAACUAGGAGUGUGCAGCACUUAAUCCAGGAGGAGAGUGUUGAUGUAUCAAGGCUGCACUAUCUCUUUUUUUUUUGUUUUGUUUAGUCAGUUUGCUAAUGUCCUAUUUCUUAGGAAUGUCUAGCUGUAGUUUGGUUAUUUUGUUAGUUUGUUGCUGUUUUUGUGGACCAAGUAAGCUGAUAGUUGGUUAGCAACUUGUUAAAAAAAAAAAAAAAGGAAAAAGGAAUCUGAAAUAGGUUCCCAAUUCUUCUUUGUUCUUUGAGAAUCAACAGAGUUCACCCAUUUCGGUGAGGUCAAACCCACUGGAUACUCCUCGAACCCUUUCGUUCCUUCGAACGAAGUUGUCCACCGAGCUCCUAGCACCCUUAGAGAAUUUCUAAAAAAGUUACAAACUUCUAACAAACCUUAUACAAAAAUACCCAAAAAUCAAGUCUAAAAUGGAUAGAAAAUACCUUUAUCCAAGAAGAACUUGCCCAAAGUCCAAAUCGAAGCUACAAAGCUUCAAAUCCUACAUAAAAGAUUGUUUUACACUCAUCAAUUAGGUUCCAAAAGUCUCACAAUAAUAAACCCCAAAAUAAACCCUAUUCUUCCAAAACUAGGUUUUCAUCUACAAAUCUUACAAAAUUCACAAAUAGAUGUUGCAAGAUGAAUACUAACCUUCAAGAAAGCUCCAAAUCAAGCUAAACUUGAGCUAGCGUUGGAGUUAAUCCUCGACAAAGCUUCCUUCUUCACAUCCAAGGCUUCUUCAAGGUCCAAAAAGCUAGCCACCAUGAAGAGGAAGAAGAGAAACAUAUCAAAACCCAAAUCAAAAUGAGUUUGGAGAAAAAAUAUAGAGAGAGAAAGGGAGAAAACCCUACCUUUGCUUCUCUCUAAGCUCAUGUAAUACACUGGAUCUUAGCAAAUUGCAAGAUUCGAGUGUUUGAUCUGUGUGUGGAGCCUUUCCACAGUUUUUGGAGGGUCGUUGAUAGUGUUCCGACCCCUGGCGCGCUUCCCGAGGAUGUUGGAGUGAGACUUGGCACCAAAAUCCCAAAAUUGGAAUUUAUGGUCAGCUCUCGAGUAGCCUGCAGCAGGGCUUGUACCGGAACAAGACUGGUCUUGUACCGGUACAAGGGUUGAUGGUUGUACCGGUACAGCCAUCGGGCUUGUACCGGUACAGAGCCGCAGACUCGCGCGACCCGAUCCCACCUCGGUGCAUUUCUCGUCGGACUCUUGUACGUAUCACAAGACCCGUUGUACCGGUACAAGGAGGCAGAUUUCGUGGCAGAAAAACUGAGGGGGUUUUGUGCGUUUUGUAGCCUUCUAUUAGUAACCCCACCCACCUAGCACUCCUGAGCUUGGAACCUUCCAGGGAGAAAGGUGAGAACCCUCACACAAACCCUUCCUUUGUGAUUCUUUGAUUGGUUGGGUUUUAAGAGAUUCAAAACUUCCUUUUUGCUCCUUAUUGCUUGUUGAAGACUUUUCCAACCAUUAGGAGCUUGAUUUUGGAGCUAUGGUAGAGGAAAGAUUGGACUUGCAUACUUACGAGCUGGAUUUGAAGCUUCUAAAGGUAAUGUCAACAUGUUUCUCAUGCCCCGUCUAGAUGUCAAGUUUUAUUGGAGAUUUUGAGUGAAUAACCCGUAAGAUGUUUAGGUUAUAUAUUGGCAAUUUUGAAUCUAGGGCUUGGAGCUAGAUUGAGUGAUUAGAGGCUUCCAUUGGUUGAUUGGGCAUAGCCCUAGCUUCAUUUGGAGCUUUAGAGGAGAAUUUUGCAUUUAAGGAUGAUUUCCUCAACUCUAAUGUGAUUAGUCUUAAUGUUUGAGCUAGUAUCGUUCGUAUUGCUGCGGGUUCUCGUACUGACCUAUGUUCUUGUACCUCUAGUAUCUAGGAGCUAAGGACAUCCCUCGUGAGCGCACAGGAGUUUCGUUGUCAUCAGUGGUCUUGGCUUCGUGGAAAUUGGGCGAAAAUGGCCUCAUCUAUGCUCUUUCUACUUGUUGUAAAUUAUUCUUUAAUUCAUUCUAUGCUAAGAAUUUAUAUAAUUUUAGAGACAGCGUUAAAAUACAUGGCUCGCGUGUAUAUAAAAAUUUCAACUAUAUGUAAGCUAUAAUCAAUUAGAAUUGCAUGCAUACGGGAAAAAUUGUUUAUUUGCAAGGAAAAAUUACAUCUUCUUAUGAGAAAAUGACUUGAAUACUGUACUUUGGAAUCAUAGUAUCCAUGUUUUGACAUAGAGAAAUUUCCACAGUGUCAUAAAGGGGCACUUGAAACUAAGUAAAGUAUGAAACUGCAACAUAAGAGAUAUAUUUGUAGGCCAUACAUAUCUGCUAUACAUCCACUUUAAGACAUGAUGACAUAUAUGGGGUAGGCCUUUGAAUACUUGACAACAUAUCCAUUUUAUUAGAGUCAUGAGGACUUGUACUGCGACAGAUCCGUUUCACACUGCCAUUGUGCUCAUUCGCACAUGCUUGUGCAGGCGUCGCUCCCUACAAGCCGGCACUCCGCGAGAUAAGCCAUCCGCGAAUUCAUUAUUCGCCGUGCCGGGAUUGGUCGCAGAAGUGGAUUGCCGGUGGAGACAGGCUUCAUUACCUAGUGGGGAUAUGACUUACCACGGGCCAUUUAGGCUCCGGCAUCCGGCGCAUGACACCUACGCGUGCGGUCUCAGGCUCAUAACAGCCUUCGCGGGUUCUCUUCCGAUUUGAUGCUUUUGUAUAACCAUUAUGAACAUGUGGAGCAGAUUGACGGAUUUUUAUACCUACUUGAUAUUGAUUUAGAAUAGUAAACAACCGAACUUACUAUCUCACAUUGUAACAUCAUGAUAUUGGGACUUUACUUCAUGCAAGUUGCUUUCAUACCUAUGCUAUUUAUUCUAAUAGAGAUAUCAUAUCGUAGAGGUUAUUUUUAUUAUCUUUUGCUUUUUCUAAACUUUUAUACUCACUGACAUCUUUUCUGAGGCCUUUGGCCUUGUGGGCAUUCACUGAAGUCAGUAAUUGCCACUGGGAACUAUUCUAAUAGUUCUCACGCCCCUGUUUAUGUCUACUUUCAGCAGCCUUUCCGGCAACCUGCGGAGGCACGGGAUCCGCGCUAAGGGAUCUGCUUAGCUAGCUAGCGAGGAGCCGAUACUUGCCUAGGUGGUUACUCCUUUCUUUUGUAUUUGGAGAGAGCUGUGAGAUUUUUGUAUCCAUAUAUAGACCACUAUUACCUUACCUAUACACUUGUAUUUGGGAUUCCUAUUGUAUUAUCUUUAUGUCUUAUUUUGAAUUUGACAGUUUCAUCCUUUAUUUCUUGUUGUAGCAUUUAGACAUUUUAUUACGCCUCUGAUACACCUAGAUGUCUUUUAUUAUGGCUUUACUAUUGCUUCUGUUUUUAACGGCCUUAUAUGUGUAGACAUAUGCUCGGUCUGGGCACCGCCGGGCGACUUCCGCUGGUCCCGGCGUGAACCAAAUUUAAUUGGUAUCAGAGCCUAAAAAAGGGGGUUGAGUUUAGGGACCUACAAACCUUAGCUGGUGACUAUACGGAAAUAAGGCUCGGAGACGAGUCUAUUCGACUUGUGAGACGAAAGUACAUGAAUUGGGUAUUAUGAUAACAUCUAAAAAGUAGAGUGAUUGGAGUGUUUGGCUUCUAACUUCGCGGAGGGUUACGUUGGCGCCGACAACGAACAUCGUGGAGUUUUUUUUUUUAUCUUAGACUGAAACACUUCCUUUACUUUGCAUGAUUUGGGUUUGUCUUUUGAGUUCGGGUAGGAUGCGAUAGCGGUAUAUUUCUAACUGUCGCUUUUAUAUGUUGUAGUACGAUGCCGAUUAACUCGCUCCCAAUCUGCCUGGGCGACAAUGCGCAAAUUUCGAGGAGAGCGAGACCUCCGCUACCUCCGGAUCCAGCGAGUACCGUGAGUAGGGCGCACUUGCAGCCCUCACCGACCUAGUCACUCUAGCAGGCGGAGGCGUCCCGAACAGCAGACCGAGGCUCGCUCCGACAGGAGCGAGGAUGAAGCGCCUCGAGAUGCUACUUCUGCAGAGUCAUGCAAGCUUCAUAAGGAGACGGCAGGGCCCUAUCAGUCCGCCUGCCAAGUUGUGACGUCGUAUCACCGAGAGCAGGCGCUCGUCCCCGCGCCAGAUUCUUCGCGUGCGGCGUCCUGCGCCGUACCCCAGGGAUGGAGGUUACUACACCGCUGUGCAGAGGCCCCCCGUUGGACUCAGUCUUUCCCUACAUUUGUUGAGGAGCGGCGAGCGGAUAGACUGAUGAUUGCGCCUCAAUGAUGUCAGCGAGGUGCAUCCCCCGAGUCUUCGAUCGAGAACAGUCGACCACUGGAUCGUGGAAAGUGGUUAUGCAUCAUGGAGAACUCUUCCGCGACACCUUCGUGAGAGAGGAGAUGACAAGUUUUGGUCGCCACUCACACAUUGGACGGCGAGCCUACCCUUGUGUGUUGGAUUUCACGGACACCCCAGCACUGACUGGCACUAUCACUUGGUGAGGUAGACGUUCUUCUGGCCGCAUUACUUCGGCCAGCGUCAGCGAAGAUGGAACAGAUUUUGCGCACCGCCAGGUGACAGGUACCGUAGCCGAGUAGAGAGGGAUUUUUCUCGCUCUGCAUUGCGUGCCCGUUCGCGUUCGGGACACGAGGACAAGCCCGAUCUUCGAGCGAGGGGCGAACCGUCAUCUCCGGUUUGUCGCAAUCCCUCUAACGCUCCAAACUACCCGGGAGUGGUAGAUUCGCCGCUCAAUUCGUGAGAGCGCAGCGACGAAGUACAGGACAGCGAGCUAGGACAAAGGUGAAAGCCAAAGAGGCCUGCGGCUGAGGUGCCAGCCAGAUACACUCUUAAUGAGCCCGCCGAGCAUUCCUAUGUAGCCAGCUGCACCGUGACCAGCUCCAGCAGCACAGCGAGGAGAUCCGAUCGGCGCGGCCUUCCCCUUUGUGAUCUCGGUGGGUCCGCAUUACCACAUUUGCAUGUCCGCACGGGCGGGCAGGUCUUCCAGCUGUGGUCCAGGAGGGCCCACCCGUACCUGGUGCCUGAGAGGUUUCUUCACCGACACCAGUCGACAUCAAUCGGCAUCCUCGGCCACAGCCGUUAGCUCAAGGACGUUCAUCGGAUCACAUACCCAGCCUGGCGUCCAUCUCAGCGCCGAUUGCGAGGGAUCUCGCAGGACCCACGAGUGGGCGCAUGAUGCCGCUCAGAUAGACUUAGGAGGAGGCAGCAGCCGAGAUGUGUUGCAUUAUCAUUUUAACUUGAUGUCAUUAUGAGUUCGUUGCUUUAUUUCAAUACCGUGCAUCGCAUUCCAUUUUAUAGAUUCGAACUUUUGCUCGAGUUGCAUUGGCAUUCUCUUUGGUUUCCUUUGUUGCAUACGGGAACAUGAUCUGCAGUACUCAAUCCACAUCUUGGACAUUAGAGAGUUAUGCCCAGGUUCCCUGAUCGGGUAUGAAAUUGGAUCCAUGCUAUAUGAUUGCUAGCUUAUGCGGCAAGCUGGGGAUUUUGAUGUUGUCUUGGACUAUGAUUGGGUUUACAAACGUAUUAUGCCACUCAUUGUAUUGUAAGAACGCAACGUUACUUUUAAGAACCUGUGCAACCGAGGUGGUAUUUAGUGAAUGCAGGAGUUCGCUUUUGCGAUAACUGAUUCAGCUCGUUCUCGAGCUGCAGCUGAUUCUAUUAACGUGGUAGCCUAUUUGCUAGUUGUUGUAGCUGAGGGGCGAAGAUUACACCCCUAGCGAUUGAUGAUAUCCCGGUGGUGCGGAGUUCCAGGAAUGCGUUUCGCAGCGAGGCUACGGGUAUGCCGCCUGAUAUGGAGAUUGAUUUGUGAGUAGAUCUCGUCCCUGGGCUACCUUCAAAUCUCAAAGGCACCCUAUAGGAUGCACGCGAGCUGAGGGAGCUGAGGCACUACUGCAUGUAUUUGUUGGACAAGGCUUCAUCUGCGACGCUGAUGUUUCACCCCUUGGGAGCGCCCGUUUUGUUCGUCAAGAAAGAAAGACGGAUCACUCGCCUUUGUGUGGAUUAUCGUGACAUUAAUAAGUCACGUCAAGAACAAGUAUCGCGUUGCCAAGAUCGUAUCGACAUUGUUUGAUCAGCUUCAUAGAAAUUUGCUAAAUUCCUAAGAAUCGACUUGCAGUCGGAUUAUUCCACUUAGUUUAAGAUCCAAACACCGAAGACGUCAUCAAAGACGCUUUAGAACGCGUAUGGAGCCAUUAUGAGUUCACAGUUUAUGUCCGUUUGUGGCUUACUUAAUGCCGUUCCGGCAGCUUUUAUGGAUCAUAAAUGAAUCCGUGUUUUCCAAAGCCUUAUCUAGACAGGUCGUCGGGUGUUACAUCGACGACUAUUUUGGUCUACGCUCGGAGUGAUGCAGAUCACGAGGAAACAUUGAAUUGUAAACUCCAAGUUACUUCGGGCAAAAGGAGCUUUUAUGCCAAGUUGAAGAAAUUUGAAUUUUGGCUUCGAGAGAUAUGCCUUCCUUGACACAUUGAUUUCAUGAUCAGGUAUACAGUGGAUCCCAAAGAAGAUCAGAUACAACAAGGAUUUGGCCGAACCGACGAGCGUCACAAAUACGGAAGCUUCCUUGGUUGCCCGUUACUACCGGAGAUCCUGACAGAGUUUGCUAAGGCUAUCUACUCCCUCACAGGCUUCCGCAUAAAGUGUUAAUUCAUUUUGAAUGAUGCCUGCGACGAAGCUUCAAGAGUUGAAAUAGCAACGAUUGACUACGCCCCGAUCCUGAGCCCUACCAGUAGCUGAGCCGUAAUGGUUUAUAGUGAAUGCUCAACUUAAUGGAUUGGGUCUUGUGGAUUGAAUGCAUGAUUGGCAAAGUUACGCGUAUCUUCUCGCCAGCUAAAAGAAAUAGAUAAAAACUACCCGACCAUGAUUUGAGUUGCGGCCGUAGUGUUCCAUUUGAAAUAAAUGCGGCCACCACCCUUUAUGCGAAGGUGAAGUAUACACGGAACACAAGAGAUUAAAGUACCUGUUUACUCAAAGAUUUGAACCUGAGACACGCAGAUGUUGGAAGCUACUCAAGAUUAUGAUCUUGACGAUCCCUUACUAAAACUUGUUCAGGCAAGGCUAACUGUGUUGGCGGAUGCGACUGAGUAGGAAAUCGAUGGAAACUUAGCGAUCAUGUGGUGACUCAAUCCGCAGUGACGAAGCAGAUGAAUCGGUUGGAGUUGGAGAUUAGUGACUCCUAACACCUUGAUUAUGACAUUCAGUAGUGCAACCUACCUGUGACGCGAAUUAAAGAAAAAAGCAAGCUCAGAUGUGGAUUUAAACAUAUUAGCAGGAAAAAAUGUACUGGUUGCUCGGCGAAUUCCUUGUGAACGCCCGCAGGUUUGAUGCGCUUUCGAAAGAAACACAUGUUUCCGCGUACUACCGGAAUAAAGAAACAUUCUUCAGAAGCGCACCGCGCGCCCUAUCAUACAUUCCAGGCACCAAAAUUAUAUAAGGGAAAAAAACUUACAAGUUGCUCUAUGUGCCAUGGAAUGAAAAGGAUGUGGCGAGAUUUGUAGCUAAAUGCUUAACCUGCCAACAAGUGAAGCAAGCACCGAUUCCCGCGAAGCUUCAUAGUUUGCCUAUCCAAUGUGGAAGUGGAGAAGCAUUCACUAUGGACUUUGUGAACAGGUAUUGCCACGCUCAUUCAGGCAGGGCAAUACUCUAUUGUAUCGUGGACAGGCUUAUCAAUUCGGUCGCGACUUCAUACCUGAUUCAUUACGACUUGACCGCGAAAGAAGCCGCCACAAGUGUACCUUGAUGAGAUUGUGGCGCACUUCAUGAAGUGGCUACCUUCGAUUGUAUCUGCAUUCGCGAUCACGUUCGCUUCGGUCUCGCACUUUUUGGAUGAUCUAUCAGGACGCCUUAUGCACCCGACUGGAUUUCAGUACAAUCGCAUUCCACCCGUAAGUGAUGGACAGUUGAGCGCACUAUCAACCAUUAGAGGAUAUGCUCCGGCAUUGGUGUGAUAGACUUCCUCAGGAGGAUGUCGCAGCAUCUCUACCUAAUGGCGGAUUGCUUAUAACAACAGUUAAUCAAGUCAGCACUCAAUUAAUGCGCCCUUCGUAAGCACUUUAUAAUGGACAGAACUUGUAGAUUCGCUCACUUAUUGGGAAUGAAGUCGGACGAGUAGUUUGCUCCAGCCCUGAUUGUGCUCUAUUGAAGUUCUGAGAAUAAGGUUCGAUGCUUCUGGGUAUGCUGAUUUUUUGACAUUGGCUUCAGAUAAACAGAGGAUGCUACGCCGAUCGACGUACGGCGAGACGUUGGAGUUCCAAGUUGGAGACAUGUAGUUCAUUGAAGGUCUCCCGACUAGAGGAAUCCAGAGAUUUGGGGGAUUCGGAAAGUUGAGCCCCUGUCUUCAUUGGACUCUAUGAAUCUUGAGCGUUCGUAGGGUCGGUAGCGUAUCGAUUGCUCUAUACCACCUGAACCUCAUCGGCGUACACAACGUCUUUCAUUAUCCGAUCCUUCGCGAGGUACAUUCAUGAUGCCAGCUCCAUCCGUUUUGGAUGCUGUAGAGUGGAGCUUGGCGUAGGAUUUGAGCUUUGAGUAGCCAACCAUGAAGAUUUGCUCGCGAGUGAAAAGCGCGGAAUACGGAAUAUUCGUAUGUGAAGGUCUUUGGAGCAACCACGGGGAGCGGGAGUGCCACGUGGGAGCUAAGAGAGUUGCGCUGCGGGAGCACUACCCACCUUUUUUCAGUGGAGUCUUGAGGUACGUCUCAAUUUCGAUUUCAGGAGACGAACUCUUUUUUAGAGGUGAAUGUAUAAAGACUGGAUGCUUAGCAAAUUGGAGAUUCGAGGUGUUUUGAUCUGUGUGUGGAGCCUUUCCACAGUUUUUGGAGGGUCGUUGUAUAGUGUUCCGACCCCUGGUCCGCUUCUCCGAGGAUGUUGGAGUGAGACUUGCACCAAAAUCUCCCAAAAUGAAUUAUGGUAGCUCUCGAGGUAGCUCUGCACAGGGCUUGUACCGGAACAAGACUGGUCUUGAUACCGUACAAAGUUUGAAGUUGUACCGGUACAGCCAUGCGGCUUUUACGUACAGAGCCCGCUAGACCGCUGCGACCGAGCCUCGGUUUGCAUGUUCGUCGGCUUGUACCGUACAAAACCUGAUAACCGUUACAUUGAGGCAGAUUUCGUCGCAAAUGGGGGCGAAAACUGCAGGGGUUUUGUGCGUUGUAGCCUUCUAUUAGUACCCCACCGCCCCCUAUGGCAUCUCCUGAGCUUGGAACCUGCAGGGAGAGAAAGGUGAGGAAGCCUCCACACCUUCUUUGUGAUUCUUUAUUUUGGUUGGGUUUUUAAGACAUUAAACCUUCCUUUUAUGCUUCCUUUUCUUUGUUGGAGCUUUUCCACCAUUUGAGCUUGAUUUUGUGAGCUUGGUAAGGGAGAUCUUGGGACUUGAUUAGUUAGAGCUCUGGUUGAAGCUUCUAAGAGGUAAGCAAACAUGUUCUACUCCCUCUAAGAUUCAAUUUAUUGAGAUAUUGAAUGAAACCUAGAAUGAGGUUUUAGGUUAGUUAUAUUGGACAUUUGAAAAUCUAGCGGCUUUUUGGAGCUAGAUUGAAUUGGAUUAGAGCUUCCAUUGGUUGGAUUGGAUGAGGCCUAAGCUUCAUUUUGGAGCUUUAGAAGAGAUUUUGCAUUAGAGUGAGUUUUCCUCUACCUAUGAAUUGAGUAGCUUAAUGUUUGAGCUAGUAUUGUUCGUAAUCGGUCUCCCGUAUGACUCUCUGUUCUCGUACCUCUAAGGGUAGUAGAACUAGAGGACACCCUCCCCGUUGAGCGCUACGAGGAGUUUCGUUGUUCAUGUGGAUUUGCUUCGUGGAAAUCGGGCCGAAUGGCCCUAUGCUCUUGUCUACUGGUUGUAAAUUAAUUUUUAAAAUUCAUUUUCUAUGCUAAAUAGAUUAAUAGAAUUUUAGAGCACUUAAAUGCAUGCCUCGGUAUUAUAAAAAUUUCACUAUAUAUAGUGAGCUAGUAAUGCAGUAAGAAUGUCCAUGCAUCACGGGAAAAGUGUUAUUAUUUGCAAGUGAAAAAUACAUCCUUAGAGAUAUUAUGACUUGGAAUAUGUACUCUUUGGAAACAUAGUUACCAUUGAUUUUAUGACAUAAGAAACGGCAGAGUGUCAUAAAGCGACUUGAACUAGUAAUCAUCUAAGAAACUGAGCAACAUAGAGAUAUACUUGGUAAGGCCACUACAUACUCUGCUAUAUUCCAUGUUUAGAAGACAUGAUGACAUAGGUGGGUAGCCAUUGAGAUAUUGACAAUUCAUGUUAUUAACAUAUGACUUUGGUACUCUAUGCGACAGAUCGUUUGAACCUACUUGCCCAUUAUGUCUCGAUUCGCAUCAUGCUUGUUGAGGGUCGCUCCCCUACAAGCCCGGCACUCACGGAGAUAGCAUCGCGAUUCAUAUUCGCUCGUGCGGUUGAUUGGGCGGCCGAAGUGAUUGCGGUGGACAGGCUCAUCUAGGGUGGGAUGAUGAGUACCACCGGGGGCCCCAUUAGGCUCGUGCAUUCCGCCAGACAGGCCUUACGGGUGAGUCUUCACAGGCCAUAGUACACCUCUUCGGGUGGGUCUCUUCAGAUUUGACUUGUGUGUUCCAUUAUGACAUGCUGGACAGAGAAGGAUUUAGUAUAUCACUUGGUAUUGAUUCAGAAUAGUAACAACCGGAACCUUACUAUCCUCACAUUGUGAACAUCAUGAAUAGUUGGACAUUUACUUCAUCAUAGUUGCUUUCAUACUUAUGCUAUUUAUGCUAAGUAGAAUACUCAUGUCGUAGUAAGGUUACAUUUUAAACUUAUCUUUGCGCAUUUUCUAACCCUUUUAUAAGUCAGCUUGACAUCUUUUUCGUAGCUUGGGCCUUGUGGUGCAUUCAUCCUGAAAUCUACAGUAAUAUGCCAACCCUGGGAACUAUUUCUAUAUUAGCUCACCUCCACUGAUUUUAAUGGUUUACUUUUCCAGACCUUCGGCACUUGGCCGAGGCACGGGAUCGCCGGGCAGAUUGGGAUGCGCUUGCCUUAGCUAGCGAGGAGCCAUACUAGUUCCUAGGUGUUACUCUUUCUUUGUAUUUGAAGAGUGUGAGAUUUUGUAUCCAUGUAUAAGACAACUCUAUGUAACCUACCCUAAUAGGCAACCUUGUAUUUUGGGACUUCCUAUUGUAUUUAACUUUAUGUCUUAAAUUUAGUGAAAUAUACAGUUCAAUCUGCUUAUUCUUGUUGUAGCAUUAGACAUUUAUUACGCUCUAAUACACCAUAUGUCUUUUAUUUGGCUUAUUAUUGUUGUUUUUAGACGCCUUAUAUGUUGUAGACAUAUGGCGGGUCUGGGCACGCGCCGGGCGGACUUCCGCUGGGUCCCGGGGCGUGACAGCUCAACACAAAGAGGGGCCUGUGGGGGAGAGGGGGUGUUAUAAACAUAUUGUAACAAUUCCCUCAAGACCUCUCAAAAUUCCAAAAUUUACAAACUCCAAGGCUUCUUCAAAGUCCAAGAAGCUAGCCACCAUGAAGAGGAAGAAGAGAAAGAGAUCAAAACCCAAAUCAAAAAGAGUUUGCAGAAAAAAUAUAGAGAGAAAAUGGGAGGAAACCCUACCUUUGCUUCUAUCUAAGCUCAACACAAAGAGGGGCAUGUAGGGGAGAGGGGGUGUUAUAAACAUAUUGUAACAAUUCCCUCAAGACCCCUCAAAAUCCCAAAAUUUACAAACUACAUGAACUGUAGUUUUCUGCACUUCGUACCGGUACUCGAAGGGGAGUACUGGUACCCGGCACCCAAACCUGCAAAACCCGAGCACAGACAUUCGGGUUCUAAUAUGGUGUACCGGUACCCGCGUGAUGCAGUAAUGAUACAUGGCCCAGUACCAGUACCCGUACCCGCCAAUCCAGUACCCGCCAAUCCAGUACUAGUACCCAGCACCCCAAAACUCAAACCCGAGAGUAGCUACUCUCGGUCACGCAUUGGGAUACCAGUACUCCACCUUGUACCGGUACUUAACACCCCAAAAGAUGCAAUUUGCAAGUUUUGGUGUUAAGUACUCACUCUCACGUUCACAAAACACGAGUAAUAGGUCGGUAUACAGUCAACGACUCUCAAAACAUGCAGAAUAGUUUAAAAUGCUAUUCUUAUACUAAAAACUUGUAAUUUGCUAAAUUUUAGUGUGCUACAGGCAUUCCCCGAAAAUGCAAGCGCAGUAGCUGUGGAGGAGGAGGGUCUUCCUAUUCCUCAUUCCCAAUCGUUGUGGCAGCGCCGUCGGUGGUGUUCGAAUCUUCGCAACCCGGCGCCGACGCGGCCACUGGGAACGAGGAAUACGAGGACCUCCCUCCUCCACCUCCGCUGCGCUCGCGUUUACGAGGAACGACGUCCGUCGCCUUCACCUCCUUAACAAAAGGUAGUGUCGUCUUAACCUCAUCGCCUUUAUAGAAAAUGCAUCUGAAGAACCCAUAUUUAAAAAAAUGAAAAGACGUUUGAAGAGCCGCUUUUCCUUCCCGAGGAAACUUCGAUAUGCCCGCCGGUGUCUCUUCGCCUAACCUAAUCGAGUAGAACGUACACGUUACUGUACGGAUUCUAGCGCUAGAAUUAAAUGUGACCUGCUCAGGAAACCCAAUAUUCUGUCUGAACCGGUAUGCGAACCUAAUUUGCCAUGCUAUUCGUCAGACCUAGUAUUUGCUGUUCGGUUCGCUGAGAUUUGGAAGAAUACGCAACCGGCGAUGGAAAAAUUGAUGCAAAUGGAAUUGAAAUAGUGCAACAACCCUAAAACAGUGCAGUGCAUACUUUAUAUUAGUACAACAAUGUGGUAAACAGUGCACUAUACGAACAAAUAUUUCCCACAGUAGCUAAAACGAGCCGACUAAAGUAGGAAAGAUGUUCGGUUUUUCCCUUGUUAGGUCGCCCCACUUUAAUUCAAAAUCGUCCGGAAUAUCAGCACUUUUCGUCGACAAAUUUUAUAUCAAUUUUAGAUUUAAUCGAGUAAAGACGUUCGAAAUAGAGUAAGACUCGUUUAAAUAGAAUAAUUGUCUUUCGAUUCUCAACACACAUUGUCGCUGUUGGCUGUUUGGUGUGCUAACGUGUCAGCACAUUUUUGGAUUCUUAUGCUGUGUGGUGAAUAGGUUCUCCCAAACGAGCAUCCCACUAAUUAUCAACCGGCGGUUGCUCCCAUUACCCUAUUCUAACCCUUUACGCACUCUACACCGCCUUACAGCUCCUAUUUACCCUAUCAACCGCCAUACUAUUUGUGACCACCAUCGUCCGCUUCGAAUCCUAUUAGCCACUACACUCUCAAUCUACAUUGCUUGCAAUGGCGUCGUAGUCUACUGAUUCAUUGUCUGACGUCGGCUGGAAGGCGCCGUCGCGGCUGGUUACCGGCGGCCCCAGUGGUAGAUUCAUUGUGAAUUCACGGUGUUUCGUCGAAGCGUAUAGAAAGAUUACGCGUCGGUCGUGAAGCCCUAUCAUCUUCUCGUCAUCCACAGUACGAUUUUCGGUAAUAUCUUACAUUUCCCCGACAUCACCUCAGAUAGGCUCAUACUGGAGUUCAUCCUCCGACAUUGGAAUGAGGGUGUAGAUUUCGAAAUAGGCCCGCAUGUCAUAAGCUUCACAGCACAGAAAGCGGCAGUUCUUCUUGGAUUACCCCAGUCGGGCCAAGUUCUAGACCUAAACCUAAAAGUUGAGUCAGAUAUUCAGAAUCGUUACCUUGAGGGGAAGAAGGUCGACCGCAAGAAGCUAGAGGUGGUUUUGAAGAAGAUGUCACCUAAGGAGGACGAAGACAACAUUACUGACUUCGUGAAAUUACUUAUUCUCUAUUAUUUUUGUUGCAUUCUUUUCACAAAUACCAAUAAUCUCUGCCCCAAAGGUCUGGUGGCUCUUGUCGAUGAUCUCCCCGCUUUGGGACGGUACAAUUGGCCGGAAGCAGUACAUCGGCUUAUCAUCGAUAGCCUAUGUUCCGCCGCCAUUAAAUUACAAGCUAAUGUGAAGCGGGUGGGAUACGUUCUUGGAUGCACCCCGCUUCUUCCGGUAAGUGUAUAUUGUGCAAGUAAUCGUGCAAAAUAGGUAUGAUGUAUGCUUCAAUCGUGUAAUUGUGUGAACUAUAGUGUAAUAUUGUGCUGAUUAGUAGUAUAAUAUUGUCUUUGAAAUCAAGUGUGGAUAUACGAGCAUACUGGGUACAGAUGUCCUGUCACGCCACCCGCCCCAAAUCCCUUACCAAUUUGGCACGGUUCGGGUGCGGCGGACGGACGCCGAACGGACAGCACCUCUCCUGUCCGCCCAAGGCUAAGCAACCAGAUCAUGUACAAUUAAGUGCCCAGGAGUUGCUUAAAUAACAUACAUGAUCAAUCACGAUGCACACAAGUGCACUAUAACUAAGAGCAAGAACCACGAGUGAAUGUACAAGUGUAUAAAGAGAGAACACCUAGCUAUUACAACCAUUCAACAUUUACAUAAGUUGAUUACAUUUCCAUCUGCCAAAAUGUAAUUACAUGUUUUCUUCCAAUACAUCAUAGCUCUCCAAUAACUAUCCAAAACAUCAUCUAGAACACGAGGGUACUCUAAUGCAUAAAGGAAAAGCUACUAACUAAGCUCAUGGCGCUAUGCCCUUACCGCGGUCCUCGCUCGGUCCGCUCCGGUGUGUACCUGUACCCGAAAACCACACGGGGUAAGAACUAUAUAAAUAUAGUUCCCAGUGGGUUCGGCCGCCAACUCCGCCAAUUUUUCCACUAGGUCUAAGCUAGCACAGAUAGAGAGAUAGAUAGAUAUAUAGAGAAAUGAACUGCAACUACUCUAUCAUGCCAUCAAUGAUAAUAAUGCAUGCAACAACUACUAUCAUACUAGUAUUAUGUCAUGAGUAUAGAAAAGUACAUAGCAAUGCAAACUACAACAUACACUAUGUCUACUCAAGGUAAUAAUGCAAAUCUACUAUGCAUUCCAUAUUUAUUACUCAGUCUACUUGGUUAACCCGUAAGUUAAACCCUCGACUCACUUUCAAUCUCAUAGGUGAGGAGAAGCUGCACUCGCACACCGAGACCGUCUGCGGGACAACUAUGUCUGCCCCUAAUAAAGUACUCCGGAGACUCGUGCCACGGUGGAGCGACCACCGACAGCGAAAACAGACUAGUGAGUGUGAUCCAAUCCUCACAAGAGGAUACCCUAUCUACAAGGGUCAGAGUGCCUCUGCUGCACCAUGUAUAAUGCAUCCUAGAUGCCGGGAUCUCUACUAUCCCUAGAAUCAUGUCAUGUCUACUACACUAGACUCGAUGCCACUCAUUCGAUCAUUGUAGUAAUGUUCUGUAACUAAUUGACAUGCCACUCGUUCAACACUAGUUCAAUGCCACUCUACGAGCUAUCAUAUGUCCAAGUUUGGCUCUUUAUGCCAUUAUAGGAUUUCCAUGUCACAAGACCCAAUCCUCAUGCUACCCUAGUUCAUGUGUCCAACUCAUAGUUACACUACUAAGAAGCAUGCAAGGAAUUAGAAUUUGCAACUAUCUACUAAUCCUAUAAUGCAAUGUGAUCAAGCAUAUAUAUAACUUAGACAUAAAAAGAAAUCCGGAUGCUUCGGGAUGACACCCCCACCUCUUGAGGGUAUGGAGGCUCUAGAAAUACCCUCCAACGAACUUUACGACGACUUCUCGGAUUCCUUAGGUCGAAACGAAGUUUGGUCGGCCUUGUUUUGCCGAUAUCUUUUCUUCCGCUUGGCGAAUCAAAAAUCCAACUUCGCCCCCGCGUUUAGGCACCUAGCAAUUAGGUUUACAAGGCCUUAAAUGAGAUCAAUCUCAUACUUUACCAAAAAUUCUAUUUUGGUGCCCUAGGGUUAGCACCAAGCUAAACCCAUCUCAAAACCCUAGAUUCUAGCUCCAAUCUCACCAUUCAUGGUGCUAGGGAUCCAUUUGAUCCCAUCCAAAGAGCUAAAACCCAAAAACCCUAAAUUCCAUAACUAGGGUUGGAAGUCUAUCUCUUGUUGUAGCUUCAAAGAGAGGAGAGGAAGAGGGAGAGGUCCAAAGCUUCCUCUAGCUUGAUCUCCUUUUUCUUCUCCUUCCUUUUCCUUCUUCUUUUCCUUCUCUUUUCUUCUUCUUCUUCUCCUCCUCCUUUUCUUUCUAGAGAGAGAGAGAGGAAGAGAAAAGAGUGUGAGGGAGAGAGUGAAAUGAGGGUUGGAGAGAGAAAGAGGGGGCUUACAUACCCCUCUAAUGUAACAAUAUCCAAACAAACCCCUCAACUUUCACCUCCUUGCACUGCCCUUACUCGGCAUUUUUCGCCCAGAGGGACCGGUCUCCCCGACCUGGGACCGGUCCCCGAGAGCCUCAGCCCGGGUCACGCGUUCGGGAACCGGUCCUUUCCUGAGAGACCGAUCCCCGGGAGACCGGUUCCCUCCUGAGAGACCGGUUUCCGAGAGCUGGGAUUUCAGGACUUAGCCAAAUUUUGGCUUUUCUCGCUGGGGUCACGUUCGGGGACCGGUCUCUCCCUGCUAAGGACCGGUUGCCUCAAGGAUCCCCGCAACCACCAGCCGAUGGAACCGGUCCCUCCCUGCCAGGGACCGGUCCCCGAGAGCAAUUUUGCUCGAGUGCAGAUUUUGCACUAUUUGCUCUCGUGGACUCGUUUUCAAUGCACUUUUGGUGAUUUUGACAUCUUUGGCUUUUCCAAAGCUCACCAACACGACCCUUGGUCGAUUCUAGAUGAAGUCUAACUCUCAUAUUUCGACAAUUCACCUACUUACAUGUCCUCUGCCUUUCCGCCGUGCAACAUUUUCUCGUGUCCAGAGGUGGGAUACGAUUAGAUGGACUCGGCGUUCACGGGGAUCGUCGAGAGUAAAGGAGGAUUUUAACUUUACUAGGUGCCGACGCAGGUUGGACCUCUCCUCGGAAGAACAAUGGCUGCUAGGGGUCGUGGCUGAUGUUCCACGUCGCCAGCGCCCCAGGAAUGAGGAACCUCCGGGGGAGUAUAAAGAGGUGAUGGCGGCAAUUAGCCGUCUGGAGUCUGUGGUGUACAGUCUUGCCACCUCCGUUGCCGGCAUACUGGGCAAUCCAGCUCUUCUACCAGCACCAAAAUCAUCGCCAGCACCUCUUCGAAGUAAAAAGAUUAAAAAGAAUAAAAAGAAUAAAAAGCGGCACGAAAGCAUGCAAGUACCAACCCCCCCAUCAUCUAAAUCCUCUGGGCUCUCGUCACAGAGUGUCAAAAAACAAAGGCUAGCAACGUCCGUCUUGGCGAUGCCCGCAAUGAUCUCGGCCAUUAAGGAGAAUCCCAAAUUCGGGCAAGAACGAAGGUCGAGUUCUUCAAAAUCUAGAAAGGAUGGGGCUCGCCAAAACUACGGAGUCCACCUAGAGCUCCCCAGGAGUGUCGUAAGAAGCGCACGCCGGGGAAGGGCAAACGAACUAGGAGCCCGUACCUCCUCCGGCCGCUCUGGGGAUAAAAGAAUAACGACAACGACCUAAUCGCCGACAUAUGUGACGCGCUUAUUAUUUUACAUUCUCAGUAAAGGAAUGAUUUCUAUAUUAUAUCUCAAUAAUAGUGUAAUUGUACCACACUGAGAUUAAUAAAAUCAUGUUUUAGUUGUUUAAUAGUGCAAAAGUUAUUGUAAUAGUGCAUCAGUUACUUCAGUAGUGUAACAUAGAACCGCAUCGAUUAUAUGCAGGUUCUGCCACCGAAAGAGAGCGGCCACCUGCGGGCGCUGAGAGAGAGUGCACAUCUGCGCCCGGUCAAUAUAUUUGAAGAACAAGUCGAAGAAGAAGACCGUACAACAGCUGGUUUUUUCGCCGUCGAUUUUAUUAUGGAAUGCGAUGAAGUAUGUAAUUGUGUAAUUGUUGCUUAAAUAGUGUAAUUUCUAAACUAUUAGUUCAAUUGACUCUAAUUUUUAAAAUACAACGUCAGCUGCAUAACGUCAUCAUCCAAAUCUAUUAAGACGUUCAACUGUUAUCUUCGCUACCAGAGGUGCCGGAACUCGCAUUGCCAGAAGUGUCAAAGUCCGUCGAGGUGGGGGCACCGGUGGCGGUGGCGGUGGCGGCGGAACCGGAGGUUCCGACGAAAGAGAAGGCGGCGGAGGAAAGAAAGGCAGCAGAACCGGUGGCGGCGGCGGAGGAAAGAAAGGCAGCAGAACCGAUGGCGGCUGCGGAACCGGUGGCGGUGGCGGAAUCGGAGACGACGGGGGCACCAUUGGCGGCGGCAGAAUCGAAAGUUCUGGCGGAAGAUGAGGAGGCGGAAAGGGAGGCGGCGGAAUCGGUGGCAGCGGAACCAAAAGCAUAGGCGGAACCGGAGGUAGAGAGGGGUCCUUCGGUGGAACCGGGGGCGGAGAGGGAUCCUUCGGCCGAGCCGGAGAAGGAGUUGUGGUGGCGGCGGUACUGAUGGUGGCGGCAGCACCGGAGGCAUCGAUGAAUCUCGUGGAUGCGCUGAAGCCAAAGACGGCUCGCACAUCUAAAAGUAUAACUGGAUGUUACACCAAUACUUUUUAAUUAAUGCAAUAUUUCUUCUAUUUGUGUAAUAUUUUCCUGAUUGUUGCACUAUUUAAUAUUCCUGUGAAUAGGCGAAUGUUAAAAUCGACAAGCCCCCUAGCAGAAUCUCGCAAGUCGAAGAGACGCCUGGCGCGUGACUCGCCUACGACAAAGGCGGCUACGCAAGAAGCGAAGUAUGCCAAGCUGGAACCCAGCAUUAUAGAGGUAUGUGAAUCUUGCAACGAUACUUUUAAGUAAUGCGAUAUUGCUUCUAAUAGUGUAAAUAAGUGCAGCAAUGGUGUAGUUCCCUGAAUGUUGCACUCUUUGAUUGAUUUGUGAACAACCCCCAUUGAUCAUCAACAUCCCCCACUCAAAAGAUACAUCAAAAACAAAAAAGGCAAAAAACUGAAGGUUGCAAGCGACAUCGUCAAAGGAUUUAAAGUACUAUGGCAAGGGAGUGCUACAACAGGAGGAUCAGGAGCUCAUUGAAAAAUUGCUUACAAGCACCACCCAAGCGAUAAGAGUGCCUUCAAAAAGCAUUGACAUCGGGCGGAGUGACUUCGUCGAUCUUACAAGUCACAUGGCCUUCAUCAGCUCCGAUGUUACUGACUCAUACCAGCAUCUACUGGAAGAGGCAAAAGGCCAGAGGUGCAUAUACUCCUUGAGCUUCCUUUACCAGACCAUAGGUACAGCAUUUGGCGGCGAAAUAUUUUUGAAUGAUUUGACCAAGGGGGCGAUUAGUGACGCAAAGUAUUGAUUCAUCCCGCUCUUCGACUUCGAGCACUGGGACUUGCUGGCGAUUGAUCUCCAAGAAAGGAAGUACCUCCACUUCUUGUCGAUUAAAAACUCUAAAUACAACGCUCGGUUCGAAAAAGCGGUAAGUAUUGCCUUAAUAGUUUAAUAUUGUGCCACGAUUAUCCUAUUAUCUUUCUAAUUAGUGCAACAUUCUGUUAUGUAGUGUAACUUCAUAGAAAAUUUUUUGCAAAAUAAUUUUUCCAAUUUGUUUCACCGCUGCGACACCCGUCCCGUGAAAUGGGAGAAGAUCAACAUGGAAAUGAUACCAAUGCAAGUUCAGUCAAAUGAUUGCUCAAUCUUCCUUUUGGCUUACGAAGAAUACCUGCAGAAGGUGUGGAACAUGAACUUCUCCCAGAAUGAUGUGAUGAAGAAACGCGGCGAGAUAGCAGCAGAAUUUUUGCGGCUUUUUUACUCGUGAUGAUUCGAUUAACAAUUAUUUAAUUUAUUCAGCCUUUUUUUUCCACAUUUGAAGAUUUCGGUGUAAAUAUUCUCAUUUUUUUAGUUAUAAAUAAAUGAUUCAAAAUUUAUUUGUAAUGGUGUAACACAACAAGCAUUUACACCAACAAGCAUUUGCGCAUAUUUGAAAAAAAUAGUGUAAGUUUGUAUAUCUGUUAAGCAAGAUAGCCAAGUUGCAUUGCUGAAAGAAUGUUGAACUGUUAUCGUCUUCGUUACAGUAGUUACAAAGAAUGUUGAACUGUUGUCAUCUUCCUUACACUAUUUAUCAAAGAGUCUUGAACUAUUAUCGUCUUCGUUAUACUAGUUUUCAAAGAAUGUUGAACUAUUACAAUAUGGAUGGGAGGAUUUGCCGCGCUUUCCUGCGUUGCGCCUAUAGAUGUCGUCGCGUGAGGUGGGAACUCCAGAGGCUGCUUUUCUUUGGCCAGAGAAGGGUUCUUGCAUGACCGUUUGUUGUGCCCUUACCUUCGGCAAUUUCCGCAUUGCUUCUUUACCACGCCAUUAGAAAUUGACUCUCUCCGCGCAACCUUCCCUCUCCCCGAUUAUAUGCGCACGUUUGGCGGCCGUGGCGGAACGACGGUGCUUGGUAUUGGUGGCCAAUGCUCUUUGCCUCUGGUGGGGGGACGUAGUUGUUGUAGGUUGCGCGAUAAGUCAUGGUCUUGAACCAGUCCUCGACAAAAUCAUACAGAUCCCGUAGCCUACAUGAAAUUGCUUCCAUGGCGUGAUUACAUGGGAUGCCGUCAAUGUCCCAACGCUUGCAGGAACAUGUCAUUUUAGAAAGAUCCACAAUCUUUGUACUUUUUGGUGUGAUUACCUAGAUAAACACAAGCCAGGGAAAUGGGUGAGACAAAUAGUGCAACGAGUAGAGAUAUUGUCACGCCCCGGGACCGGCGGAGGCCCUCCCGGUAGCGUGCCCAGACCCGCCAUAUGUCUACACAUAUAAGGCGUCUACAAUAAAAGCGGAAGUAAAAGCGAGUAAUAGAACAAAUAGAAGGAGUGAAAUAACUAGCAACUAAUGAUAUCAGAGCGAGUAAAGUUCUAACAUCUACAUCAAAGUAGAGAGGUAAAGCUAGACAAUAAAAGAAAUCAUAAGUAGUACAAUAUCUGUCACUAGUACAAAAAUGGUGGUCUCUAGUACACUGGUAAAACCCUCAACCUCUCGCAAAAUAAAAUAAGACAUCGAGAGGUAGACCACCUAGCAACUCGUNCUGGGCAGUUUUCGCCCAGAGGGACCGGUCUCUCCCCAGCAGGGACCGGUCUCUCGCUGCGAACCCGAAAAUCCAACGUUCGGGAACCGGUCUCUCCCUGCGCGGGACCGGUCUCUCUGUGCGAAGGCGCGCUCGGGGACCGGUCUCGCCCGCCAGGGACCGGUUGCCUCAGGGCUGCCGCAACACUGUUCACUGGGGGACCGGUCUCUCCUUCCAGGGACCGGUCCCCGAGAAUAAAAACUCUCAAGACUUGUCCAGAAUUCCAGUUUUCGAACUUCUUAGGUCGGAAAACAUUCUACAACCCUCCACCAAGUGUGGAAAAGCUCGAAAUACACCCAAACACUCGAACCUUGCAAUUUGCAACGGUCCAGUGCGUUACAGAUAUAGUACAUAAAAACAUUACAAUAGUGCAACGUUAUGUGAUAUCACAUAAUACGUUUCGACAUUAGUGCAACUUAUGGUUAAAUAGUGUAAAUAAUCAUUAAAAUGGUACAAAAUAGUCGAUAAGGCCUGAAAAAGGACAUCGAUCGAAGGGUCCAGUGUGUAAAAGCGGGAUGCUGCUCUCGAGCUCUCUAUUGUCUUUUUUACAUACGGCGUUAAAACAGUGGUGAUCUUCUCUCCAGCAUUUUUUCUCUGGUAAAAAUACCAUGCUAGUUUCCUUCAUGUUUCCUCUACCAGGUAGGUAAUUGGAAAGCCCUUUAAAUGUCGUAUAAUAUUGUUUAUCGUCUCGGUACAGUUGGAAGUUAGCAUUGAAUAAUGUCUUCCAAGAAAGUUGUAGCACACUGAACUUUAGCAACUUGUAAGGUUCUAAUGUUAGAAUAGUAUUUUGCGUUAUUUUUGGUGUUUUUGAAAGUCGUUGACUGAGUGCCGACCUAUUGCUCGUAUUUCGAGAAUGCGAUAAGGAGUACUUAGCAACAAAAUCUGUAAAUUCAGGUUUUGGGGUGCCGAGUACCGGUACUUAGGUGAGGUACCGGAACCCUAUUGCGUGACCGAGAAAGCUGCUCUCGAGUUUGCGCUGAGAGGUGCUGAGUACCGGUACUGGGGUCAGGUAUCGGUACUCCCCUUCGAGUACCGGUACGCAAUGCAGAAACCGCAUUUCGUGCAAUUUGUUAUUUUUAGAGUUUUGAGGGGUCUUGAGGGAAUUGUUACAAUAUGUUUAUAAUACCCCCUCUCCCCCACAUGUCUCUCUUUGUGCUGAGCUUAGAGAGGAGCAAGGUAGGGUUUCUCCCUCCCUCUCUCUAGAUUUCUCUCCCAAACCUCUUUUUAUUUGAGAUUUGAUCUCUUUUUCUCCUUUCUUUUCAUGGUGGCUUGCUUGGUGAACCCUAGAGGAAGCUUGGAAGUGAAGAAAAGAGCUUGGUUAAGGAUCCAACUCCGACCCUAGCUCAAGUUAGCUUGAUUUGGAGCUUUCCUUGAGGUUAGUACUUAUCUUGCAACAUAACUCUCCUUUAGGUUGGAAUUGAAGCUCCAUUGGGUCGAUUUGAGCCUUGGACAAGUUUUAGUUGGUCAAAGGUAAUUUUCACCUCUUUUCCUUGUGAUUUUUGUUGAAUUUUGUAUGAUGUUCGUUCGAAGCUUGUAACCCUCUUAGAAAUUCUCUUAGGGUGCUAGAAGCUUAGUGGACAACUUUGUUCGAAGGAACGAAAGGAUUCGAGGAGUAUCCGGUGGGUUUGACCUCACCGAAAUGGGUGAACUCCCUCUAUGUCUUCCCUAUGGUUAUAAGACAUAAUUUGGUACAUAUUCAUGUUAAUUAGGACAUGGUAGAAUUUAUGGAUACAUGCUUCAUACAUGUUAUAUGUGGGAAAAUUUACGCUCUAUGAAGUAGAGGCUUACAACGUGGACUUGUGCAUUGAACAGCUCUUCAUGAUAAUUUUCCUCUUAUGUAAUCUUUGGAAGCAUGUUAGAGAUGAAUAAUAGUUCAUCCUUUGGAGUAUAUAUAGUGAAUGGAAUAGAAAAGUGAUUAACUUGCAUGAUGAACAAUAUACUUGUUGUUAGGGCCAAUAAUAAAUAGCCACGUGGCAUAUUGGUGCAUGAUUCAACCCGAACCUUUAGGAGCCAAGAGUAAAGGGGUUUUUGGUGCGCCAAAAGUACUGACAAAAUAAUUGCAAUAACCGCAAGGCAUAACUGCAAGCAGUUAUGAGCAGUUUUGAUCGGCUUGAAGUGGCCCACAAAAAUAGGGAAGUAGCCGAUCGUGGAGCAAUAACUGACCAACAAGGGCGGAUUAUAAAUAGGUAAAUAACGCCCAAAAAGGAGGUCUUUUCCCCCAGAAUAGAAGACCACUUUCAUUUUCUCUGCAUUUUAUUCACAUUUUCUAGGAGUAGUCUACUUGUAAUCUUUCCUUUUCUGCAUCUAUUAUUUUCCGUAGGAGUAGCUCUAAGUUAAAUAGAUUUUCAGAGUCUGUAUGCCUUAUAGGCAUACUCGAUCCUUGUACUAGCUUCCAUAUUUUAAUAUAUAGAAGGCAUUCGGCUCUUUCAACCGGCCAAUCACUGUGCAUUCCAUCCUCUUCGACUCAUUCAGCCGAACCUGUUCUACAGUAGGAAUUUCGAACUCGGCUGAUCCGAUCCCCCAUCAGUCGAAUUGCUUGAUCCAGUCGAAGGGCGCAAACUUCGAGGGUUACUAUUCAUAGCCGUUCCACAUCCCUACACUUUUUCGGGGGAGAUCUUUGACCAGGUCAAGGAUCAGGGAAUUCGGCCUGUAGCAAUUUUUGGCACGUCCAGUGGGACACAAUUUGGUAAAUUUCUUCUAUCUUAGAAACUAUGGCUGAUGAUAAUGCUAUGAAUUUACGUAAUAGAGUCGUUCCUCGAAAUUCGGAGAACGACCAUGCCAGCAAUUCCGAUAAUGUAGGAAAGCGUCAAGCAGUCUUACCGGUCGAAGGCGAGACUAGUGGUUAAUUUGACUAGCAAGAGCCAAGCCUGGUUCAAGCGCUUAGACAAAUGACGCGAGUUCUACAAGUAUUAGAUCAAAAUAGCCAUAGAAGUACUGCUCGAUUAGAUGCCGUUUUGGCUGCAAUCACGGCUUCUAAUGAGAAUAUCGCCCGAAUAGGGCAAUUAUUGACACGAAAUGAGCAACCUGUAGCAGGUCUACAAGGACCUGUAGUUGCACCAAUGUUACAAAAUCUUGUAACACCGGUGAGUGGUCAGCCUCAACAUCAGGGGGCACCUUUUCAAGCAGCUUAUAGACCGGCUUGUAAAUACCGGCAACAACCAGAGAUAGCCUGGGGAUUACCUCCUCCACUGCCAUUGGCAACAUAUCUGCCCCAAAAUGUAAGGGCUAGGUAUGAGAAACGGGGCAGAUAAAUUAGCAGAAAAUGCAGUGUCAGAAAAUUAUGAAAACCGGAGGAUAUGUCAGAAUUAUUUUUAUGAGACUAGAUUUAAAGUUUCAUACCAUUCUGACACCCGAAAAGUGAAAAGUAAAAUCCGACUACUAUCUGCUAGAGAUUACAGUUCGAUAGAGCUUUCGGUGACCAAACGGGGUCGAAACUGAAAGAUUACAAAUUUUUUCGUUAAGUUAAGCAAAACCGAGCAUGACUGUCAAAUUUGAGCUCAAACAGACAUUCAGAAGGGCAGGCGAAAAAUAUUUGUACCUGAGCUGAAAACUGAGGGUUGAAUAGUGUAUAGUUGAGGGGCUAAUUUGUAAAACGGACUUAAUCCCUUUGUUUCUUCUCCUCCCUCAACCGUGCAGCCACAACACCACACACACACAUACGCAUACAUGGAAGGAGAGAGAAACCUCCCUUUCUCUCUCUAGAUCUCUCCCAAAAAUGGAUGGAUUGGUGGAGAUCGAAGCUUGGAGAUGGAUUGUCUUCAUCUUUUUCAUCUUCUCCUUGGUUUAGAGCAAGCUUUGAGGUGAGCUUCUUGAGCCCUCUCAUGGUAGAUCUUUAGAGCUUCAUUUAUAAAACUCUAGAAAUGGGUUUAAUGGAAUCCUAGGAUGUUAAAUGAGUGUAAAUUGUAUGAAUCAAGUUCCAAUUUGGGUAUUCUUGCAAUAGUAAACACCUAGGGCUUAAAAAUGGCAUUUUUAACUAGUAGAUGGGUUUGAUCUAAAUUGAACCUAUGUAAACCUAAUUGCUACCUAUACGAACGCGUUGACGAAGUCGGUUCGGUGAUUCGUCGAGCCGGUGCGAAGAUAUUGAAGAAACGGCGUUUUUGGCUUCAUUUCCGCCUGGAGGGCCGAGGUAGCGUCUAAAAAUUAUGAAAACGGAUUUGGGGCACCGUGGCGGCUAGCUGUAGACCUAUAAUUUUCGGGGCCGCGAGUUGGUGCACGGUUGAUGUGCAAUUGCAGGAUUGGGCCGAGCCGCGUGCCGCGGGAGGCCGAUUGCAAGUGUCGACAAGCAAUCGGAACGCGAAUCAAAGUAGGUUGUGCUCACCGAAGUGACUAGGUCGCCUCCAUGUCGAAGUGGAGUAUGAUUUUCUAUUUGAUGCAUAUAGGUGUAUUGGUAGGCUUAUAUGAUAAUAUGAAUGUUUGAAAUAUGUUAUAUAGUUGAUGUUGCCUACCGUUGAGAUGAAAUGCAUAAUGACAUAUAAUAUAAAUGCUAGAUGAAUGCGUAUAAUGUGUUGAAUGCUAGAUGAAUGCAUAAGUUAAUUGUCACAUGAAUGCAUGAAAAUGAUGUUAGAGGAAUGCAUGAAAAUGAUGUUGUAUGAUGCAUGAACCAUAUUAUACUAGAUGAGAAUAUGCUAGAUGGAUGCAUAAUUGCAUGUUGUAGUACAUGCUAGAUAAAAUGUGCAUGUGGAUAUCUAUAUACUAGAUGGUAUAAGAAUGUCGAUAUUGUGAAAUAUAUUAGAUCGAGUGGCAUGUGAAAUACGAGUGUAGCAUUAACACUAUGAUAUGGUUUGGAACCCUAUAAUGAGAUGGUAAAUGUGAAUUGGACCCUAGGUGAAUGAAAACCUAGUGAAUAUGCAAGUAGUGUAUCGAGAACAUCUAAUUGAUAACGAGUGGCAUCUAGUUAAUGUAAACCUAUGACAAGUGGCAUAUGAGUACCCUAGUGUAGUUGAAACACUAGACCAAUGAGUAUAGUAGUACAUUGAUCCCAUGAUGAUGCCAUCCCUAGUUGGUAAGGUAUCCCCGGUUCACAGAGAUUGGAUCGUGCUCACAUAGCCUGUCUGCGCUUGCCGUGGUCGCUCCACACAAGCUGUGCACUCUGGAGUUUAAACACACAAGGGGCAGUCGUCGUGUGCUGCCUGGACAGCCGCUAGCUGUCCGCAGGCGGUCUCGAGGAUAGUUGAGCAGUGAGACUCCUCCCCUAUGAGACUUAAAAAUGUGAGAUUGCGGGUGAACCUUCGGGUUAGCCAAGUGAUUGGGUAAUCACAUGAGCUGUAGCAAUAUCCUAGUUGAGUGGAUUUAAGGCUGAGGUGCAAGUGAGACGUCCUUCGCCUCGAGCCUGGCUUUACGCGGUACUCCGCAAAUGAUUGACUCAAGACCGAGUCGGGUGGAUAGUUGAUAAAGGUAAAUGAGACCAUAUGAUCAGAAUUUUAAUUGACACGAAUUUAAAAUAGAGGAAUAACUUCGAAAUCAAUUGGAUGAGCUAUGAAUAGCAGGAUUGAAAGUAGUAUCGAUUGAUCUACUAGUUGGUUGCAUAAAUCACAUGAUUUUCAUAUUGCAUGAUUGUGAGGCAUUAUAUAUAUAUAUAUAUAUAUAUAUAUAUAUAUAUAUAUAUAUAUAUAUAUCUGUUGGAUAUUUGUUCGACUAACAUGUUGCAGUGCCUCCCUGGACCUGGUGGGUCGAGCUCUUCUCUUGGAUGGUCGUAUCUACUGGGAACUAUAUUUAUAUAGUUCUCACCCCCAUGUUGCUUUUGGGGGUACAGGUUUGCACGUGAGCGGCGCGACGGCGCGAAGAGAGGGCGUAGCUCCGUAGAUAGUGCCCUACCACCGAGACCAGAGAUAGCGGUACCUCGAGUCAGCCUAGCUAGGGGUGUAGAAGAAAAGAAAAGAAUAAACUUGUGAGAAAACAAUGUUGUAACAAUCUUGUUUGUAUUUUGAAGAAAAGAAAAACGAAAAUGUAAUAUGUAAUAAGCAUAUAAUGUGAAUGGUUGUAAUAGUCUAGUUGUUUAUAUUUUUUGAUACUUCCUUAUGCAAUCUGUACGCUUGAUUUCAGUUCCUGGUUGGAACAUCGUGAAUUGUAUCGAUUGAGACGCCUAGGACGUAUAGGGGAGACUCUGUCCGUUCGGCGGUCUGUCGGCGUGCCCAAACCCGACCAAAUAGGCGGGGCUCGGGGCGUGACACUAGGGCCGGGGGGCAAGCCCCCGAAUAUGCAGGGGUUAAUCCGGCAGCGCAGAAUUUCGGGUUACCACCAGGACCGAAUCCAAUUCAAGCACAGGCACCUGUUCCAUUACAAGCUGCAAUGCGGCUUGUAUUUAGAUCACCUUACCCUACCAAUAUAGAUAUAAAACAUCCCUAUCCGGCAAAUUGAAAAAUGUCGAAAUUUGAUAAAUUUUCUAGCGACGAGACCGAAAAUACGGUCGAACACGUCGCACGGUUUACGGCUCAAUACCGAGAGGCCGCUGCUGAUCCUUUUUUGAAGCUCAAGUUAUUUAACAUUUUGUUAACCAAGACUGCAUUCACUUAGUAUACAAGUUUACCGGCCAAUUCGAUUCGAGAUUAGGACGAAUUGGAAAGGAAAUUUUAUGAACAGUUUUACAGGUCAGAGCCGUAACUUUCGGUCGCUGAUCUAGCUCAAUUCAAGCAAAGAAUAGGAGAAUCGGUUGAAGAAUAUUUAAACCUAUUUAAGAGGGCUAGGAUGUCACGCCCCGCGACCGCCCGCCUAUUUGGCCGGGUCGCGGCGCCGCAAUAGACCGCCGAAUGGACAGGGUUUCCCCUGUACCGCGGACAGAGUCUCCCCUGUACAUUCAAGGCGUAGCAAUCAAUACAAUGUGCAAAGUUCCAACCAGGAACACAUUUCAAUCAAGAUUGCACAAUGGAAGGUAUCAAACAACAUAACACAUCCUAUAUUAUUACAUUCAUUCAUAUUCAUGUAUUUUACAUCUCAACUACCAUUCCUUUUUCACCCAAAUGCAAUCUAAAUUAUUACAACAUUUAUAUCUUUAAUACAUCAUGUUACAUUGUGUUCUUUUCAUUUCUUUAACCCCUAAGCUAUGUCGACGGGGUAUUGCUAGCUCUGGUCUCUGGGGUAGGGCGCUAUCUAUGAUGCUACGCCCUCGCUUCGCUCCGCCGCGCCGCUCACGUGUGAACCUGUAAACACCCCAAAACCACGUAGGGUGAGAACCAACUCCAUGGUUCCCAGUGGGUACGGCCACCCAAGGGAGAAGCUCGACCAAUAGGUCCAAGGGAGGCAACUGCAAGUUAGUUCAAUAAACAGAUAGAUAUAUAUCUUGAUUAUGCAACGAAUAAAACCAUGCAUUGCCUCACGAAUGCAAUAAUGUAAUGCUAUAUGCAAAUCAUGCAAUAAUGCAACUAUGCAACCAACUAGUAGUUCAUUCGAUACUACUUUCAAUUCUGCUAACCAUAGCUCAUCCAUUGCCAUCUUGAUAUUUAAGGUUUCCUCUACAUAGAUUCUUGUCAAUCACCGUUUAAUCAUGAAGUUCAUCUACCUUACAAGGCUAACGCACCCGACUCGGUCUUGAGUCAAUCGUCUGCGGAGUACGCGCACUAGAACCAGCUCGAGGCGAUGGACGUCUCACAUACACCUCAGCCCUAGAUCCUCUCGACUAGGAUACAAAUCCAUAACUCAUAAUGUAUACUCGUUGUACACUCAUUUGCUAUGACCCAAUCUUACCGUUAACCAUGUUAACCCCAAUAACUCACAACAAAUCCCUUAAUAACGGGGGACUCGAACUCCCUAGGGACCGUCAACUGUGGGACUUUACACACGCCCAGUGGUGACCAACUCCCCGGAGCGCACCGCCCGAGGGGGAGCUACCUCCCUCAAGCCAAGACUUAUCGUGAGUGUCGAUCCAAUCCUCAACUUGAGGAUACAUAGCCAUCUAGUCACAAUGCCAAUUCACAAUAGGUUUCUACCUAUUUAUCAUGCCACUCUAUGUCAACUUGGACCAAUGUCAAUAUGGUUAAACUAUGUUUACAAUCACUUUCUUGAUCCAAUCAUGUCUCUAUUGUCAUUGCCACCCUUGUUUCUACUAUGUUCAAGUCCACACUCUCACAUUUACACAAUAAUAGGUCUAACAUACAUGAAUGACACCAGAAUAUAUAUGAUCAAUCACCACAAGUGUUUGCUAGUUCAAGAUGCUAGAUUUAAUCGCCACUCGAUCUAAUAUAUAUAUAGAUUGUCCACUAUUGUUCCAACAACAUGAAAAUGUCAUCAAGUAUGUUUUUCUAUUUAACAUAAUCCACAAUAUUAAAUUCAUAAUAUAUCAUCAUGCCAUAUACACUAGCAUCACAUGAUUUGUCACUACAUAAUAGUCAUUUACUCAAAAUAGUCCAUCUUAGCAUCUCAUGCAUUCUUUUAAGCACUUAUUCAUUAUGCAUUACAUUUAGCAUUCUAGUAUGUUAACAUCAUUCUAUUCACAUUCUUAUAUUAUGUCGUAUGCAUCAAUAUGAAAUCUCAUUUCUUAGACAUAAAGGGACCUAGUCGCUUCGGUAAACACAACCCACCUCAUUUCGCAUUCCGAUUGCUUGUCGACACUUGCAACGCCGCCCGCGCACCCGGCACCCGGUUUGGCCGAUCUCCCACGCGACCACCCGAACGGCCUCUAAUCACGAUCCGAAAAUUAAAGGUCUUCGUUAUGUGCACGAUGCUUCAAAUCCAUUUUCAUGAAUUUACGGUACGCCGGCCUCCCGGCGGACCCGAAGCCUAAACCUCCAUUUUUUAAUAACUUUGUAACGGCUCUCGGAUUGCCGAACGUCUUCGCCAACGCGUUUCGUUACCUAGCAAUUUGGUUUACGGAGGGUCAAAUGAGAUCAAACCCUCAUAUUUGAAAGUUUGCAUUUGAGCCCUAGUUUACAACUAUGCAAGAAAUCAUUAAAUUGCUCUAUGAUUCAAGCGUAAUCAUCUAUUAGCAUCAAUGGGUUCCACUAAAACUAUUCCAAGCAUUUAGACCUAUCUUUAGAGAUCUACCAUUAAAGCCCUCAUUUUGGAGCUCUAGGUUUCAAUAGGUAAAAUCCACAUUAGAGCCUUGAAUUUCAAGUCAUCAAACCUCUAAUUAGCAUGCUAGAAUACCUCUAAAUCCAUUCUAGAGCUUAAAAACCAAACUAGAGAGAAAAUGCCAUUAAAGGGUUUGAAGCUUACCUUCAAAACUUGCUCUAAUGGAGAAGAAGAAGAUAGAGAAGAUGAAAAUCCAUACUUGAGCUUCAAUCUCCCAACCCUCUCCUUUUGGGAGAGUUUAGAGAGAGAAAGGGAGAAUCUCUCUCUCCUCCAUGUACGUGGUGUGUGUGUGUCGUGUGCGUGUGUGGUGUGCGGCCGAAGAGAGAAGAAGAAGCAACAGCUUCUUAAUAUACCCCACAACUAUUCAACUCCAGCAGGGCUUAAAAUCUGAUACCUUUCGCCGGAGCUCCCUGAAUGUCCGUUUGAGCUCAAACUGACAGCAUGUGUUUACUUAACUUAACAAGCUGACGAUCGCGCUGUGUCAGUUUCGACCUCCGUUUGGUCAUUGAAAACUGUACCGAACUGUAAUCUUUAUAGAUAACUGUCGGAUUUUAUUUCUCACUCUACGGUGUCAGAAAAAUAUGAAACCUUAAAUCUAGCCCAUAAAAAUAUUUCUGACAUCUCUGCCAAUUUCAUAAUUUCUGAGACUGUGCAUUUUCUGCUAAUUUAUCUGUCCCGUUUCCAACAGAAAAUUCUAGAUCUUCUGUUUUCACUUCCGAUUUCAGCAUAAGUCACCUUCUGACUCAUGUUUUACUUCUACAAAUCCAAUAAAAAAUAGUUUCUCACACUAUUUUUAUUGUAUUUUUAUUUUUAUACCAAAUCUGGUAUGUUACAUUCUCCACCCCUUAAAAGAAUUUCGUGCCGGCGAAUUCAAAUCACUCCUCAAUUCAGCUCCGUGAGCAAUUGAGGGUACCAACUCAUUCUCCCACUUCCAGAGGCUUCACACUAUCGUGGUUCCAAAGCGCUCAUACUGAAGGACGUGGGUUAACCUAACUCAUUUGCAAAGUGUGAUACAAACGUGCAUCACGGUCUUGCAAGUCAUAGUGGCAGCGAAGUCGGUAACUCGACGACUCUACGCGCUCCAACACCACUCGCCACUCGUACACAAAUCUCUUCUUUGCACUGGCCUCCCUUUUGGGAAUACAUUCCAAUUCGAUCACCGACAUUGCUUAGAACAAUGUCACCGUGCAUCACUCCGUCGUGAGUGCUCUAAUUUUAGCACUGACCCUAAACGUUAACGUGAGAUGCCUAUCUUAGCACAUCCCAAUUCCAAUCCCAAGUCCACUGGCUACUAACUCGCUCAAGUCUCACCAAGAGCACUUCAUCUUCUGAUACUAUAGCCACGGUCAACAUUCGAACUACUUUCGCAACGAGCUCACGCGAGCGCUUCGGUUCAUAAUUCGAGUCGAAUCCCCGAUAAGGCUAUCCGCCAAAUCACUCUCUUCGGUCUCCACAGGUAGACCAGGCCACCAAUCCUACGUAGCCUACACACCUAAACUGUCUCAAUAACGCAGCGUCUCUCGCUCGCAAAUGCAGACCCAAUCUUGAUCGGGCGAAAUUCUCACUUUGGGAAUUCGCACACACUCCAACAGAGCAAUUAAGACCCACAAACCACGCUCAAGUCCUACAGGUUAGGGUCAACAACCAUACUCGUGUACAUCGUCACACAACUUAUCACGUGGCAUUCCACGCUCCUGGCCUAAACUCGGACUACCGUCCUGACCAGCCUGCCCUACCGUAGUACCGGCCGCUGUCACUCACAGCUGACUGCGCAUGCCCAAUGGGCCCAGGCCCACAGUCCACAAAUGCCUCCAGGCACGGUCGUCCCCCAAGCACUACCCGCGUCGUGUCGCUAACACGCACACUCUCUACCGAGUCACACGUACCAAUAUCGGUUCCUAUCACCUAGUGCAGAGUCACCAGUCCCAUGAGUGAUCCAUGGCACGCUUCGCACCUAGCAAGCUCAAGUGCUACUUGCCAAUACACUCUCUCGCUGAAUUCACAUCCGCACUCUAGCACGGGUAUCUACAUCGAGCGCUCUAACGCCUCUACAGCUUCCACAGUAACCUAGCAUUAGGCAAUCUGCCUAUGCAACCGACCGCACGACACCAUCGCCUACACUCACAUUGGAGUCUACUAGGCCCACUCUCAACAUUGGCCACUAAUCGACCGUUCUCCUCAACAGUGAUGCACUUCACUGUUCGAUUCUACCGGAAUGACAUCCGAAAUUUCGACUACUCGGCGCCAUAGGCAUUAUGGCUCGACUCUCGCAAUUUACUACUCAAUAUGCUCUAAGAGUCAUUCUCGACACUUCUAUCUCUACGCGAGUCUCUACUUUCUCGCCAUAGAUUACUUCUAAACACUUCGGCUAGUGCCAUUCUGCUUUAUACCUGUAACUGGCAGGGUACUACGCCCUCACAUAAUACAAAACUCUAUUUCUAGAGCAAUCAAUCUAUCUCUAGAAAUCACAUGAGAGACAGCUUAGAAGCUUACCUCUCCAAGAAGCUCCAACCAAGGAAGAUGAAGAAGAUAAGGAAGACAUCCUUCUUCUCUCUUUCUUUCCUUUCCUUACUUCUUCCUCUUCUUGUCUUUUAGAGAGAGAAGAGAGAGAGAUAUGAGAGGGUGUGUGGGUGAGAAAUAAGAGAGAAAAGAGCCUCUCAUACCCUACAUAGCCCCACAUGUUGCAUAAGUUCAAACAAGGCCCUCAACUUUUCUCNNNNNNNNNNNNNNNNNNNNNNNNNAAAACAGACUAGUGAGUAUGAUCCAAUCCUCUCAAGAGGAUACCCUAUCUACUAGGGUCAAUGUGCCUCUGCUGCACAGUCAUGAUAUAUAAUCAAGGUUGGGGACUUCUACUAUCCCUAAGUUCAUGUCAUGUUUACUACGCUAGACUCGAUGCCACUCGUUCGAUCAUUGUAGUAAAUUUUCUACUAGUUGACAUGCCAUUCGUUCAAGUUUAGUGUUUCUACUACACUAGUUCAAUACCACUCUACUAGGCUAUGUCCAAGUUCGGAUCUUUAUGCCGCUAUAGGAUUCUAUGUCACAAGACCCAAUCCUCAUGCUAUCUUAGUCCACGUGUCAAGCUCACCCUGCUACACUACCAAGAGAGCAUGCAAGGAAAUGGAAUGUACAACUACUAUUCCUAUAGCACAAUAUAAUCAAUAUAAUUAACUUAGACAUAAAAAGAAACCCGGAUGCUUCGGGAUGACACCCCCCACCUCUUGAGGGUAUGAAGGCUCUAGAAAUGCCCUCCAACGGACGUUGCGACGAAGUCUUGGUCUUCUUGAUCCAAAAUAACGCUAAAUCGGCCUUGUUUUGCCGAUAGCUCUUGACCCACUUGACGAAUACGAAAUCCGACUUCGCACCAGCAUUUUGGCACCUACCAAUUAGGUUAGAGGAGGGUCAAAUGAGAUCAAUCCUCUACUUUUCCAAAAAUCCCAUUUUGGUGCCCUAGGGUUAGCAUCAAGCUAAACCCAUCUCAAAACCCUAGAUUCUAGCUCCAAUCUUACCAUUCAUGGUGCUAGGGAUCCAUUUGAUCCCAUCCAAAGAGCUAAAACCCAAAAACUCCAAAUUUCACAAGCUAGGGUUAGAAGCUUACCUCUAGGUUAGCUUAGAAGAGAGAAGAGAGGAAGAGGAAGAAGUCCAAAGCCUUCUUUUUCUUGAUCUCCCUCUUCUUCUCCUUCCUUUUCUUCCUUCUUUUCCUUCUCUUUUCUUCUUCUUCUUCUUUUUCUUCUUCUCUUCUA